rnacentral:lncRNA from 1 species
UCAAUUAACUAUCAGGCAAUGAGAUUAAGUGAGAAGAUCACCGGGCUGUACCAACCACGCACAAACCGCGGAACAGAUACGAAAUAAACGGGAGCAGUACAUUUGGAUUGCAAUUUCAACACUCUUUCUAAUGAGUAGGCAAUAAGAAAAUAGAGUUCAUUUGGAGAAAAUAUAAAACAAGAGUGCAUCGUCCAUUGGCAAGUACAGAAAUCGACUAGCAACACACAAAGUUGGGUCCUCUACACCUUACAUGGUUCAGUAGUUGACACUGAGCUUCAGAUGGCACUUGUUCGCACCUGCUACUCUACAGACACAUUCUCGAUACACGAACGUCAUUGCAUAUGCAACUCCACUGCCAAGCUGAUGCUGCUUUGCCCUUUGUUCUAAAAGACACAUUCAUGACAAAGUACUGAGUAAAACCGGAAACUGGGUGUUCAGGUGCUAUAACAACUCCAACUCCAGCCUUAAAAGUCCAUUUGUAUGUAGACUCAUUCAUUUUCAAAACAACGUGCAAUUCCUCUUGCUUCUUCACAGCCACUAUAUGCUUGAACAUUGACCCACUUCCACAAAAUUUGCCAUCAUAUAGUGAAAUCUCCUCAUCAAACCCACUAGUUGAGGCACUAAUUCUCACGUCUGAUGGUUGUUCUGCUUCUGCCUUUACCUCUAUAACAGUCUCAAUGCUGUCACCUAGCAAAGCAAAUAUCAUGUCCACGCCAUAAACUUCGCCCUGAAACCGUCCUAUCAGGACGGAUCCAAAUCCAGCAAAAGAAGUGUCGAUUUCAACAUACCCACUAAACAACGGUGUGUCAGGAGAUCCUUCUUCCUCUUUUAUCCAAAGAUUAACAUCCAUUAAAAAAUAUGGACACACAUAUAUUCCACGACAUGGGCUACAAAGUGGCAGGAAAGAGCAACCCUGUAGGUAUACAAUGUUAGAACUUCUUAUAAUAUAAAAAGUAUAAGCGCUAUUAAAAAUAAGACCAGCAGAACAGUUCGGUAUAAUGCUGUACAACGCAUAAAAGCGAGUUCAACUGGUAGGUUAAUAGAAUGAAUCUGACAUCAUUUUUUUGUAAAGAAAUAUCACAAUUAAUGGUUUACUCAUGUUGGAAAGAACAUGACAUUUCUCCAACUAUGACCAUAGUUACAAGUGAAUUAGUCAAUAGUAAAGGAUCUGUUUUCCAAUGAGUAAGCUAACAGCGGCUUUUAAAUUUUAUAGUACACCCAUCAAUCCAAAUGGCAUUUAUCUACCAUGAUAAAAGAAUAGAAGUUUUACGGCAUAGUUUUUUAAAGGUCACACAUUCCUGAAAAGAGAGAACUGUGUGCUACAAAAAAUGAAUGGUGGUUUGAAGUAAAUUAAAGAUCCAUAUCACACGUGCAACCAGUAAGGUGAAAAACAGGAUCUAGAUGUAACCUCAAAAUUGGGUAGGAGCUUUUCCAUAAAUCUAUUAUUUCUCACACCCAUGAUAUUCAACCUCAUCCAAUGCAUUAUUUUCAUUUAUGUGACAAUAGAACAUUGUUAGCUGCUCUGCUACAGGAUUGUGUUUGGUUCAACAAGCUACCAAAAUUACAGGAUUUGGGCAAUCAGGAACAAUACAAAUGAUUCUAUAAUUUGAAACAUAUUUAAUGUCACCAAAUAACCAAAUCCUAUUCCAAUAUGCAAUGGUACCAUACCCUAGAAGCCAACUUCACAAAGUAAUAAAAUACAGUUCUGUGCAGAAGCAUACCCUUCCCCUUUCUUUUCAGACAACCCAAAAUAUAAAUUCAUAACUCUCAUAUUUGCGAGUAUAAAAAAUAAGAGUUGACACCGACUACACUUUACAUACGACCUGGCAACCCAAAUAAUAGUUAUAUAUGCAUUGGCAUGGCAAGAAUUGGGACUAGCACGUCCAAGAUCAAGUCCAAACAAGUUGAAGCAUAAUAAAAAGCACUAAGCUCUAAGCAGACUGGUCAGAAAGGAGGCAAGCAAGAUUGGAGGUAGCACCUAGGAGCACCUAAGUGCCACAUAAUCAUCCCGCUUAAAAUAGUUGAAAACACAGGGUGCCACCGCCGCCGCAUUUCUUCUCCUCAUCCCCUUCUUCGACGGGGCGCUCAAUUAUCUUCAACUUUGGAUCAGGCUCACCCUGUUCUUCCUGCACAACACACCAGAUUGCCUCCAUGAAUCGCCGCGAGGGAAUCGAUGGACCGAGAGGGCGAAAAUCAUAUUAGGGUUUGGGUCGGAGGAUUUCGGUGGUGUGAUGGGGAUCGGCCGCCGGCUGGGGGUGAAUAUCGCUGGGGGUGGUCUCCGCUUUUAAUUGACGUCUCGUAAGGCCGGGCGGAUUCGUGGCCCUUUACCACACAAACACAGCAGUAGCGCUUGUGGCCCAAUACGGCCCAACAGCGCGAAAGAACGGCGGAAAUCUUAUGGCAAUCGAGAAAACCUCCUCCCUCGAGCGUCUUGCUUCUUCAGCAAGUGGUCCAGCCAGCGGAUUUUCCUGACAACUAUUUCCUUACAAAAUAGAUUCACAGGAAAGCUAAAAUAAAUAGGACCUAUCGUAUCUUUAAGAAGGCGGGAAACACAUUGAUCUAGGGUAUGUUUAAUUGCAUGCACCACAUGAUGCAUGUAUGGACGAUCCUGAAUGAUGGGGUUCAACCAAUUUUCUUGUACCAUAUAUUUCACUCCUACUAGUAGAAAAAUAAAUUAAGUUGGAUGGCUUCAUCAUGGAUGAGUUGGUACAAUUUACCCAAUCAAAUAAAAAAAUUAUUAUUAUUUUGAACCAUUUUAUACGUGAAUCAAAUGAUACAAGUAACCAAACACACCCAUAGUGACGGGUCCAUAGACCCAAGGUUCCCAAAGGGACAGACUUCCCGCAACACUUGGCCCCACAAAGGGCUCGACAAUACUGCGCAUCUGGGCCAGCCCAGCUGCGCAGUGCCGGGCCAAAAACACGACCCGCCCACCGACCGAGUCCUGUGACUGAGAGGCCCGGUCGGAGCCCCGACGCAAGGGGUCCAGCCAGGGGUGGGACCGUAGUCCGACCCCGAUCGAGUUCUCCCGAUCGAGUACUCCCGACCGGGGAUAUACCGUACCUCCCGUACUGCUCCCCCGACAGGCAUGAUCGGGGCCGACUGGGACUACCGAUAGGGGGCACACGCUUGGUGUGGGUCUAGGGAGCAGGUGGGACGGAUAACGAGGCGGCGCCCGAGUCAGCCGAUCGUAUGCAGAACCGUACCAUGCCACGUCCUGUGCACGCCUACACAGUGCCGCCGUAAACCUACCCGUUGCGGCCUAGUGGCCUAACGAGGAGAACAGGGACCGAGGACGGAGGCCAUACCGUACCCGAUGACGUGGGCCGCAAGACUAGAUAGCACCCGUACACUCACUCUCUCUGUCUCUCCCGACUGUAAGGCCGUUCCCUUGAACUAUAAAAGGGGACGGACCCCUGUUUCUACAACACGUUCACAACAUUUGAUAGACGUUUUUUCACACACUCCCCCACACUCUAGCGCACGCCAGAGCUCGUGCCACUCUCUUCCACUGAUAGGAGAACAAGGCCACGACUCAGGCACCCCCUCUCAUACUCCUCUCGUUUUUACCCCCCACUACGAACUUUGAGCAUAUGAGCUCAGGAAUAAAGUUGACCGACCAACCCUGACUAGACGUAGGGCACGUUGCCCGAACCAAUAUACAUCCUGUAUCAUUGCGUGAUAGGCCACAUCCGAUCUAACGCAACAGCAAAACUACAAAUAUUUACUUGUCGGCCAGAUUUCACACCGACAGCUGGCGCCGUCCGUGGGGAAGACAUCGUUGCAUUCGUGUUUUAGGUCAUCGGAUGGCCAACCUUCCUGCCGUCUUCGGCAUGACGAGCUCGAGCGACACGAUUCGCUUCGGUUUGCUGGACUUUCCCAGCCCCGCACUCGGUGGAGCGUGGGUUCCUCCCAUCUUCACGCCGCUCCAGGCCUUCCGUUUUGGGAGCCUGGACUUCAUCACUGAUCAGCUCGGCAUCCUCUGCCUUUGUGAGGAGGUGGCUCCCCCGGCAUCCCUAGGAGGAAUGUCUCGCAUCAUCGUCUGCGAGCCGCUCGACGACCUAGAUGUCAAGGCGCCCGCGCUUCGUAUCGAGUCCGUGCUGGGCACGAACCCCACGGUAAGUGACGUGGAUACUAUCAUGUAUUCACUUGUUAACACCUUCCGCCAGCUCUCCGGAGGAGCUCCGUUGUCACCACCACGCUCACCACACGGUUGGUUCCCUUACGGCCUCAUCUCCCCCGCGGACGCGUACACCCGGGACUCUAGAGGGUGAUGGCGCAGCUCCCUCUCGAGUUCGUGGGAAUGGUGGACUACGCCCUCACCUUCUUCCACAACCUUUGUGAUGAGGAGCUCGAGAGCGAUGGCUCCAGCAUCGGCGACACGUUGUCGCUCGACCAUCCCUUGUCCCAGGAGUGCGCCAUGGCGGAUGCCCCGGGAUAGCUCCCGGAGGCAGUGGAGUCCGCUGAGACACACCCCGCCAGACCACCAUGCGGAGGUCCUGACGCAGGUGCAAGUGCAUGGUGAUGAGCUGCAACAGCAGCAGUAGGACCAGCAGCCACUAGCACCGGCAUGCCCACUGCGUCACCCAGAGCCGCACGCCUGCAACGCGGGAAGUGACACACGAAGCCGCGCCCACCAGGUUCAGUGCAACAUCAUGGCUGGGGAGGAUGACCUCCCAUAAUUUGCUCGGACCGACCAGAACAUUGCCACCAUGGCAAUGCUUUUGCGCAGUCUUCCUGAACCUGCUGAUCCCCCGGAGCAGGUAAUCCACCGGAACCUCCGGGCACUGGUCGAAACCGUUGCGGCGCGGCAGGCGGAGAGCUCCGCGUUGUGUCAGUGACAUGCAACAUCUUGCCCAAUUGGAGUCCUGGACCCGCACUAGCCGAACCGCUACGUCCAUUCGCCUCAACAGUCCUGUUGUGUAGGUCAGAGCGCCGCGGCCGCACCGUAGCUCGACCCAGCACCAGCUCCGCAUCCCCAGCACGUGCAUGAAUGCAUAGGGCCGAACCAUGACGCGCGUAUUGUCAUCCACGCACAGCGUGUGGCACGACACAACGCCGACGUCGACCACAUGGCGGUGAGAGCGGAGGACAUUGGCUGCAACCAGCCUGACGAGGAGCACGAGGAGGUGCACCCUAGGCGUGGCAGCCGACCCAACGAUCGGAAUUGUGGCGGAACCGCCCAACUUAAACUGGUUUAAAUGCGCCUAAUCGCCGUCGGAUCAACAAUUAUCCGAAAUGCACUUUAAAUAGUAUAAGUCCGGUAGUCCGUCGAGUGUCCCUAGGACUCCUCGAAAGAUCCACGUCACGUCUCAUAGCCAUACACCAGGAUCGUUUCCAUGAUGGGAAAGCAUCAACAAAUAUUACAUUUUUACAUACAUACAAAGGGUGCGAAUUAUUACCGAACAUAGUUUGAAAUAAACUUAACAGUGCAGGUCAGGGGAUUCUAGGAGUUUAAAACAUAAACUGGUCCAGGUGGGAGAUGAACAUUAAAGAUCUUCUUCUUAGGGUAUUGUGAGACUCGUAACAAUACUCUAAUUUUUCGGGGCUUCCUCCUCUGCGGACUCUUGCUGUGCUUCUGAAACAGCCACAAGGGAUAACCCUGAGUACGGGGUACUCAACAAGGCUUACCCGACUAACCAAUAUAAUAGUUUUUCUGGAACUACAUGAUAGUUGUUUAGUGUACUGGCUGACUCACCUUUUGCCAAAAGAGCUUGCUAAAAAGUGAGACCUUUUCUUUAUCUUUUAACUCAAUUAAGUUAUUACCCUAUCAAUCUAAAUGAUGACCAAAAAAGAUACUUUUGCAAGCAGUAAGAAAUUAAGUCAUACAACAAACUAUUAUUGGAAAGAUAUUGCAUUCAUGAGGUUGUAAUACGAUGCUCAACAGUGACCAAGUGCAUUCGUAACUAAGAAUUGCGGUGAUCCGGAUCAGUUUACAUCCUGCAGGAGAGCACCCUAAUCACCAGCUAUGUACGACUGUCCGGGUCGUACAUAACGACCUUUCGAUUAGCAAACCCAAGGAUUGGGAAUAAGACUACCCGAACCCAGGGAUGCACCCCCACAUGGGACCCCACAUCUGGCCUGAUCUCCAUAUGAGUUUCAGGCUACGCCGCUGCCAAUCUCCAGCACGUCAAGCACGGGUACGAAACAUUCCCGAUCAGAGAGUCUACUAACCUACCGGGUUUUACUGGUCCCAUACCCAGUAAGCAAUCAGGUGACAAUCACUUGAUCAAAGGUUAAGACAAUGAUCGGGCCUUAACCAGAUUAAUCUAGCAGACAAAACUAACAUCUCUAGCUUUUGCUUGCCUUUCAAACUUCCAAGCUACCUUUCCAUAAUUAGCAUGUAUGACCGAACAUUUCACCUUAAGGUUCGGUAACCAAGUUACUUUAAGCAUCUAAGCAUUUCUAAACUUGGGUUACUUACUAAUUGUUUGAACAAGUGGCAAAGAUGUCCUUAAACAAGGUCAGAUCAUGCACAAGAAUGGGUUUCAAUCAACUCCUAGACUUAAUGCAUUCAUACAGAAAUUAACCAAUAAUUGGACACAUGAAAUAAUACUUCCAAAGUAGAUAGGUUUAAUGCACCGGGGUUUGCCUUGUUCUAUAAAAAUGUUAGCACUGUCCGACGGAUUGGCUUCGCAGGGGAUCAAUUCAACGAUCUCCUCAAACUCUGAAGAUCCUUCUGAUAAUUCCAAGAAUUCCUCUUCAGGUGCUUUGGUGUCUACGAUAUAGCAUAUGCAUGGGUUAGUGAUGCAACAUUUUGAAUACAAGACUAUACAACUUUCCUUCAUGAUAAAGUUGCAAGCCAACAAGUGACUGCACAAUUUAUCAUGAUAAAGUUGCAAGCCAACACACAAAAGCCCGAAAAGAUUAACCCACCAUUUUUAUUUCUUUUACUAAUCUUACCUUAGGCUUUUUCUUUUAUUUUUAGAAAAUAUUAUAAUUAUUUUCUAGUCUCAAAGCCUAAUUUCCUAUGGAUUAAUAAUAAUUUGUGAAUAUGAAAACAUUAUUCCAUAUUUUAUGCAUUUAACAAAGGUUAAGUAUAUAUACCUUAAUGAAAAGGCAUUAAACAAAUACCUAAGUUUUUAUUAUUUUUCCUAAGGUAUAAGAAUUUUAAUGCAUAAAGGAAAAUAAAACAAUCCUAACAAAAUUGAUUUCACAAAUUUUGGACACUCCUAGAAAUUUCUGUGAUUUAAAAGGUGAUACACGAAUUUAAUCUAUUAUUCUAACAAAAGAAAAUCUAAUUUUUAUCCCAAAACCCCCGGCCCAACCCUUCUCACUCGCCCCCUCUCUACCCUCUCUCACUCGUGCUGGGCCCAUGGCUCGGGUCCACUUUCUCCUCCUAUUCUUUUCACCCGCCGGCCACUCCUCUUCUGCCGGGCCCACUGGGCUGAUUUUCUCCCCUCUCCUCCUUUCCUAUUCUUGUUCCGGCCCAACUUCCUUUUUCUUUCUUUUUCGUGGCACUCGGCCUGCCUCACCAGCCCAUCGCCCUGCUGGACCCCGGCCCACCACGCUUCUGCUGCGCUCGGCUGGUCUCUCCUCUUCCCCUUCUGACGCGCGGGCCCCCCGACGCCAGCGCCUUCUUCCUCCUCGCACCAAAACCGAGCGCGGCAGGGGGCGGCGCGGCUCGCCGGCUAACGCCCCACCGGCGACGGGGCCGGGCUGGGGAAGCAUCCCCAAGCCACGGUGCACCCGUGCGCGGCGGCGGCUCCCCGGGAGAUGGCCGGAGCUACCCUCUCCACGGCGGCGGGCGGCAUGACCGAGGCCGACCGUGACCAAGCAUGACGACGGUGUAACUCACCCCUCCAACUACCCCUAUAGCUUCCUAGUACCCCAAGAGCUUACCUACAGCUGACCACAAGGAAGGAAAACAACGGCAAGGUGAAGCUCACCAUGAGCAGGAGGUCUGGCGGCGGCGGAUGGAAACGGCGGUGGUUAAAGGCUUGCCUGUGGAGAAGCUGGAAAACAAGUUGACACGGUUGUAGGCGAGGUAUUAGCGGAGGUGUGGGCGAGAGGAAUCGACGGGGGAGGCGUUGUGGUGGUGGAAUUUGAUCGGUGGCGGCGGCUGUGCAGAGGACUUACGGGCGGCGGUAAAAACAGUGCGGUAAGAAGCGGCGGCGGGAGUGGUAGUUAUUCGAAGAUCUUACCGCGUGCAUGGGCGACACUAUGGCCUAGUGCUAGGCUUGCGUGGUGAAGAGGUGGCUUUAGGCGUUGAGCUGGCGGACGAUCGAAGGCACCGGCGGUGACACGUCCCUGCUCUGCUUCUGUCGCCCCCCUUUGCUUUUCUGUCACCCAAAAGUUCAAGCCUUAACCAUGGUCGAUUUCGAAUCCGACGGUCCCAAAGUCCCUUAGGCAAACUUGGAGAUAAACUUGAACCCUUCAAUUUAUAUUUUGUCUCAUACUCGAGAUAAUCAUCCUAAGACUGACAUUUUUGAGCUUCUAGCUCGGGCAAACUGGAAAGUUGUGAAUUUCUGAUUCAGUUCGACAGUCGCUCGAGCAUGGUCAUUUACCCUUCUUUUGAUUCAUUUUUACUGGCCCAAACUCAUUCUUCUUAGUCCAACUGCUAACCAUUCAUGCUCUACAACUAUCAGAGAUCCCAUUUUGCUCAUAAACACCUAUACCUUUUGCACUCCAUUCUUCUGAAUUUUGCUCCAAACAUAGGCACUUGCUGCUGUUUCAGACUUAGAGAAAAAGACAGUUUCAGCAGCUAGGCCGAAAAAUGGCAAGGUGCUGACUUUGAGCCUUCAUUUGAAUUUGAUCCCUUUACUAUUCUUGACCAACAACACCCUAUUAUUCUUUUCCAAAAAUCAUACUUCAUUGUUGUGUAGUUGUUUUUGUCCACUUACUUGGAAAAUUUGGCAGAAAUUGAUUUCCAAGUUGGAUACUUGCACUGCUUUUCUGAAGUUGCUAUUUUCGGACAAUGAAUAGUAUCUCCAUGUUUUUAUUUUUCAAUUGCAUUUCUUGAGAGGUUUAAAACUAGGAUUAGUCUCCAAUCUUAAUCCCGGAAGUUUUAAACACUCUCAAGCCUUCAUUUCAUAUUUUUGCCAAUUUUUUCUGAAUUUAGAUUAAAAAAUUCAAAUUUUGGUCAAAUUUGACUUGAAUUUGACUUUUAGUCAAUUUCUUCCCUUUUUCUCCACAAUGCAUCUUUAACUUUUCUUAGUCACCUUUGGUUAUUGAAACACCAGGUGUUACAGGAAUGGAGACCGAAGCCCUAGCCCGGACGGACCGAGGCCCCAGACCUUCGGCCGCCGCAUCCAGAAAUCGUCGUUCCCUCGGUGCUUCCGACCGCUCACCAACAUCGCCAAGUACACUGGGGAGAUGAACCCCGAUGUGUGGCUCGAGGACUUGCGGCUCACCUGCCGAUUCGGAGGAGUAGAUGAUGAUAACUUCAUCAUCCAAUACCUCCCAAUCUGCGUAAGGGAGUUCGUUCGAGCAUGGCUCGAGUUCCUCUGCCCAAUAGCAUCCGCGACUGGGUGGAACUCAAGAUGGUCUUCGUAGGGAACUUCCAGGGGACUUAUGUCCACCUUGGGAAUUCCUGGGACCUCAAGAGUUGUAAACAGAAGCCCAACGAGCCCCUGCGGGAUUACAUCCACAAGUUCUCGAGGCAAUGCAACUCCCUCCUAGAUGUUGUGAACGCGGACGUCAUCAGCGCGUUCCUCUCUAGGACGACCUGCAAGUCCUUGGUCCAGAAGCUCAACUGCUAGAAGCCCCGCACCACCCGCGAGCUACUCGACCUCGCCAUGAACCACGCCUUAGGUGAGGAGGUGGACGGGGUGAUCUUCAACAUCGGUUGGGACAAGGUCAAGGCCAAGCGCAAAGACCGAGAUGAGGGCCCCUCCAUGAAGCAGGGCAAGAAGAACAAGAAGGAGCAGCACCGACCGACUCACCCGAUCAUAGUAGCGGUGGCCGACCGAUUGGGCAAGCAACCCCAGCAUGGAGAGCCCCUACACCAACCACGCCUUCCCCGUCAACCACCUCUACAUGGAUUGCGAACUCCUCAAGCGCUUCCUGCAGCAAGCCGGCAAGCUGAAGGAGUGGACAAGCAAGGAAGACACGGCCGACAAGGAGGACGCGGCAAGCAAAGAUGAAGACGGCUUCCCUGAGCCUGAAACUUGCCUCAUGAUUUUUGGGGGACCCGACGCUGACCACUCCAAGCGCCAGCGCAAGGAGCGCCACCGAGAGGUAUGCACCAUUGAUUCAGCUAUCCCUACUUACCUAAGCUGGUCGAAUCAUCCGAUCACUUUCGACCAGAAGGACCAUCCCACCUGCGUUCCCCAACCGGGUUGGUACCCACUCGUCAUCAACCCCAUCGUCGACAAAAAGCACCUCAGUCGGGUACUCAUGGACGGGGGCAAUGGCCUCAAAUUCAUGAGUACCUCUUAGCAAUGGCCUCAACAUCCUCAACAUAUUGCCAAGAGGUGCGCAAGCUCGAGGGCAAAUUCCGGGGGAUCGAACUGCAUCACAUCCUACGAAAGGACAACAACGCCGCUGACUCCCUGCUGAAAAUGGUGGCCAAACGGGAACCAACACUAGAUGGAGUCUUCGUUAAUGACCUCCGCGAGCCAUCCACCUGCAUCCGGGAGGACCCGACGCAGACGCCGCCUAGCCCCGACCAAGCGCUCGGGGGCUCCGCCGCGCCGACGCGGCUUGAUCCCGACCAAGGGCUCGAGGGCUGUGAUUCGGAUAACGCGGUGAUGACGCUUCAUCCAGCUAACUGGAGGGCGCCACUGCUCACUUACAUCCUUGAAGAAGUCCUCCCACCAGAGAGGAUGGAAGCACGACAAAUCUCUCAUCGUGCUAAAAUGUUCAUUGACAUCGGCAACGAACUCUACAAACAAAGUCUGCUGGUCAGGAAAGCUUUCUGCCAAGGCUUCUACUGGCCACAGCAAUGUGCGACGCAGAGGAGGUGGUCUGCAAGUGCGAGGGAUGCCAGUUCUAUGCUCAGCAGACUCACCUACCAAUGUAGGAACUACAGACCAUUCCCAUCACCUGGCCAUUUGCGGUCUAGGGACUCGACAUGGUUAGGCCCCUCAAGAAGGCCCCAGGUGGGCGCACACACAUGCUCGUGGUGGUGGACAAGUUCACUAAGUGAAUCGAGGUGAAGCCCAUCACCAACAUCCGCUCCCAAGAGGUGGUCGAGUUCUUCCUCAACAUUGUCUACCGGUUUGGAAUUUCCAAUUGUAUCAUCAUAGAUAAGGGAACAAACUUCACUAGCAAGAAGUUCCUAGAUUUUUGUGAUGGCUACGGUAUCAAGGUUGGCCUCGGUCAGACACCCGUGGACCAACGGUCAGGUCGAGCGGGCCAACGGCAUGGUCUUCCAAGGACUCAGACACGUAUCUUCGACCGGCUUAAGAAGCACACCGGCUGAUGGGUCACGAAGCUUCUAGCAGUCCUCUGGAGCGUGAGGACGACCCCAAACCGAUCGAUGGGGUUCACCCCCUUCUUUGUGGUAUACGGUGCUGAGGCGGUGUUGCCAUCCGACCUUGACUACGAUGCUCCAAGGGUAAAGGCGUUCGACCCCGACUGAGCUAUGGAGGCUCAACAGGACACGGUCGACCUACUUGAGGAAGCGUGCAAAACGACGCUCAUCCGCUUCGCCUGCUGCCAACAAACCCUUCGCAGGUACCACGAGAGGAAGAUACGGGGAAGAACCCUCGAGGCUGGCAACCUCGUACUUUAGAGGACCCAAACAACCAAGGACAUGCACAAGCUCUCUCCACCAUGGGAAGGACCAUACACGGUGGCCGAGGUGAUCUGCCCAGGCACCUACUGACUGAAGGACGAUGACAGCAACAUCCUUGCCAACACUUGGAACAUUGAGUAGUUACGUCGUUUCUUUCCUUGACUCAGUUCAUUACCAGUCCUUUUCCAUUCAACACUUGCUCCUACAACACCCCAGCCCGAACACAUCCGGCCUGGGUCGCUCAGGGGCUCCAUGGGGCUGUGGCACCCACCCCCUCUUUAAAUUUUUUUCGUAUCACGCACUUUGCCCAAACAAAAGGGCGCGCCCAAACGAAAGGGCAUCCCGUCCUCUAACUCACCCUAAAAAUAACUUAUGCUCUAGCUUGUGGACUGAUCGGACCCCGCCACGACUAUGGUUCCGAGCAGCUAAGCCUCGCGGGCCACGCUCGGGUUCUUAAGGUUGCAGCCUGUUGUAACAACUCUACCUAAAUUAAGUGCUUUUAAGUAUAAACUAGUGGUUAAUCCCUAAUUAAAGAGGUGAAAUGACCAUUAUAACCCUAAGAAGCUCUUUUUGGAGUUUGAAAUAAAACUUGGAAUUUUAUAUGCAAACUUAAAUUUCUGCCCAAAUAAGAGUUGUAAAACUUUUUAAUUCAAACAACUUUUUUUAAAAUCACUUUGACUAAUUAGGAGUGGAAGGAAGUCAGAAACAACAAUCAAAAUCGGAGUACUAAAGAACCCUAAAAACCUCUUAAGUCCUAGAAUUCGAGUUUUCCUCCAACUUUGCAAGCUUUUAUCUCACGAAUUCCUAUCUAAACUCAAGUCAGGCCCUUAAUGAAAGUUGUAGUCCCUCGCGUAUGUUCUAACUUUGUUACACUGACCCAGGUCCAAAUCGGGCCAGAACCUUUUCAAAACCUCGGUCAAAGUGAGGUAAAACAGUCAACUCACCCCUCAUGCCCUAAAAUGCUAAGUCUGGAAAACUGCGCAGAGUACACCUCUUGGCGAGGGCGUUCCUCCAAUUUUUGGAACUAAGCUCAAGAAAUACCCUAAAUAAAGUUGAAGUCCUCAGCUUGGAGAGCAACUCCUUCAAUAACACCUUGGUCUAAUUCAACUUGGAAGCUGCCCAACAAUCGACUCAAACAUAGCUAAGUUCCUGAAAUUCUACCUCUCCAGCCAAUUUGGCUAAGUCUGGAUUUCCAGAUUUUCACAAACUUUGGCACGGGAUUUCUCCAAAUCCUUUCAAUUUUUAAACCGACACCUUAAACCAAGUUUGAAGUGCGUCCAGAGUUGACCAAGUUUGUUUAAGAGAGUUUUGGAAGUUGUGUUGCGAAAUCUGGAGUAGGAUCUCCCCAAAGUUGGUCGGGCUUGCUGCCCGAAGGGAGCCUUGACGCCCGCGCGCCACGGCACGUCCGCCCGCGCGCCGCGCGCCGCGUGGCUGCCGGCCACCGGCAGCUCGCCGGUGCCCUAUCACCGGCGCGACAGCGACAGGGCGAGGGCCACGUCGCCCAACCCGCGCCUACGAUAGGACGGGGCGAAUGCCGGGCUGGCCAACCGCCGGCCGCGUGCGUGUCCUCUUCCUCUUGCCGCGGCUCUACUCUGCCCACCGUGCUCCGCCCGUCCGCCGGAGAAGCCGCCACGCCAACGACGUCCCGCGCCUCCGCCCGCUCGCCCAACCCCCACGGUAGCCCUCCGCCUCGCCCACCUGACAGACCGGAAGCCCUAGACGCGCGUCGCCCAAGGCCAAUCGCCGCCGGAGACCACCUGGAGCUCCGCCUCCUCUGCCCAAUGGUGCCGCUGGCCAAUGACCGCCUUGCCCGCGCACCCGCCGCUCCCGGCCUUAUCCCUCCCCCACCGGAGCCCCACCUCGACCCUCCGCUCCACCGCGGCCCUAUAAAAAGGUCCCCCUCACCGGCAACGCCACCCCUUUGCCACCACUUCCUCCUCUGCGCCGCCGCUAAGCUCCCAUGGAGAUCACCCCUCCGCGCCACCCCACACUCCGGCGACUUCGUCACCCGCUUCGCCACCCCUCCACGCACGUCUCCGAGCAGUCCGUGGCCUCCCCAACGCUGCCGGUGCGCCGGAACGCCACCUGCACCGCCGCCAGCCAAGCUCCACCGCCGCCGCCUCAUUUCGAUCCCCGCCGGCCGUCUCCGUUGCCCCAACCCCACCAAACCAAGCUCAGGUGAGCCCCCGCGCCCUCCCGGCCACUUGUUGCCCUAUCCUCGCCAGCGAACCGCCGGGAAUUUUCCCGCCGCCGCCGCGCAUGCCCCGGGGGACUACAUUGCGUCAUCCUCAUUGUUUCCAGGGGCUUGGGCACAAAACUCAGGGACCCCUGCAUAGUUUAACCUUAAACCCAGGGGCUAGCUUGCAAGUCUGCCACGGCUUUUCUUUUAAUAAUAAUAUUCAGAAAAAUGUUUGAACUUUGGAAAUGCCCAGUAAAUCGUAGAAAAAUCAAAAAAAUGCCAAACCAUCUUUGUUGGAAUCCUUGCUCAUUCUAGUUCCUAAGAAAAAUAAGUUUGCUCAUGUUACUGUGGUAAAUAAUAUCCUAUGCUUUUAAUCAUGGUUUAGGCCUUUUAAAUCCUAAUAAAUAGAAGAAAAGUGGAAAAAUAUGCAACCACCUCUGUGAUGCUUGUUUCUAUGUGUAGAAGCUCAGAAAAAUGGUUAGGGCUCUGGUCUAACACUUUAAGUCACUAUUUUAGCUUUAAUUUGGUAAUCUAAGUAUAAAUAUAUCCCUUUUUGCAUAAGAAUUGUUCUAGAGCUCAGAAAAAUGUGAAACUAGUUGGGUUAAUUUUGUUUUGCUAUGAAGUUUGCAGGAAAAAUGUAAAUUUUUGUGAAAAUCAGAAAGAAAAGCACCUUCCUUAUUAAGCAUGUGUAAUUACAAAGGAAAUAGAAUAAAUAGUUAAUCUUCUCCAAAAAUUGUGAAAAUUUCACCAAAGCUCCUGUAACCUACCCUUAAUAACACUGGUUAAGUUUCACCCCCUGUUGCACAGUAACUUUAAAGAUAGAAAAAGUUAAGUUCAUUUUACCUUUAAUAAUAAAAUGCAUAUAACUUCUUUUUAAGUCAUCCGUUGGCCCCCAAACUUUUACAGUGACCUAGUGAUGGCUUAAUUGAGAUGUUGAAAUUUUUUAUCAAUGCCUUUAACUACUGUUUGAGUAUGAAGUCAUUUUGGUUAAUUAAUCAACCUAAAAAAAAUAAAAGGAAAGCACAACUCUAAUACGAUAAAUGAGUGGAAAUUGAGAGAGGUACAUAAAAACAUUUAGAAGUAAGUAAUUACGCUAAUGCACCCAAACCACCCAAACGCGACCUUUCACUCUCUAUGCAACUCUAAAAUGUGAGAAACUAUAUAUGUACACAAUCGCCAUUCAACGCGAACUCAAGUUUAAAGCGACCACUUCUGUUAAAGUUAAAAGAAAGUAAACCCCGCCUUGUUAUGGCUGUUGUGACUCUUGUUUUCAGCCAUGCCUUAUGUCGUUGAAUAAACGCGCGAGUCCAACUAAACGUUUGCAUGUGCAUGUCGUAUAGAAGCAAAUCUUGCCGACGGAACCUACGAGCUCCACCCGGCACCGGAAGAAGACCCCGCUGCGGAGCUUCACCCCUCGAAAGGCGAGCCCAAACCAAAGCAAGACCCCGAGGACCCGCUAACUUUUCCUGAAGGCAAGCCCCAGAGCAUCAAUUCCUAUCUUGAUUACAUGCAAUAUUAUUGAUUACUUGAUUGCGCAUUUAUGUUUCUAGGAGUUGUAAUGAAACCUUAGAUGCAUAAACUUAGUACCUUGUUUGAAUGCUAGUUGCUAAGGUCGAGUAGUUGCAAUGCUUAAUAGGUUCCGGUAAAAGUCGAGUGAUUUCCUGUCACUCGCGAGUUAUAGGAGUUGAAUGUUUUAAUUAUGUUGCAACUAUAAGGACGACGGACGGGGUCGGGCUUAUGUUCGAUACUUGGUGGUUUUCCCUGUCUGUCUAAAUGAAAUUGAUCUAAGGUCAAAACGUCUCGGCGUUCAUGAUCAAGUGUUUGAAAGUACUAAUCUCAUACCUAGUAUGGGAUGGGGAAGCCUAGUACCUGAUUGAACUGGGGCGUGGCAUACCUUCCGGCUGUUCUUGGAACGUCGUUCCCAUGGUGCAUCAUGUGGGUGCAAGUACGGCCAUAGUACGACAGCUGCCGAGAUUAUGGAGCAUUGCAUGCCAAAGGCAGUUGGCCCUAACAUGUGCCUAAGGGAUUGAUGGGGACGGCUGACAAAUGAAGCGACCCUUCGUGGCGCGCGGAUGUCGUGAGAUUAGGUUCGCCAUGCAUGGUUAAUAAACUCGAAUUGAUUCGUUUGCCUCUCACAGUUUGGGACUACUUGAUCGCUAUUCUACACUGAGUAAUGAUGAAACAUGAUUACGAGAUUAAGUUGAUGGUUAUCAUAAAUUGCUUGGAAACUACGCUUGCUUAGAAUAGUUGCUAAUCUAGACUGGAUAGAGAACGUAGAACAUGAGCUAAAAUAUUGAAAGUAAGGACCGACUAUAGACGCUUUUGGUAAGCAAACCCAAAGCCAGAAAGCCUUUCAUGUCUAAGUUUUGGUGGAAAUAGCUAUCACCCGACGGGUCAGUCUUGCUGAGUAUUAGUUGCUCAGCCUUGUUGUGGCUUAAUCUUUUCAGGUGGUGUCAAUAGUUUGGUUGCUGGUACCACUUGGCCUACCCAGCUCCCUCCAGGCUAGACAGUCGAGUGGGAUCCCUCCUCGGACGGCGAUGGAAGGGAUUUUUGAUGUCAUGAUCGGCUCCGUCGUGAUGUCAUGUAUCGACGUUUAGCUUCCGCUCAUUUUAUUUGACUUUUUGAACCUUGCAACUUCUUUGAAUUUCAGAACUCUAAUGUAAUAAUUCGUGAGACUAAGUUAUGUGAUGGAAUGUUGUAACCUUUGUGCUACUCACCUUCGCAUGAGUGAUGCUUCUCGAUCCUGUUCAUGUGGUUAAUCGGAUGAAAUCUGACGGUCGACCAGGUUGACUUACUUAAAGUGCAUAAUCGCGUGUUAGGCGACUUCAAUGCAAUUUAGUCAAGUUAAUUUGGGCAGUUCCGCCACACCUACGUCAACGGGCAGGUCAGAAAGUGAAAGGGUGAAAAUCAGAAUUUGCUUAAGGGUGAAAACAAGAAUGGGUAGGACUAGUUCCUAUCAUAAUCACAACCAAACUAAAAAUUGUUCACACGGGGGCUGACGGCCCCCACAAUUUUAUUUCAUACAUAAAGAAACUAACUACUCCUAUUCUGUUGCUCCCCAUUAGCCAGGUCAGUCGGCGGCGUAGGUGGCUAGGCCAAGGGCUCUCCGAUCGCAGUCAAGUCGGUGCUCGAGUCAGUCGCAGUUGGGACUGCGCCCAGCUCCACCAUGGUGUGCACCACUGCAUCAGGAUCGACGACGCCCUCCUGGCUCACGCGUGUGGCUAUCAAUGAGCGGCGAGCAUCCAUGACCCACGUUGCUGUGACAUGCUCGGCAAUCUUCUACGCACCCGGGGCCAAGCUCUGGCCCAGUGCCCGGAUCUCCUCGAAGCUCAAGCCAUCAGUGUACCCACUACAGAUCACCUUGAAGUCCAGCUCGGGGUAGUGGGUCACCAUCGACGUCAGCACCGUGAUGCCCCGUGGAACACUCCAUCGGUGAUGAGCGUUUGGACCAUGUCCGAAACCAUCACAAAUUGGAUGGCGGGUACACUGGUACUCAGGCCCGACCCCAGUAGCUCAGUGACCACCACCUGCACCACGUUGCGGAGUUGGUCGAGCUCAUCCGCAAUGGUGGACCGCUCCAUCAGGGACUGGGCUAACGCCCCUGCAUUAUGACUGCACAAGAGACCAAGUCAGCAGAAGGCAAAAAAAUGGCACGACCCGAGCCUAAACUCCCGAGAUGAUGGGACUUACUCUCAUUCACAGUGACGGCCGCGACGUGGCCAUCCUCCGACCGCUGCAGCUCCUGAUGCAGAAGGGUAUUCAUCUCACCCAGCUCUUGGCUGGCGCUCACAAGGAUAGCUUGGCCCUCUUCCAGCUAGUUUACCCUCUCCUAUAGCCGAGAGGAUUCCUGCUUUGAUGACAAAGCCCUCUGCUCGGCAUGCACUCGGGCCCUCUGCGCAUCAGUAAGCCUUCACUCGGCAUCGGUCUCCUGCUCGACCGCCCUGUGCUCUGCAUCCUAGUGUUCCCCGACCGCCAACUUUAUCUCCACCAGACAAGCCCUUGCCGCGUUAAGUGCUUGCUCGGCAGCAGUCACCCAAUGAAGCGCGCUGCAUUUCACCUCCUGGCGCUCCCUGUCCAUCCUUAAGGCCUUCGCCAGGUAGGAUUCUGUCGAAGCAAGUUCCCACUCGGCAGUGGCCGCAUGCGCCACCCAUUCCUGGGACUCAUGACGGGUAGCCUCCAGCUCACGGGCAAGUUCCCCGACUCACCGCGAUGCCGCUGCGUCCUGCUCCUGCUGACCAUGACCCUCUCGGAGGAACUGGGAUUUGCGAGCCGACAGCAUUGCCAAGCUCUUUGAGACAAGCGUGCGCGAUUAAGCAACCAUGCAACGCCAAGAGACAAUAAAUGGGAUUAGGAUCAUGGAAGAGCCUACCUUGGCAGCGCGGGGCAAGUCGAUGGACGCAACCUCGCGGGCAGCCUUGGCCCUCGUUAGGAGAUCCUCCAUCUUCUCCAUGAUAUGAGCGAGGUCGGACUGCACUAACAAACUGCUCCGCCUGACAAGGUCCCAGAGCCCGUCCUCCUCCUGAUCAUGGAGCACGAAACGCGCCUUUCUAGGCUCAUCCACCUUGGGCCACACCAGGUUACCAGCCACUUCUAACUGGAUGGAAGCCCCGACCGCCACCAUCUCGAAUGACGCAGGGAUUGUAGCUUGAUCCCCGGGCAGUGGGACGCUCGAGUCAGCUACUCCGGUGUUCUCCUCAACGUCGGAUGAAAUGGUCAUCACCAGGACAUCGCAGCCCACCAACAGCUCCUCUUCCUCUCUCCCGGUCACCUCCUGCGCACCAUCCUUAGGCGGGCUCGGUAGACCACUCACGAAGGUGUUGGCCUAAGCCAACUUGAGGGACAUCCGAACCUCCGCCGCUCCAUCGAUGGCCUCGACCCCGGUUCCUCCACCCCCUCCAGCUCCGACCAGAAGGGUGAGCCGAGGGUAUAUAGCCCUCCUCCGGGUGAGACAGAAAGCUCUCCUUCCUCCCUCACCUCCUCUACGACCGGUAGUGGAGGGAGUGCCACGGUUCCCGCCGCCGUAGGACCCAUCGCCACCGUAGGCAUCGUCAUCAUUGCAACUGCAGCCGUAGUAGCCACCGACGGGGAAGAAACAAGCCCCAUCAAGGUGGGACAGGCCAACCUCAACCUGCUCGCCCUAUCGCCUGUCGCGACCAGCCAUAGGCUGGGCGUCCAAUCCAUGUGCGUGGGAGGCAGCGCGAUGGUCAUCGGAGCUAGCGACGGUUUGCUACAAAAGGAAUGUAAGGCAAAAGAUUAGCCAUGCUAAAGGACUCGAUCGCAUGAGCAAGGGAAGCUAUGAUUAUGUACGUGAUCAGGGGAACCAUGAAUAUCACCGGGCCGGAGCCACCCGGGGGCUGCCACCCACACUCCUUCAGGAUGACCGAAGGCGGGGGAACCCCGACCGAGCCACGGUCGGCCUGUAGACGGCUGUGGCCACCAGUUCACGGCAGAUCCACCACAGCGGCUGACAAAGCAUCCCUCCGGCAAGUACAAGGUGUGUCCGCUGACUCUGUAAUACCUGCCAUUUUAGUCAUCAAAGUGACUCUGAAGAAAUGGAAGAAAUUUGUGAAGAAAAGAAGAAGAAAUGGGCUAAAAAUCAAAUUCGCGCCAAAUUUGACCGAAAUUUGAAUUUUGAAUUUGAAAUUUAGAAAAAUUCGGCAAAAAUAUGGAAUGAAGGUGUAAGGGUGAUUAGAACUUAAAGAUCAAGAAUUGGGACAAGAUUUGAUCCGAAAUACCUCAAAAGAAUCAAAGAAAGAAAAUGGAAACUCAUAGUUACUGUUCACCAUCCGACAAUAGGGAGUUCAGAAAAACAGCAGCAGAGUCCAUUUUCAAAAUUGAUUUCUGUUGAAUUUUUCAAAUAAGUGGAUCGAAACAACUACACCAUAUUGAAGUGUGGACUUUGGACAAGAAUCUUCAAGUGUUGUUGAUCAGGAAUAGUAGAGGGAACCAUUUCAAAUGAAGGCCUAAAGUCAGCAUCUUGUCACUAUAAACUGCAUCAUUGAAUUUAACUAAGUCUGAAACAGCACUAAAUGGCCAAGUUUGGAGCCGAUUUCAGAAAAUGUAGAACAAAAGGUGCAAGUGUUUAUGGGCAAAAUGGAAACUUUGAAGGUUGUAGAACACAAUUGGGAAGUAGUUGGACAGAGAGGAAGGGAUUUAGAUCACUAAAACCAUUUCUAAAGUCGGGUAAGUGACUCUGUUUAAGACUGACGAACUGAAUGUCGAGUUUCAUAGAAGUUCAGACAAAUGCAAGAAAGAAUUCAAAAUUUGACUAUAUUAGGAUGUUUAUGUCGGGUCAGAGCCAAAAUAAAAGUCGAAGGAUUCAAGUUUAUCUACAACUUUGUUUAAGCGACUUGUGAACCGUCGGAUUCAAAAUCAAUCGUGGUGGAGCUCUGAAUUUCGGGCGUCAGAAGAAAAGGGGGAAGGAUGACAGAGUCGCGCUCAACGUGUCGCCGCCGCCGUCUUCGGUCGCUUGCCAGCACGGCAGCUACGCCACCUUCUCACCACGCAAGCCUACGAGUAGACCACGGUGGCAACCAUGCGCGCGGUGAAAGCUUGAAUAACUACCGCUCCCGCGCCGCCCGUUUUUACCGUCACUCUUUUCACCGCCGCCGCUUCUCUGUCCAAGCCGCCGCCGCCAGGUAAAAUUCCCCCACCACACCACCGCUCUCAUCGAUUCCCUCCGUCUACAUCACCACACAUACCCCACCAACACCCCUAGCCACUUGUUGCCCAGCUUUCCCGCGGGCGUGCCAGAACCCGCCGCAGUUUCUGUCCGCCGUCGCCGCACCUCCUGCUCACGGUGAGCACCUCCUUGCGCUUGCUCUCUUCCUUCUUGGGUAGUCGUAGGCAGUUCCUUGGGAUGCUAGGAUGGUGUAGUAGUAGUCGUCGGGGUAGGUUGCGCCACCGUCGAGCGUGGCCGCGACCAGCCGUAGGUGCCGCCGCCCGCCGCCGUGGAGGGAGUGGCUCCGGCCAUCUCCCGAGGAGCUAUCGCCGCGCACGGGUGCGCUAGGGCAUGGGGAUGCUUCCCCGGCCUAGCCCCAUUGCUGGUAGGGCGCCGGCCGGUGAGCCGCGCCGCCCCCUGUCGCGUCGGUUUUGGCGGGAGGAAGAAAAAGGCGCUGGAGCCUCGGGCCCGUGCGUCAGAGGGGAGAAGGAGGAAAGGAAGAGGCCGGCCGAGCGCGGGCGUCGGAUGGGCCGCGGUUUUGACGGCCCAAGUGUUGAUGCGGUGAACCGGUGGAAGAAAAAGGCCGAGGGCCUAGGAAUCCAGCAGGGCGAGGCUGCGGAGGAAGGAGAAAAAGAAAGGUGGGCUGUUGAGCCGUCACCGGUGAAAAGAAAAGAAGAGAGGAGAAGAAUCGGCCCAGUAGAGCCCGGCCAAGGAGAAAGGGGCCGGCGGGUAGAAUGAAUAGGAGAAGGGGUGGGUCCGCGCCGCGGGCCCAGUGUAAGAAAGAGGGGGUAGAAGAAGGUCGCGUGAGAAAAGUUUCCUGGGGAGUUUUUCGGGAAAAUUUAGAUUUCCUUUAUAGAAUAAUUAGUUUAAAUCCGAAUCUUACCAUUUAAAUCACAGAAAUUUCUAGGAAUGUCCAAAAUUAGUGAAACCAAUUUUGUUAGGCUUGUUUUAUUUUCCUUUAUGCAUUAAAAUUUUUAUACCCUAGAAAAAUAAUAAAAACUUGGGUAUUUAUUUAAUGCCUUUCUUUAAAGGUAAUUAAAUAAAUACUUAAUCUUUAUUAAAUGCAUAAAAUAUGGAAUAACAUUUUCGUAAUCACAAAUUAUUAUUAACUCAUAGGAAAUUAGGUUUUCAAGUUAGGAAAUAAUUGUAACAUUUUCUAAAAAUAAAAUAAAAGGCCGUAAGUAAGGAUAAUUAAGGAAAUAAAAUUGUGGGCUAAUAUUUUCGGGUUUUUGUGUGUUGGCUUGCAACUUUAUCAUGAUAAAUUGUAUAGUCCUUGUUGGCUUGCAACUCUAUCAUGAAGGAAAGUUGUAUAGUCUUAUAUUCAAAAAUUUGCAUUCCUAACCCCUGCAUAUGUUGUGCUAUAGACCCCGAAGCACCAGAAGGAGAUUACUCGGAAUUUUCAGAAGGAUCUUCGGAGUUUGAGGAAAUCUUUGAAUUGGUCCCCUGCGAGGCCAACCCUUCGGACAAUACUAACUUUUUUAUCGAAUAAGGCAAGCCCCGGUGCAUUACCCCUAUUAUUUGAAGUCAAUAUUUCAUGUGUCCUGUAUUUAGCUAUUUGCUAUAUGUAUGCACUAAGUCUAGGAGUUGCUUGAAACCCAAUCUUGUGCAUUAUCAUACCUUGUUUUAAGGACAUCUUUGCCACUUGUUCAAACCUUUAGUAGAUAACCCAAGUCUAGAAUUGCUUAGUUGCUUAAAUGCUUGGUUUACCAACCUUAAGGAAAAAUUUUGAGUCAUACAUGUUAAUUCUGAAAAGAUGACUUGGAAUUUGAGAAGCGGGCAGAAGCUAGGAAUAUAGUUCUGUCUGCUAAAUUAAUUUGGUUAAGGCCCGAUUCGUUGUCUUAACCUUUGAUCAAGUGAUAAUCAUCUGAUCACUUAUUGGGUAUGGGACUAGUAAAGCCCAGUAGGUUAGCAAACUCUCUGAUCGGGAAUACUUCGUACCCGCGCUUGACGUGCUGGAGAUUGGCAGGGGCGUGGCCUGAAACUCACAUGGUGAUCGAGCCAGACGUGGGGUCCCAUGUGGGGGUGCGUCCCUAGGUCCGGGUAGUCUUAUUCCCAAUCAUUGGAUUUGCUAAUCGAAAAGUCGUUACGUAUGACCUGGACAGUCGUAUAUAACUGGUGAUCAGGGUACUCUCCUGCAGGAUGUAAUAUGAUCCGGAUCGCCGCAAUUCUCGGUUAUGAAUGCACUUGAUCACUGUUGAGCAUCGUAGCAUAAAUUCAUGAAUGUCAUAUCUUUUGAUAAUGAUUGGUGUAUGACUUAAUACCUUGUUGUUCGCAAUUAAUCUUUUCUCAUCAUCUAGAAUGGUUAGGCAACAACUUAACGCAAAUAAAAGAUAAAACUAAGGCGUCACUUGUAGUAAGCUUUUCGUCAAAAAUGUAUCAGCCAAGUACACCAAAAAGCUAUCAUGUACUUCCAAGAAAAACUAUUAUAUUGGUUAGUUGGGUAAGACUUGCUGAGUACCCCGUACUCAGGGUUAUCCCUUGUGGCUAUCUUUUCAGAAGCACCGCAGGAGUCCAUUGAGGAGGAAGCCCCAAAACCCUAGGGUAUUGUUAUGAGUCUCACAAUACCCUUAGAAGAAAUUUUAUAAUGGUCAUCUCCACCCGAACCAUUUAUGUUUUAAGUCCUAGAACUCUGUCUAACACUGCACUGUUAAGUUUGCUUCAAACUAUAUCUUGUGUUAACUCGUACCUCUUGUAUGUAUGUAAAAAUGUAAUAUUUGUAGAUGCUAUCCCAUCGUGAAUACAAUCCUGAUAUAUGGCUAUGAGACGUGACGUGGAUCUUUCGAGGAGUCCUAGGGACACUCGACGGACGACCGGACUUAUACUGUUUUAAGUGCAUUUCGGAUAAUUGCUGCGUCGGCAGCAAUUAGGCGCAUUUAAACCAGUUUAAGUUGGACGGUUCCGCCACAGCUGGUAUCAGAGCCGUAGGUUGGGAUAAUCAACAGAUAUUACCAUUUAAAAUACUGAGGCUCUUUUUUAAAAUAAAGAAAACAUGAGUCACAGGUGGCAGUAGUGUUAACUGGUUGUUUGUUUUGUAGAUGCUAACUUUUUGCUAUGUGUUGCUAGUAUUCGGUAGUAUGUUAUUAGGGAGAGAUUACAAUGCCACCAAUUUCUCUACGAGUGUGCAUAUGAGUCUGUGAGUCUGUAGGAGUCGUUGCAUCAUAUUGCAUAAGCAUGUUUUAAAAACUUUUGGGUUUGGUGAGUGCCGUUAGACCUAACCUCGUUUCUUUUAUAGGAUGUUCCAAGAAGGCUACACCGAUCAAGAUGGAUGGACCCGCAGGCAUUACCUGGAUAAGCCAGGGUUUGUGCAGCUGCUAUGGAAAACGCUGCAGGAGUUAGGCUUCCAUAACCCUCCAGAGUACUAUUGGAGAAAGGAGGACACGGGUCACAAGCAGUGUUGCACUGUUUAUGUGCACAUUCUAGAUGAAGACACCAACCCUAACUGGCGUCUAGAAGAAGUGAUGGAAUCAGGCUUCGAGUUCAACGACACAAUUGAAAGGGCGGCUAUGACUGCUCUCACCGAUCUAUGUGAAAAGCACAAGGUAGAGAUAGGGUCGAGCUCUGCUCGAUUCUAUCCUAUAAAGCAUCAAGAUGACGGAAUCUGGAAGAGAAGAUUUAAAGCUCUGAAGAACUCUUCUCGUGUAGAGCAUGACAUCUUGGUUGCUGCUGCUUCCGACUACAUGACGGCCAUGUACAACUUACACUAGUCUUGCAUCAGAGAGUAUUACAAUCAGAGGAAGAGAAAUGAAGAUGCCAAGAUGGAGUUAAUGGGCGCUAGACACGAUAAGGAGUUGUACAAAAAGGCGGCAUUAGCAAGGGAACACGACAUGGAGAAAAUAAUGAGGUAGCAGUCCAGAAGAAUAGAUGAAUAUGAAGAGAAACUCAGGGUAAUGCAAGGGUUCAUAGAGGCCAGUAGGAGCAUGGCAGAUAGGGCAAGAGAAGAAGCCGAAUCCAAUGUUAAUAGGCUCAAGGCAGAAAGAUUCCAGCAGCUGGACGAGAUCUUAUCACUUCGUCUAGCUUUGGAGGAAAUGCAGGCCCAGGUACCUGCGUAGAACAUAGUCAAUGUUCCACCGCCUCCACCACCAGAAGAACCCCAACCACCGAACCCAGAAGAAGCAGACCAGUUGGUGGAUGUUGUAGGAGUGGAGGGUGAUAUUGCUCCACCUGCAGCUCCCGAGAUUGACUUGUACGCUCACGAAAACUUAGAAGGGUUUGAUGUUGACAUGGAAGAUGAUCAGGGUGAAGCUCCCGUGGGAAACCAACAGUUUGCCUAGGCCAAUGCAAACGCCGAUGGGUUAGAUCCAUAAGGUUACAGGCCAAUGCAGCAGUGGGGUGAAGCGGAGCAAGAAGACGGGGAAGAAGAAGAAGACCCCGAAAAAAUGGAGGGAAAUUCCAGAGUUAGUACCUCUGCAUCCUACACUUCCUACACUUCGAGUGACCCCGAGCCGAAGUCAGAAAGUGAGAACUCAAUGAAUCAGGCCCCACCUGUCGCUCCUCUGGGACAGGCGCUGAUGACAGUGGACCAAGAUAUUCUGCAGGCAGCAAUGGCCCGGCUAGGACUGAAUGCCGAAGAGCUAGGCAUCUACCCUUAUGAUGGUUGAAGCAAGACCGUAACUGAGAGAUGUUGUAAUGUAUUUAUGUAAGAUAAAUGUGAUGGACGGAGUAGCAUGAUGAUUUUGUAAAAAGUAACUUCAAGUCAUGUAAUAUAAAUAAAUAUGUGUAUAAGUGUGGUUUGUGAAUGGUCAUGCUGUGAUAUGUGAAAUAUUAGUGUGUAGGGAACUGUUGGUAAAAUGCACCUUAGAUAUUAAUAUUCUGUUUCCUUUUGACAGCAUGAAGGAUCCAAGAGGUCCACGAGCUUCAGGGUCAGAGGGCCAUGAGGAUAAUUUACCGAGAACUCCAACGCUGGCAGAUGCUAUAGCCAGCCUUAUGAAUUCAGGAGCUGAACAGGUUCGAUUGCUUCAAAUGAUCGUGCAAAACACCGGUAACGGUGGAAAUUGAUGGGAUCCAGAGCGGGGUGUAUCCUACACCUAGUUCCUGGAGACUCGUCCUCCCAUAUUCUUGAAGGCUGAGCAUCCACUUGAAGCUAAUGAAUGGCUUCAGACAAUGGAGCAGAAGUUUCGAGUAAUUCCCCAGUGCACCACCACCCAAAAGGCGGAGUUUGCAUGACUCCAGCUCCAAGGUCCCGCUAGGACCUGGUGGACCAGCUAUCUGGCUAGGCAACCAGUUGGAAGGGAGGUUACAUGGGAGAACUUUAAGGAAGCCUUCCAGACACAGUUUGUGCCAGAAGGUAUCAUGCGAAUGAAGCUGGAGCAAUUUUUAGGGCUACAGCAAGGGAACCGCAGCAUUCUUGAAUACACUAUUGAGUUUGACCACUUAGGCCAGUAUGCACCGGAACAUGUCAAUACAGAGUCCAGAAAAAGAGAUUGUUAUCUUCGUGGGCUUAAUGCACGAAUGCAGGAGAAGUUGUCCACCUGCACUUUCGCUGACUAUAGCUCUACGGUAAGCAUAGCCAUUACUGCAGAAGAAAAGAUGAGAAUCUUAGAUGAAACCUUAAGGAAAGAAGAAUCCUUAAAAAGGAAGAAUGUUCCUUUUGGAACCUUCGGGAGUGCCCCACAAAGAAUGAAGGUGGUAUAUCGAGGUCCUCCUCGACCCAUGUAUCGACCUUCGUUUCAGCAGAGGCCCUUCCAGCCCUGGAAUGUUAGAGCUCCUAUUAAUGCUCCUCGUCCUGGAAAUGCACCACCUCUUGGGUUUCGUAACCCUAGUCCUCCAGGGAAUCCACAGGUUUGUUUUAACUAUGGGAAGCUGUGGUGGAACCGCCCAAAUUAACCUGACUAAAAUGCAAUUAAGUCGCCUGACAUGCGAUUAUGCACUUUAAGCAAGUCAACUUGGUCGACCGUCGGAUUUCCUCCGAUAAACCACGUAAACAGGAUCGAGAAGCAUCGCUCACGCGAAGGUGAGUAGCACAGAGAUUACAACAUUCCAUCAUGACAACUUAGUUCAACAAUUUAUUACAUCAGAGUUUUUGGAAAUUCAAAUCAAAAUUUUGCAUGGUUUGGGGUCAAAUUAAAACUAGCGGAAGCUAAACAUCGAUACAAGACAUCAUGACGGAGCCAAUCAUGACAUCAAAAACUCCUUCCUUCACCAUUCGAGGAAGGAUCCCACUCGACGGUCCAGCCUGGAGGAAGCUGGGUCGGCCAAGUGGUGCCAACACCCAUGCUACUGACAUUACCAGAAAAAGAUUAGCCACAACAAGGCUGAGCAACUAGUACUCAGCAAGACUGACCCGUCGGAAGGACACGACCGAGACUUAAACAUGCAAGGCUUUCUGGCUCUGGGGUUUUUCUUGCCAAAAGCGUCUACAGUUAGUCCUUACUUUCAACCUUUUAGCUCAUGUUCUAUGUUCUUUAUCCAUUCUAAAUUUGCAACUUAUACUAAACAAACAUGGUUUCCAGGCAAUUACUUAUCAAACAUCAAGAUUAAAAUCAUCAUCAUGUUCCAUCUUUACUCAGUGCAGAAUAGCGAUCAAGUAGUCCCAAUCUGUGAGAGGCAGACGAAUCGAUUCAAAUUUAUUAACCAUGCAUGGCGAACCUAAUCUCACAACAUCCGCGCACCACGAAGGGUUGCUUCAUUUGUCAGCUGUCCCCAUCGAUCCCUUAGGCACGUGUCAGGGCCAACUUCCUUUGGCAUGCAAUGCUCCACAAUCCCGGCCUAUUGCUGCACUGUGACCGUACUUGCACCCACAUGAUGCACCAUGGGAACGACAUUCCAAGGACAGCUGGAAGGUAUGCCACGCCCCAGUUCAAUCAGGUACUAGGCUUCCCCAUCCCAUACUAGGUAUGAGAUUAGUACUUUCAAUCACUUGAUCACGAACGCCGACACUUUUCGACCUUAGUUCAUUUUCAUUUAGACAGACGGGGAAAUCCACCAAGCAUCGAACACAAGCCUGACCCCGUCCGUCGUCCUUAUAGUUGCGACAAAUCUGAAACAUUCAACUCCUAUAACUCGCGAGUGACGGGAGAUCACUCAACUUUUACCGAAACCUAUUAAGCAAUGCAACUACUCGACCUUAGAAACUAGUAUUCAAAAACAAGGUACUAAGUUAUGCAUCUAAGGUUCCAUUACAACUCCUCAAAAUGUAAAUGCGCAAUCAAGUAAUCAAUAAGUGGCAUGAAAGCAAAACAGGGAGUUCAUGCACCGGGGCUUGCCUUCAGAAAAAGCUUGGGGGUCCUCGGGGUCUUGCGCUGGUUCAGGCUCUCCUUCGAAGGGGUGCAGCUGUUCCUCGGCGGGGUCUUCUUCCGGGGCUGGAUGAAGCUCGUACGUCCCGUCGGCGAGAUUCAACUCUACACGGAAAUGCAAUGCAGGGGUUAAACAUUUUAGAUGGUUAUUUCAACACUCUCACGUUUUAACACGGACACUUGUAGCAAAGCUACAGGAAAGGUGGGGGAGUUCAACUUCUGUUGGUGGAGAGCAGGAUGAGAGGGUUGGAUUGAGGAAAACUUAGGGUCUGACCCUCAGGUUUAAGGAAAACCGUACCGAGGUCCUCAGACUCAACACAGAGGAAUCCCCGAAAACAUUUCACCGAUACCCUCGGGUCAAAGAAAAAGAAUUACAAUCGAGCCCUCGGGCGAGGUGGAGAAAGGGUCGGUGCAAAGGAUAGGGGUCGGGCGAGGCGAAAAGGACAGGGGUCGGACGAACCGAACAAGGAUAGGGUCGGGCGAGACGGAAAGACAGGGGUCGGGCGAGACGGAAAGACAGGGGUCGGGAGACAGGGGUCGGGCGAGACGGAAAGACAGGGGUCGGGAGACAAGGGUUGGGCGAGACGGAAAGACAGGGGUCGGGAGAUAGGGGUCGGGCGAGACGGAAAGAUAGGGAGGUUAAGUAGCUUACCUCCAGGUCUACCGGUGAAGCCUUGGGGUCGAGCAGGAGCAGGCUGGGCGGAAGGGUUGUACGCACGAAGGCUUGGGCGGCGGCGAGACUUCGACGGUGGUCCGGCGGUGGCGGUGCUUCUAGUGGACACCAGCAAGCUCUAGCACCGCGCGGAGGAGCGGGUGGCUGGCGUGUUUUAAGAAGCGGCUUGAGGGUGGCGGCGAAGUCGCCGGAGUGUGGGGGUGGCGCAAGGGGGUGAACUCCACGGAAGCUCAGCGGCGGCGCGGGAAGAAAGCGGUGGCUCAGAGGAGAAGGCAGGGUGCAGAGGAGAAAGUGGCGGCGCGGUGCGGGCGGUGGCAAAGGGGUGGCAUUGCCGGUGAGGGGGUCCCCUUUUAUAGGCCCGGGGUGGCGCGGAGGGUCGAGGCGGGGCUCCGGUGGGGAAAGGAUAAGGCCGGGAGCGGCGAGUGCUCGAGCGAGGCGGCCAUUGGCCGACGACGCCAUUGGGCAGAGGGGGCGGAGCUCCAGGUGGUCUUCGGCGGCGAUUGGCCUUGGGCGGCGCGCGUCUGGAGCUUCCGGGUUGUCGGGCGGGCGAGGCGGAAAGGCUACCGUGGGGGUUGGGCGAGCGGGCGGAGGCACAGGACGUCGGGGGCAUCUCAGCUUUCUCGGCGAACGGGCAGAACCGGGUUGGCGGAGCAGAGCCGUGGCAGCAGAAGGCGACCUGCGCGCGGCCGGCGAUUGGCUCGCCCUGCGCUCGCUCCGUCCUGUCGCGGGUGCGGGCUGGGCGCCGUGGCUCUCGUCCGGUCGCUGUCGCGCUGGGGAUAGGACGCCGGCGAGCUGCCGGUGGCCGGCGGCCACGCGGCGCGCGAGCGAACAUGCUCGGGCGCGUGGGCGUCGAGGCUCCUUUCGGCAGCAAGCCAGACCAGCUUUGGAGCGAUCCUUCUCCGAAUCUUUCAACACAACUCCCGAAACUCCCUUAAACAAACUUGUUAAACUCUGAUCGUUCUUCAAAUUUUGUUUAAGGUGUCGGUUUAGAUUGUGAAGGGAUUCAAAGAUAUUUCCGGCCAAAGUUAGCCAAAAAUCUGGGAUUCCAGACUUAGGAUUUUUAAGCAUCCGGGGGGGGGAGAGUUGACUGGUUUACCUCACUUUGACUGGGAUUUUGAACAAGUUCGGGCCCGAUUUGGAUCUGGGUCAGUGUAACAAAGUUCGAACACUCUUGAGGUACUACAACUUCUAUUAAGGGUCUGACUCGAGUUUAGAUAGGAAAAUGGGAGAUCAAAGCUUGCAAAGAUGGAGGAAAACUCGAAUUCCAGGACUUAAGAGAUUUUCAAGGUCCUGUAGGAGAAAACCAGCUUUGGUUGCUUUUUUUUACUCCUUUCCACUCCGAAUUAGACAAGGUGCCUUUAACAAAAGUUGUUGGAAUUUAAAAGUUUUACAACUCUUAUUUGGGCAGAAACUUAAGUUUGUAUAUAGAAUUUCAAGCUUUAAAACAAACUCCAAAAGAGAGCUUCUUAGGUUUAUAAAGGUCAUUUCACUUCUUAGCUUAGGGAUUUACUUUGACACUGGUUUAGAAUUAAAGCACUUAAUUUAGGUAGAGUUGUUACAGAAGCCGGGACACUUUGCCCGGGACUGUCGUUUUCCCAAGGUUGGGGGAAACGCAAAUUUAAGGGCUCAAACCUCUGGUCAAGGCACUGGGCAAAAGUUUGUUCGUCGCAAGUUUGUGAACACCAAGAUAGGACAGGCUCAUUAUAUGAACGUGGAGGAAAUUCCGAAAGGAGAGCCUAUUAUGGCAGGUAUGUACCUUGUUAACGAUUAUCCUGCCAUGGUUUUAUUUGAUUCGGGUGCAUCACAUACCUUUAUGAGUAGAAAGUUUGUUAUGCAACACCAACUAGAAGUACACACCUUAAAUGUCAAAUAUGCUAUUCAAGCUACUGGGGCUACUCAGAAUACAAAUCAAGUAGCUCGCAAUGUGAUUUUGAACUUAGAAGGAAAUAAGGUGGGUGCUUAUCCUUUAAUUUUGGAAGAUCAAGGAAUAGAUAUUAUUUUGGGGUGAAUUGGAUGAAAGAACAUAAAGUUCAAAUCGAUAUGGAUAAUCGGGUCGUUAGUAUGAAAGAUGACCAAGGCCACCCUUUUGAGCUCCAAUUACCCGCUCAUCCUUGUUUGGACCAGAUGGUCAAAAAGACUAGAGCAGUGACUCUAGAAUCUAUUCCUGUGGUUAAUGAGUUUAUAGAUGUGUUCCCAGAAGAUCUGCCUGGACUACCGCCUGAUAGAGCGGUAGAGUUUACCAUUGAGUUAGAACCGGGCACUGCUCCUAUCUCGAGAAGACCAUAUCGAAUGCCACCUAAGGAGUUAGCAGAAUUAAAAAUACAACUCCAAGAAUUGUUGGAUAAAGGUUUUGUCCGACCUAGCACUUCACCAUGGGGUUGCCCUGCUCUAUUUGUUAAAAAGAAAGAUGGCACCUUAAGGUUAUGUGUGGAUUACCGUCCCUUCAAUGCGGUAACCAUUAAAAACAAGUAUCCGUUACCACGGAUUGACUUGUUAUUUGAUCAACUAGCUAGAGCCAAAGUGUUUUCAAAGAUCGACCUUCGGUCAGGAUAUCAUCAGAUUAAGAUAAAACCCGAAGACAUACCUAAAACCGCCUUCUCAACCCGAUAUGGACUGUAUGAGUACUUGGUUAUGUCUUUCGGACUGACAAAUGCCCGAGCACAUUUUAUGUACCUCAUGAAUUCAGUAUUCAUGCCAGAAUUAGAUAAAUUUGUGGUUGUCUUUAUAGAUGAUAUCCUUGUCUUUUCUAAAAACGAAGAGGAACAUGCGCAACACUUGCGUAUUGUUCUAAAUAGACUCCGGGAACAUCAGUUGUAUGCCAAGUUCAGUAAAUGUGAAUUCUGGUUAAAGAAAGUUCCAUUCCUUAGGCACAUAUUGUCCGAAAAAGGAAUUGAAGUAGAUCCCGGAAAGGUCAAGGACAUAUUGGAUUGGAAAUCACCGACCUCUGUUCAUGAAGUAAGAAGUUUCUUGGGAAUGGCCGGGUAUUACCGUAGGUUCAUCCCCAAUUUCUCAAAAAUUUCCAAACCAAUCACAGAGUUAUUAAAGAAAGAAGUGAAAUUUGAGUGGAAACCUGAAUGUGAAGAAUCGUUUCAAACCUUAAAGAAGUUGUUGACUACAGCUCCAGUGCUAGCUCAACCUGAUAUAGAGAAGCCCUUUGAUGUGUACUGCGAUGCCUCAGGGACAGGAAUAGGGUGUGUUCUUAUGCAAGAAGGCAGAGUCAUUGCUUAUGCUUCUCGUCAACUGAAGCGUCAUUAAGAGCAUUACCCUACCCAUGAUUUAGAGCUUGCUGCCGUAGUGCAUGCAUUAAAGAUAUGGCGACACUAUCUUUUGGGUAGUGAAUGUCGUAUCUUUACUGACCACAAAAGCUUGAAGUACAUCUUUACUCAAAUGGACUUGAACAUGAGGCAAAGACGGUGGCUGGAACUGAUUAAAGACUAUAAAUUAGAAAUCCACUAUCAUCCUGGUAAGGCUAAUGUGGUGGCCGACGCUUUGAGCAGAAAGGCCCAAUGCCACUGCACUACCAUUCAAUCUAAUCUUAAGACCUUAUGCGAGGAAAUGGAAGAUUUAAGCUUCGAAAUAGUAAAACAAGGCGCCCUUCAGAAUAUUAUUGUACAAGAUACCCUAAAGGAAAGAAUUACAACAGCCCAAAAAGAAGAUCCAUGGAUUAAGAUACUCUAUCAACAAAAAGCAGAAGGGAAGAUCCCCGAAUUCAAUCAAGAAGAAGAUGGAGGGCUGUACUUCAAGAAAAGGAUAAUAGUUCCUAAGGAUGAGAGCCUAAGAAAGUUGAUCUUAGAAGAAGCACAUCUGUCUAAGUUCGCUAUUCAUCCCGGAAGCAAUAAAAUGUACCAAGAUUUAAAGCAAAGGUUUUGGUGGGCCAAGAUGAAACCUGAAAUUGCAAGAUAUGUAGCCGAGUGUGAUACUUGCCGGAGAGUUAAGCCCAUACUAAAAAAGUUGGCAUGUUUACUUCAACCUUCAGAAAUCCCUGUCUGGAAGUGGGAGGAUAUUUCCAUGGACUUUAUAGUUGGAUUGCCUACCACUUCAAAAGGAUAUGAUUCCAUAUGGGUUAUUGUCGACCGACUUACUAAAUCAGCCCACUUUAUCCCAGUCAAGACUACCUAUCCAGUGUCGACAUAUGCUAAACUCUAUAUAGCCCGGAUCAUAUCCUUGCACGGAAUACCAAAGACAAUUAUCUCCGAUCGAGGCUCCCAGUUUGUUUCCAGAUUUUGGGAACAAUUACAAAAGGACAUGGGCACUACUCUAAUUAGAAGUUCUGCCUAUCAUCCCCAAACUGGAGGACAGAUAGAAAGGGUCAACCAAAUCUUGGAAGACAUGUUAAGAGCAUGUGUCCUUACCUUCUCUAAGCUAUGGGACGAAUGUUGGCCCCUAGCCGAGUUCUCCUAUAAUAAUAGCUAUCAAGCUAGCAUUAAAAUGGCACCUUUCGAAGCCUUGUAUGGUCGAAGAUGCCGAACCCCCUUGAAUUGGUCAGAGGUAGGAGAAAGGACACAUUUGGGAUCAGAUCUGGUCAUGGAAAUGGAGGAGAAGGUCCGGAAAAUUCGUAAACAAUUGGAAAUAGCCCAGUCUCGACAAAAGAGUUAUUCGGAUAAAAGGAGACGGUCCUUGGAAUUUCAUACCGGAGAUUUUGUAUACUUGAAAGUAUCCUCGAUGAAAGGAGUACAACGAUUUGGAAUAAAGGGUAAGUUAGCCCCAAGGUAUAUUGGUCCUUAUGAAAUUCUGGAACAAAAGGGACCGGUGGCAUACAAGCUGUCGUUGCUAGACCAACUUACUUCUAUACAUGACGUAUUUCAUGUAUCCCAGCUUAAGAAAUGCUUAAGAAUUCCAGAAGAGAUUCUAGAAGAUCCAGAAAUUGAGCUCGAACCAGAUCUAACCUAUGAAGAAAGACCUAUUAAAAUUCUGGAUCAAAAGACAAGAGAUACCCGAACUCGGAGUAUUACGUUUUACAAGGUACAAUGGAAAAAUCAUACUCCAGAUGAAGCUACUUGGGAGCAGGCUGAAGAUCUAGAGUCUAAAUAUCCUGAGUUAUUUGAAACCAUCAGGAUCAGAUGAAUAGAAGCCACCACCCCACUUUCCUUAUACAGAAAAGAGAAAAUUAGUUAGCCUAACGUAGUUUCCUUUCCAUUCUCAAAGCUGAAGAUUUAAACCCGGGAAUCUCAGGAUGAGAUUCUGUUAAGGGGGAGAGGCUGUAAUACCUACCAUUUUAGUCAUCAAAGUGACUCUGAAGAAAUGGAAGAAAUUCGUGAAGAAAAGAAGAAGAAAUGGGCUAAAAAUCAAAUUCACGCCAAAUUUGACCGAAAUUUGAAUUUUGAAUUUGAAAUUCAGAAAAAUUCGGCAAAAAUAUGGAAUGAAGGUGUAAGGGUGAUUAGAACUUAAAGAUCAAGAAUUGGGACAAGAUUUGAUCCAAAAUACCUCAAAAGAAUCAAAGAAAGAAAAUGGAAACUCAUAGUUACUGUUCACCGUCCGACAAUAGGGAGUUCAGAAAAACAGCAGCAGAGUCCAUUUUCAAAAUUGAUUUCUGUUGAAUUUUUCAAAUAAGUGGAUCGAAACAACUACACCAUAUUGAAGUGUGGACUUUGGAAAAGAAUCUUCAAGUGUUGUUGAUCAGGAAUAGUAGAGGGAACCAUUUCAAAUGAAGGCCUAAAGUCAGCAUCUUGUCACUAUAAACUGCAUCACUGAAUUUAACUAAGUCUGAAACAGCACUAAAUGGCCAAGUUUGGAGCCGAUUUCAGAAAAUGUAGAACAAAAGCUGCAAGUGUUUAUGGGAAAAAUGGAAACUUUGAAGGUUGUAGAACACAAUUGGGAAGUAGUUGGACAGAGAGGAAGGGAUUUAGAUCACUAAAACCAUUUCUAAAGUCGGGUAAGUGACUCUGUUCAAGACUGACGAACUGAAUGUCGAGUUUCAGAGAAGUUUAGACAAAUGCAAGAAAGAAUUCAAAAUUUGACUAUAUUAGGAUGUUUAUCUUGGGUCAGAGCCAAAAUAAAAGUUGAAGGAUUCAAGUUUAUCUACAACUUUGUUUAAGCGACUUGUGAACCGUCGGAUUCAAAAUCAACCGUGGUGGAGCUCUGAAUUUCGGGCGUCAGAAGAAAGAGGGGGAAGGAUGACAGAGUCGCGCUCAACGUGUCGCCGCCGCCAUCUUCGGUCGCUCGCCAGCACGGCAGCUACGCCACCUCCUUACCACGCAAGCCUACGAGUAGACCACGGUGGCAACCAUGCGCGCGGUGAAAGCUUGAAUAACUACCGCUCCCGCGCCGCCCGUUUUUACCGUCACUCUUUUGACCACCGCCGGUUCUCUGUCCAAGCCGCCGCCGCCGAGUGAAAUUCCCCCACCACACCGCCGCUCUCGUCGAUUCCCUCCGUCUACAUCUCCACACAUACCCCACCAACACCCCUAGCCACUUGUUGCCCAGCUUUCCCGCCGGCGUGCCAGAACCCGCCGCAGUUUCUAUCCGCCGUCGCCGCACCUCCUGCUCACGGUGAGCACCUCCUUGCGCUUGCUCUCUUCCUUCUUGGGUAGUCGUAGGUAGGUCCUUGGGAUGCUAGGAUGGUGUAGUAGUAGUCGUCGGGGUAGGUUGCGCCGUCGUCGAGCGUGGCCGCGACCGGCCGUAGGUGCCGCCGCCCGCCGCCGUCGAGGGAGUGGCUCCGGCCAUCUCCCGAGGAGCUGUCGCCGCGCACGGGUGCGCUAGGGCAUGGGGAUGCUUCCCCAGCCUAGCCCCGUCGCCGGUAGGGCGCCGGCCGAUGAGCCGCGCCGCCCCCUGUCGUGUUGGUUUUGGUGGGAGGAAGAAGAAGGUGCUGGAGCCUCGGGCCCGCGCGUCAGAGGGGAGAAGGAGGAAAGAAAGAGGCCGGCCGAGCGCGGGCGUCGGAUGGGCCGCGGUUUUGACGGCCCAAGUCUUGAUGCGGUGGACCGGUGGAAGAAAACGGCUGAGGGCCUAGGAAUCCAGUAGGCCGGUGCUGCGGAGGAAGGAGAAAAAGAAAGGUGGGCCGUUGGGCCGUGACCAGUGAAAAUAAAAGAAGAGAGGACAAGAAUCGGCCUAGUAGAGCCCGGCCAAGGAGAAAGGGGCCGGUGGGUAGAAUGAAUAGUAGAAGGGGUGGGUCCGCACCGCGGGCCCAGCGUAAGAGAGAGGGGGUAGAAGAAGGUCGCGUGAGAAAAGUUGCCGGGGGAGUUUAUCGAGAAAAUUUAGAUUUCCUUUAUAGAAUAAUUAGUUUAAAUCCGAAUCUCACCAUUUAAAUCACAGAAAUUUCUAGGAAUGUCCAAAAUUAGUGAAACCAAUUUUGUUAGGCUUGUUUUAUUUUCCUUUUUGCAUUAAAAUUUUUAUACCCUAGAAAAAUAAUAAAAACUUGGGUAUUUAUUUAAUGCCUUUCUUUUAAGGUAAUUAAAUAAAUACUUAAUCUUUAUUAAAUGCAUGAAAUAUGGAAUAAUAUUUUCGUAAUCACAAAUUAUUACUAUUAACUCAUAGGAAAUUAGGUUUUCAAGUUAGGAAAUAAUUGUAACAUUUUCUAAAAAUAAAAGAAAAGGCCGUAAGUAAGGAUAAUUAAGGAAAUAAAAUUGUGGGCUAAUCUUUUCGGGUUUUUGUGUGUUGGCUUGCAACUUUAUCAUGAUAAAUUGUAUAGUCCUUAUUGGCUUGCAACUCUAUCAUGAAGGAAAGUUGUAUAGUCUUAUAUUCAAAAAUUUGCAUUCCUAACCCCUGCAUAUGUUGUGCUAUAGACCCCGAAGCACCAGAAGGAGAUUACUCGGAAUUUUCAGAAGGAUCUUCGGAGUUUGAGGAAAUCUUUGAAUUGGUCCCCUGCGAGGCCAACCCUUCGGACAAUACUAACUUUUUUAUCGAAUAAGGCAAGCCCCGGUGCAUUACCCCUAUUAUUUGAAGUCAAUAUUUCAUGUGUCCUGUAUUUAGCUAUUUGCUAUAUGUAUGCACUAAGUCUAGGAGUUGCUUGAAACCCAAUCUUGUGCAUUAUCAUACCUUGUUUUAAGGACAUCUUUGCCACUUGUUCAAACCUUUAGUAGAUAACCCAAGUCUAGAAUUGCUUAGUUGCUUAAAUGCUUGGUUUACCAACCUUAAGGAAAAAUUUUGAGUCAUACAUGUUAAUUCUGAAAAGAUGACUUGGAAUUUGAGAAGCGGGCAGAAGCUAGGAAUAUAGUUCUGUCUGCUAAAUUAAUUUGGUUAAGGCCCGAUUCGUUGUCUUAACCUUUGAUCAAGUGAUAAUCAUCUGAUCACUUACUGGGUAUGGGACCAGUAAAGCCCAGUAGGUUAGCAAACUCUCUGAUCGGGAAUACUUUGUACCCGCGCUUGACGUGCUGGAGAUUGGCAGGGGCGUGGCCUGAAACUCACAUGGUGAUCGAGCCAGACGUGGGGUCCCAUGUGGGGGUGCGUCCCUAGGUCCGGGUAGUCUUAUUCCCAAUCAUUGGAUUUGCUAAUCGAAAAGUCGUUAUGUACGACCUAGACAGUCGUAUAUAACUGGUGAUCAGGGUACUCUCAUGCAGGAUGUAAUAUGAUCCGGAUCGCCGCAAUUCUCGGUUAUGAAUGCACUUGAUCACUGUUGAGCAUCGUAGCAUAAGUUCAUUAAUGUCAUAUCUUUGGAUAAUGAUUGGUGUAUGACUUAAUACCUUGUUGUUCGCAAUUAAUCUUUUCUCAUCAUCUAGAAUGGUUAGGUAACAACUUAACUCAAAUAAAAGAUAAAACUAAGGCGUCACUUGUAGUAAGCUUUUCGGCAAAAAUGUAUCAGCCAAGUACACCAAAAAGCUAUCAUGUACUUCCAAGAAAAACUAUUAUAUUGGUUAGUCGGGUAAGACUUGUUGAGUACCCCGUACUCAGGGUUAUCCCUUGUGGCUAUCUUUUCAGAAGCACCGCAGGAGUCCACUGAGGAGGAAGCCCCGAAACCCUAGGGUAUUGUUAUGAGUCUCACAAUACCCUUAGAAGAAAUUUUAUAAUGCUCAUCUCUACCCGAACCGUUUAUGUUUUAAGUCCUAGAACUCUGUCUAACACUGCACUGUUAAGUUUGCUUCAAACUAUAUCUUGUAUUAACUCGUACCUCUUGUAUGUAUGUAAAAAUGUAAUAUUUGUUGAUGCUAUCCCAUCGCGGAUACAAUCCUGAUGUAUGGCUAUGAGACGCGACGUGGAUCUUUCGAGGAGUCCUAGGGACACUCGACGGACGACCGGACUUAUACUGUUUUAAGUGCGUUUCGGAUAGUUGCCGCGUCGGCAGCAAUUAGGCGCAUUUAAACCAGUUUAAGUUGGACGGUUCCGCCACAGACUCCCCAGUUGCGGGCGUAUGACCGCGUCCCUCCAACUGGCUGCUGCACACCAUAACGAUCGAAGCUGGGGGCUGCGACGCCAACAAUACCUCCGGACGGUGCGGCAAUGAACGUGCCCGCUUCUCCUCCUGCUCGCAGGCGAUGUCCCUACUUGCAACAUGCUUCCUCGACUCAGGGGCACUGGAAGGUUCCCCCACACCACGCACUCCACCAGAGGGUGUGACCAUGGGCUUGCGGCGCCCAGUCGCAAUUGUGACGGCAUUCCCGCAAGUCUCGCUCCCUGCAGAGUCUGAGUCAUCUCGCAACCCCGGCCCCAAGGGGUCCGAAGGCCUAAGCUCCGCCUCCACUGCCGUCAGGCUAUCACCGCGAUGAACCCGCCAGCUGAUUUCUCAUGCCUCUAGGCCUUCUCAGCCCUCUUCUUCUUCUGCUCGUCCGCCACCUUCUUCUCGAUAGCCUGCCGAGCCGCACCCACUGGUCCCUACGGGAGGCUCGGUCAGGACUUGUAGCACUCAAGUCCCUGCAAGACAAAUUGACUCGAUGUUAGCUGGAAAAUUUGGAUAAAGAAGAAAGAGGACACAAGGGGAGAAACAUAACAAGUCGGGCCACCUCCCAGCUUGGAAAGGCUCGGGUGUCCCCUGAGGGUCUCAUCGCUCUCCAAUUGCAGCACUUGGCCGAGGCACCCCCAAAUCUUGCUCUCUGGCAACUCCGUUGAUGAUGCGCGUUCUGGAUCCGAUGGGCCGAAAUACUACCACAUCGUCUGAGUCCUCAGCCCUAGCUAAGUGAGUCGCCAGUGGACAAAAGUGUCGAAGACCCGCAGUCCAUUGAGGCCCUCAUCCACACACUAUUGCAGUGCUGGUUCGAGGACCUCUAUGUGACUCUCAUGCUUCCAAGUAGGUCCCCAUGCCCAGCUCUCCAGCCUCAUCAACAUUCCUCCGGUGAACUUCGGCAACGACGCCUCCACCGGGUUCCAAAUAUAGAACCAAUCACCAUGCCAUCCCCGAUUGGAAUCACUAGGGGAGUACAACGGGUAGAUGACCUUAGGCUUCCGCUGCAGUGCGAAUCCACCGAUUGGGGCUAGAAGGCCCGCUUUCCCCUUUUCCUCCAACCAGGGAUGCCCGAUGAAGAACUUCGCGAAGAAGUCCACAUGCGGCUCCAUCCCGAGGAAGGCCUCACAGACGGUGAUGAAGUCGGCGAUGUGUAGCACUCCAUUGGGGUUGAGAUGCUACAACUCAAGUCCCCAGCGGUGAAGAAGCCCGCGCAAGAACUAGUGCACAGGGUAUCUGAGCCCGCGCUCGUGGAAGGCCAGGAGAUGACCUUAUCAGGGUGAGGUGCUGGGACGACAGUCUCUAGCUUUGGUGCUCUCCUUCCUGCGACCACCUUCGGUGGCAGUAAGCCCCUCCGCGCGAAAUCCUCCAACAAAUCCUCCCGCAUGGUGGACUCCCUCUAGAGCGACAUCACGCGGCGAAAGGCGGCGAACGGUUCUGUAAGGCUCCCUUCUUCUCUCUCUCUCUCUCUAUCUCUCUCUUUCUCUCUCUCUCUCUCUCUCUCUCUCUCUCUCUCUCUCUUUGCCCUCUUCUUUCUCGGAACUCACUACAGCGCGUGAGAACAUUUGGGUGAAAAGGCAGACGAGAAAGCAACGACGAAUAGAGGGCGACGAAAGGACCAGCCUAAAGACCUCCGCCCCUCCCCUAUUAAAUAGGUAAGGGGGUAUGGAGCCUAGGCGUACAUGAUGCAAGUGGAGGGACGCGCCCCCACGUGAUGGGACGUGACCCAUGUGGGGCCCACCAACUGCCACGGUAGAGUCACAAAUAGGGGGCAUAACCGCACGCAAGCGCCCCUUCACCUUUCGAGGCAAGGGAGUGAAGGGUCCCAUCAUGAGAACCUCCACUAAAUCGAGGCCGGUAGGCACUCAGGCUGGUCAGACAGUUGAAGGGACCCAACACUAGAGCCUUUCCCGAACCAAGGCUAAUAGGCCACAUAGGUCGGCCGGACAAAUCGGGCAUCCGAUGGGAGUCGGUUAGAAAAUAGUGGAAUACUAACAUGCAGGUCAUGUCAACCCCGUCACGAAUGAUGGAUACGGAUUCCACUCGAGCGUACCCACUAAGGGUGCCCUGAGCUGGCCACUCAAACCGUUGAGAUAAGCAACGCUCGCUUAGCCUCCUCGGGUCGUGGAAACCGCAGGGUGGGGUGAUGCCUAAAAGUCCAACCAAUAUUGCCGACCCCCCAUUUACUUUACCUGCGAACAAGCACUCAUCCAUGUCAUGCAUGCAUGCAUUUAUGCAUCAUACAUUCAUCUCAUUUGUGUUGUCAUUGCAUCUGAAUUGCUUUGUGUUGGGGGGAAUAUUAACAAUCUUCUAAUGCCCCUUAAAAAAACAAUCAUGAAGGCCCAGGCCCACCUGCAAUAAUGAUGAUUACCGCUGACCCAGCAUGGGCAAGGAAUAUCCCACUCCAUCAUGCCCGACCCAGGGCCCCGGGGUUGGACACUCCCGACCCCUCGAUGGCGAAACUCCACCUCGCCCGACCCAAGGUCCCAGGCUCGGGUGCGCCCGACCCCUCGCCGCAAGGCUCCGCCUUGCCCGACCCUAGGCGUAGGGGGUCGGACUCAUCUGGGCCCACAAGACAAGGUUCCACCUUAGGCGCAGGCCGGCUGAUGAGGGCGCGGAUCUCGUGGGCCCCCCACUGAUCUUGCCAUAAAUGCACCACGGCUCUAGCGUGCAGAAAGGCGCCCAUGCCUCUCGACGUAGCCACGACCGCACAGGCUACACUGGCUGCACUCAUAGCAUGCGCCGCUUGGCACAGGGAUGAGCGCCGCCCGUUCUUGCACCCAGCGUAUCCGACGACAGGGAUGCGACGUCCGUGUUCCACGGGACGUAAGCAGGACAACAGGGGUCAGCCGUCUCCCCCAACGUGCACGAUUGCCAUGACCGGACACCAUCAUCAUACCCGGCGGCGACGGUCGCCCAGAGGAUCAGCGACAAGAUCCGGUGGCAGCCGCCCUCCUCCGGUGGCGGCUCUGACAGGAGUCGAAGGCCGGAGAAGGAGGCGGCGAUCCGGGGACUUGGUCCUCCUUCUUGUACUUUGCUUAGCUUAUCUCUUUUACUUCUCCAAGACACCCGGUCUCACCUGUAACCCUGAACUCUCCUUGCGCUAUAAAAGGAGAACCAGGAGCCCCGAGAUAGGGGACUCGAAGGCCAACAGAACACACACAGUCACCUCUAGAGCAUCAGUGCACACCCAAGAGACUCAGGACCAGCUCCCUCUCUCGCCUGUUUGUAACCCCUACUAUAGACCACGCGUGAAGAACACGCUCAGCUCCUCAUACUGGACGUAGGGCUUUCCUUGCCCGAACCAGUCUAACCCCGUGUCUCCUCACACCACCAUCCGAAGCCUUACGCGCAUAAAAGAAAUUUACUAGUCGUAGUCUUGAUCUGUUAACCUUCACAACGACAGUUGGCGCGCCAGGUAGGGGACCUUUGCGCGUACAUCACCGGCUUCAGAUGGCCAGCCACGAUGCCAGCUUCGCUCCGGGCUCCCUCGUCCGCUUCGGGAGCUUGGACUUCCUCACCAUGGGGGAGGGGAUCAAGCUGAUCCCUCUCCUCCAACCGCCAGCAAAAGAAGAAGAACAAGCAGUGGCGCGAGGCUCCCCUGAAAGCUGUUGCUGAGCGCAAGCGGGGACAGCCGCCCCCUAAGGGCACCCCCGGCUUGUUCGACAAGCUGCUCGAGGGACCGUGCCUGAACCACGAGUUCCCCGCUAAGCACGCCUACAAAGACUGUAACCUCAUGAAGAGGUAUUUUGUAGGCAAACCAGUGAAGGGCGAUCGGAGACGGAAGCUCGAGGAGGAGAAGAAGGACAGCGAGGAGAAGGAAGACAGCUUUCCCAAGGUGGACGGCUGCUUCAUGAUCUUCGGCGGGCUGGCGGCUUACGACUCAUCGUCGACCCCAUCGUCGGCACAACGCGCCUCACCAAGGUGCUCAUGGACGGAGGCAGCGGCCUCAACAUCCUCUACGCUGAGACUCUCGACGCCAUGAGGAUCGACCACUCCCGCCUCCGCCCCAGCAAGGCGACAUUCCACAGCAUUGUGCUGGGGAAACAGGCGAUGCCUCUUGGGCAUAUCGACCUGCCCGUCACUUUUGGGACUCCUUCCAACUAUAGGAAGGAGAUCCUCACCUUCGAAGUGGUGGGUUUUCAUGGAACCUACCAUGCCGUCCUAGGGCGGCCAUGCUACACCAAGUUCAUGGCCAUCCCCAACUACACCUACCUCAAGCUCAAGCUAACGGGGCCCAAUGGGGUCAUCACCAUCGGCACGUCUUUCCAGAAGGCGUACGAGUGCGACAUAGAGUGCUGCGAGUACGCCGCAGCCAUCACCUGCACGGAGGACCCCGCGGUCCAGCUUGCGGAGAGCGCCGAGGACCCACCCGACUCCAAGCAAUCCACCACCUCCUUCGAGGCCACCGAAGGUGUCAAGGAGGUCCCCUUCGACCCAAGCAGCACCGACGGCAGGACGGUGCAGAUAGGCGCUACCCUAUCUCCCAAAUAGGAAAGCGCGUUCGUCGACUUCCUCCACGCGAACAGUGAUGUUUUCGCGUGGAAACCCUCGAACAUACCAGGCAUCCCGAGGGAAGUCACCAAGCACUCCUUGAACAUCAAGGCCAGCUCCAAACCGGUGAAACAAGGCUUGCGCCACUUCAACGAGGAGAGGCGCAAGGCCAUCGGCGGGGAGCUCCAGAAGCUUUUGGCGGCCGGAUUCAUCAAGGAAGUGUACCACCCUGAGUGGUUAGCCAAUCCUGUUCUUGUACGAAAAAAGAAUGGGAAAUAGAGGAUGUGUGUUGAUUAUACUGGUCUCAACAAGGCGUGUCCAAAGGAUCCAUUUCCUUUGCCACGCAUAGAUCAGAUAGUCGACUCAACUGCAGGGUGCGAAACCCUUAGCUUCCUUGAUGCAUAUUCCGGCUACCAUCAAAUUGCGAUGAAAGAGUCUGACCAGCUCACGACCUCUUUCAUCACCCCUUUCGACCCCUAUUGCUACGUUAAGAUGCCGUUCGGCCUCAAAAACGCGGGGGCUACAUUCCAGCGAUGCAUGCUUAAGUGUUUCGGGGACCUCAUCGGGCGGACCAUUGAGGCUUACGUAGAUGACAUCAUAGUCAAGUCCAAAAAGGGCGACCAACUCAUCCUCGACCUUGAACUAGCCUUCGAAAGGCUGAGAGACAAGCGCAUCAAACUCAACCCCAAAAGUGCGUUUUUGGGGUUCCGAGGGGCAUGUUGCUGGGCUUCAUCGUCUCCGUGCACGGCAUCGAAGCCAACCCGGAGAAAAUAGCAGCUAUCAGUGACAUGGGGCCGAUCCAAAACAUAAAGGGAGUUCAGCGCGUCACGCGAUGCUUGGUGGCCCUGAGCCGCUUCAUCUCGCGCCUCGACAAACAGGGGAUCCCCUCUACGGACUCAUGAAGAAGACCGACCGCUUUGUGUGGGCUGCCGAGGCCCAGGAGGUGCUUGACCGGCUCAAGAACCUCGUCGACGGCCCCGGCACAUGCGCCAUCGUCUCUGUCGCAGCUGUCGGAGCGGGCAUUCCCGUUCCUGCCGCCGUCGCGGCCCCCGUCGCGGCCGCUGGGGCACAUCCCUGCCUCCGUUGCGGCCGCCAGCGUAGGCAUCCCCACCCCUGCCACCGCCGGUGUCUCCAUCGCGGCCACUGGAGCAGGUGUCCCCACCUCCACUGCCGCCGCUGUCCCCAUCACGACCGCGGGGGCAGACGUUCCCUCCUCUGUCGUCGCCGCCGUCUCCAUCGCGGUCACUGGGGCAACUACCCCCAUCUCCGCUGCCGCCAUUUCCACCGUCGCCAUUCGAGCCGCGGGCUCCUCCUCCGCCUUGUCGUCAAGGUCUAUCACCUUACCGGUCGGAGGGACCCCAGGGGCAGCGCCUUGUCCCGCAGGGUCAGCCGCGGAGGCAGAAGGCGGAGCAGAGGUCGGACCCUGCCCCGAGCGUGGUUGCAGCACCCUUCCUUCGGUUGCCGCCGCAGACACUGCAGAGGCCGCCUCGCGGUCUCCCCGGUGACACCGUCGCUCACCGCUGGCGGGGUCACAGCUCGCCCCGCGGAGGUGGACGACACCCGCAGUGCCUUCUUCAGCGCCAGUGGCGGGACGAAGUCCCGAGGGGCGACGCUGUGAAACAACAAACAACAUCAUCAAAAAUGGCUCAAUGCUAGGCAAGGAAUAAGAUGCGCGAGGAAUUUCCACUUACACUCCCUCAGCACGAGGACGGCGGGUGCAUUUCGCCUCCGAGCUCGACGCCGACCCCGGGGCAUCUGGCAGCGGCCGCUUGCCGCUACUCCUCUGCUCGCGUGACGCAAGCAGAGGGUCGGGGGACGGCUCCGUCGACUCCUGAGGCGCGCCCCGCGCUGACCCCUGGGGUGCGGCCCCAGAGCCCUGCGGUGUCGGGUCCUGGGCAAGCGGCCCGCUCGGCUUGCCCCCCGCGGCCGGUUGGGGGUGCUUCUCCCAGAUAACGAGCGCGCCCGGCCAAGGGGCCAGAAUGUACUCCUCCUCGUUCACCUCCUCCUCGUCCUCCUCCUCCUCAUCCUCAUCGUCGUUGUCGUCCGACACGACCUUGCCCCGCCGCCGCCGUUGGAGCUCCUUGGCGGCCUUCUUCUUCUUCUUCGCUAUCUCCUUGUCCUUACGCCUCUUCUGCUUCUCAGCGAGGAGGCGGUUCUGCUGACACCGCUCUGCGUCCUCUGGCACUAGCGGGCGCGAGUCCAUGACCCGGAUCAUGUGGCCCAACGGAUACGAAAACUCCGCGUCAGAGCAACGAACCAAGAAAUGCAAGAGAGGGAGACGGGAGCGCGAAGUCCUCACCAGCUUGACAAAAUUCUCAUCCGGACGCAUCGGGUGGUGACCGGGCACCGGGUAAUCAGCGUCCUUGUCGUCCAGCGCCUCCCGAACUCGCUGCUGGAUCUCGGUGUCAGUGAGCACGCCUGUCACAAGGAUGGUGCCCUCGGUUGCGCACUCGGAACCAGGUCGGCGAGUGAGUGAACCCAAAGCAUCAGCGGCGCCACCCACCAAGCAUGGUACGCCCCGAUGACUCCGGCCCCGGUCAGGCCUUUUCCCUUCAAGUGCUCGAUGGCCUGAAGCAGACCGGUGAUCUGCUUCUUCUCCUUCUCAACCGGCCUGUACAACCACAACUCCGGUGUUGCUUCGAUGACGCAGCCGGUGAACGCCGACAAGGGGGAAUUGGAGUAGUUCUUCACGUAGAACCACUGCUGAUGCCACCCCUUGUGGGACAUCGCGGUCUUCAUCGUCAUAUACUCCUUGGCGCGGUUUUGGCGGAGGUGGAUGGCAGCGCACCCUAUCGGCACCGGAGUCGCCCGCUGCUACCUCCCCUUCUUCUCGGCCCUCUGGUACAGGCUGAAUGCCAAGAAGUACUUCCUGAGCGAGAAGUUGGGCUCGAUGCCUAGGAACCCCUCGCACAACGCGACGAAGGUCGCGAUGUGCUAGAUCCCAUUGGGAUUGAGAUGCUGCAGCUCGAGCCCGUAGUAGUGCAGCAGCCUGCGGAAGAAGCGGCUCGGCGGGGUCACGAACUCCCUCUCGUGGAAGUGGGUGAACGAAACGACGUAGCCGGCGAGCGGAUUCGGCACAUCUUCCCUCUCAAGGAACCGCCAUUCGUCCCUCUCGAUCCUCUCGCAGAGGAGGCCUUUCCUCAUGAGGCCGUCGGCGCGCGAGGUACCGAAGCUUGAGCGCGUCCAGGACUCCAUCAUGAAGGGGAGAAAGGUUCGACAGCGGAGGGCGAGGGAAGAUGCUGCGCUAGACGGAGGAAGGCGAACGGCACGCAAGGAGGCAAAGGGCGCGUGAGAAGGUGAAAAGGUUUGAGAACAGGUGUGGGCGGAACCGGCGAGGCAGACCCCCUGUCUUAUAGGAAGGCGCGUGGGAAGCGGAACAGGCAACCCCGUCGCAGUUAAUGCAGCGCCAGGUAUGCCCCGUCAUGCCCGCCUUUUCAGAAUCCGUGCGCACGAUCUGCUACAGGAAAACAUCCCCAUCUCCCUCGUUUCGCGGGCCGGCACCUUCCACCACUUUGUCCGGCCCAAGGCCCGCCAGUAGGUAAAAAAGGGAUACGGGGCUGAAAAUGCCCCUACGGCCUAUUAUGGUCCAGGGGUUCGAAGGCUGGCCCACUACGGGUUUGACAGCCGCCCCAGGACACCCCCGAGUGAGGGGUGAGAAGGGACGGGUCCAAGAGCGGCCAUUACCCGGGCAAGCGACAGCCUAGGGUGUCCCAACCUCACAUUCGAGUCCGGACCAGCACCAAAGUUCAUGAUUUUUCCCCGAAGAAAGGUAACGAGCCCCCGUAUCCGAUCGAAUGGACUCGGUAACUAUGUGAACUGGCCGGCCGGCUGGGGUACGCCACCAGCUUGGCCCGAGUUGGACCCCCCCGAAUGGGGACCGUGACCCCACUCGAAUCGACCCGUUUGCAGCUCAACGAGCACCACGGUUCAUCCAGUGAGGAUAGCGUGGAACGGCUCACCCCCUCCGUCUCAGCGAACAGACGCUUGAGGGGUAACGAUCAAAAGUCGAUCUAGCCUCCUGACCAGUCUCCUGCAACGCGCGGGGCCUUGGGGGCUAGCAUCGCAAACAAUGACCACGCGAAUGGUCGCGAUUAGAAGUCUCCAGGUGGGAAGUGGCCUACGGAACAAUAAGAAACCCUCCCGCACCAAGCCAUCCACAAGACACCUCGCCUGAUCGAUCUCCCCGGCCGAGCCAAGCAAACAACACUCCCUAUCCCUGAUUAACUGCAGCUUGCAUGGCGAGCAGGGAUCCUCGACGAAUGACAAAAGCAGCCUCUGGAGGAGCAUCCAUGCUCCCCCACAGGCUCGGGGGCUACUGUUGGGGGGAAAUAUUAAUGAUCUCCUAAUGCCCCUUAAAACAACAAUCAUGAAGGCCCAGGCCCACCUGCGAUAAUGUUGAUUACCACCGACCCAGCAUGGGUAAGGAACAUCCCGCUCUGUCUCACCCGACCCAGGGCCCCGGGCUCGGACACUCCCGACCCCUCGAUGGCGAAACUCCGCCUCGCCCGACCCACGGUCCCAGGGUCCGGUGCGCUCGACCCCUCGCUGCAAGGCUCCGCCUCGCCUGACCCUGGGCGUAGGGGGUCGGACUCAUCCGGGACCACAAGACAAGGGUCCGCCUCGGGUGCAGGCCGGCAGACAAGGGCGCGGAUCUCGUGGGUCCCCUACCGAUCUUGCCAUAAAUGCGCCGCGGCUCUAGCGCGCAGAAAGGCACCUGCGCCCCUUGACGUGACCCGCCACAAGUACCCGGGUGGAACACUGUACCAACGACCGCACAGGCUACAGUGGCCGCGGCUCCCCCUGAUUCUCGAUUGGGCACUCAUAGCAUGCGCCGCCCGGCACACGGGGGAGCGCCGCCCGUUCUCGCGCUCAGCGUAUCCGGCGACAGGGAUGCGACAUCCGUGUUCCACGGGACGUAAGCAGGACAACAGGGGUCAGUCGUCUUCCCCAACGUGCACAGUUGCCACGACCGGACACCAUCAUCAUGCUCGGCGGCGAUGGUCGCCCGAAGGACCAGCGACAGGAUCCGGCGGCAGCCGCCCUCCUCCGGUGGCGGCGCUGACAGGAGCUGAAGGCCGGAGCAGGAGGUGGCGAUCCGGGGACUUGGUCCUCCUCCUUGUACUUUACUUUACUUAGCUUAUCUCUUUUACUUCUCCAAGACACCCGGUCUCACCUGUAACCCUGAACCCUCCUUGCGCUAUAAAAGGAGAACUAGGGCCCCGAGACAGGGAACUCAAAGGCCAACAGAACAUAUACACUCACCUCUAGAGCAUCAGUGCACACCCAAGAGACUCGGGACCAGCUCCCUCUCUCACCCGUUUGUAACCCCUACUACAGACCACGCGUGAAGAACACGAGCAGCUCCUCAUACUGGAUGUAGGGCUUUCCUUGCCCGAACCAGUCUAAUCCCGUGUCUCCUCAUGCCACCAUCCGAAGCCUUACAUGCAUAAAAGAAAUUUACUAGCCAUAGUCUUGAUCCGUUAAUCUUGACAACGACACUUUGUGUCACGUCACAAAGCAAUAGUCGGCUCAUCCAGAAUGACCGGCGACUGACCGAGGUUCGAAGGCCGGCCCGCGAAGGGCUUGAGGCCGCCUCGCGUCAAACAGAGCCAAGGGAGAAAAUGCAGAUGGAGCCCCAAUGGCCUUCGCUCGACCUGCUCAGAAGCAGUCCGGACCAUCUCGACCUUUUCGUUCGAUGCUAACCUCGAGACAUGUCCACAUAAUGUCCAUUGAGGGGAGACCAGCAGGCCACCUGAGUCAGUCUCCAGAACGACUCGGGCAUCUGCCGAGAGGCGGGUUAAGGAGCAGUGGAAGGCCCAAAGCGGGCUAUACCGACCCUGUUAUGAAUGAUGGACCCGGAUUCCGCUCGAACAUGCCCGUUAGCAAGCUCACCGAGCGCGUCACUCGAGCCAUUGAGGCAAGUGGUGUUAGCUCAGCCCCUCCGAUCACAGAGACCGAGGAUGGGGUGACACACGAAACUCGACUGAUGGUGACCAAGUCCAAUGGGGCUCGGGGGCUCAGGCCGCCGUGUCCCGACUCAAGGAUACGACCAAGGACUUAAGUCAUGGUCAAAACAAACACGGGCAAGCACCCCGAUCUUAAGAACCACAUCCUCCCGAGGGAUGGGGACACUGAGGUUCACGGCCCCAGAAGUGAAUACCUAAGUGUUCAGCCUCCGACCGACUCUCCGGUCAGCUGCAUGCUUGGGGCAACACCCACCGGGUGCGCUCGCGUGCACCCGGCGGAAGCUGGACCAAUAGUGGAUCCCCUCCAAGGGAGGAAAGUGCCAGCAUCCACUCGACCCACCUCUGGUCAAAAAAACGCCCAAGUGUUCAGCCACGCCCAAGUGUUCAGCCUCCGACCGACUCCUUCAUCAGCCGCAGGCUCGGGGGCUAGACCCACCAGGUCCGCUCGCACGAACCCAGCGGAAUACAGACUAUGAGCAAGUCCUUCCCUCGUAAGCUGGCCACCCUGUACAACUCGACGUGUCCCUACGACCUUUGCUAGUCAUCUCAUCGAGAGCUGGGCGCCAGUAUUUACUCGGCUACCAUACGCAAUGCGGCAGACAAAGGGAAACAACGCUGGAAGUCUCAACGACAAUCCGCCUUAAUGGUGCGAUGGGCACAGAACUCACAUGCCAAAGAUAAGCUUUUCAUUGAGAUGAAAACACAAGCCAAAGGCUUUACAAUAUCACGCAAAGCGUGUGAACACAGGAGCCCUAAGGCUUUACAAUAUCACGCAAAGCGUGUGAGUUCAACCUAGGGGCCACCCUACAACUCGAGAACGAAACAAACAAGAAGAGCGCAAUAAAUAGGAAGCUGCACUCAAAACCUCGCUCGUUGACCCAUCCUCGCCAAUCCUUCCUCCUCCGAGCACGAGGCACCAGAGGCCGAAGAAGAUAAACAAACUCAGGGAGCACAGGAGUGCUACCCCCAAAGUUCUCUCUUCCCUCUGAGACAAUCUAUAUAAAGGAGGGCGGCGGCGCGCCCCUGGGGGCACGGCGUGGGGGACUUGAGAGAACAAGAGGUUGGGAGAGGAGAGAGCCGGUGGGUGGAGGGAGAGGAUAAGGUUCUGCAAUGGGCCCCUUUAGUUAGUGUAAUAGGGGCACAAAUGCCAUUUCAUGUGACGCCGAUUCCCCUUCCAUCCAUGUUCCGGUAAAAUCUAGCAGAUUCAUGUUCCGUUAAACUCUAGCAGAUUGGUAACGGAAAUGGCAUAAAGGGAUAAAUUAGAGUUUCUAUGGCACUGAUGGAAUCCGAAAAUUUUUCAUUUUCAUGACAUCGAGGGAAUUUAAUUCCCUCAAUUAACUAUCAGGCAAUGAGAUUAAGUGAGAAGAUCACCGGGCUGUACCAACCACGCACAAACCGCGGAACAGAUACGAAAUAAACGGGAGCAGUACAUUUGGAUUGCAAUUUCAACACUCUUUCUAAUGAGUAGGCAAUAAGAAAAUAGAGUUCAUUUGGAGAAAAUAUAAAACAAGAGUGCAUCGUCCAUUGGCAAGUACAGAAAUCGACUAGCAACACACAAAGUUGGGUCCUCUACACCUUACAUGGUUCAGUAGUUGACACUGAGCUUCAGAUGGCACUUGUUCGCACCUGCUACUCUACAGACACAUUCUCGAUGUCAUUGCAUAUGCAACUCCACUGCCAAGCUGAUGCUGCUUUGCCCUUUGUUCUAAAAGACACAUUCAUGACAAAGUACUGAGUAAAACCGGAAAUUGGGUGUUCAGGUGCUAUAACAACUCCAAUUCCAGCCUUAAAAGUCCAUUUGUAUGUAGACUCAUUCAUUUUCAAAACAACGUGCAAUUCCUCUUGCUUCUUCACAGCCACUAUAUGCUUGAACAUCGACCCACUUCCACAAAAUUUGCCAUCAUAUAGUGAAAUCUCCUCAUCAAACCCACUAGUUGAGGCACUAAUUCUCACGUCUGAUGGUUGUUCUGCUUCUGCCUUUACCUCUAUAACAGUCUCAAUGCUGUCACCUAGCAAAGCAAAUAUCAUGUCCACGCCAUAAACUUCGCCCUGAAACCGUCCUAUCAAGACGGAUCCAAAUCCAGCAAAAGAAGUGUCGAUUUCAACAUACCCACUAAACAACGGUGUGUCAGGAGAUCCUUCUUCCUCUUUUAUCCAAAGAUUAACAUCCAUUAAAAAAUAUGGACACACAUAUAUUCCACGACAUGGGCUACAAAGUGGCAGGAAAGAGCAACCCUGUAGGUAUACAAUGUUAGAACUUCUUAUAAUAUAAAAAGUAUAAGCGCUAUUAAAAAUAAGACCAGCAGAACAGUUCGGUAUAAUGCUGUACAACGCAUAAAAGCGAGUUCAACUGGUAGGUUAAUAGAAUGAAUCCGACAUCAUUUUUUUGUAAAGAAAUAUCACAAUUAAUGGUUUACUCAUGUUGGAAAGAACAUGACAUUUCUCCAACUAUGACCAUAGUUACAAGUGAAUUAGUCAAUAGUAAAGGAUCUGUUUUCCAAUGAGUAAGCUAACAGCGGCUUUUAAAUUUUAUAGUACACCCAUCAAUCCAAAUGGCAUUUAUCUACCAUGAUAAAAGAAUAGAAGUUUUACGGCAUAGUUUUUUAAAGGUCACACAUUCCUGAAAAGAGAGAACUGUGUGCUACAAAAAAUGAAUGGUGGUUUGAAGUAAAUUAAAGAUCCAUAUCACACGUGCAACCAGUAAGGUGAAAAACAGGAUCUAGAUGUAACCUCAAAAUUGGGUAGGAGCUUUUCCAUAAAUCUAUUAUUUCUCACACCCAUGAUAUUCAACCUCAUCCAAUGCAUUAUUUUCAUUUAAGUGACAAUAGAACACUGUUAGCUGCUCUGCUACAGGAUUGUGUUUGGUUCAACAAGCUACCAAAAUUACAGGAUUUGGGCAAUCAGGAACAAUACAAAUGAUUCUAUAAUUUGAAACAUAUUUAAUGUCACCAAAUAACCAAAUCCUAUUCCAGUAUGUAAUGGUACCAUACCCUAGAAGCCUAACUUCACAAAGUAAUAAAAUACAGUUCUGUGCAGAAGCAUACCCUUCCCCUUUCUUUUCAGACAACCCAAAAUAUAAAUUCAUAACUCUCAUAUUUGCGAGUAUAAAAAAUAAGAGUUGACACCGACUACACUUUACAUACGACCUGGCACCAGUACUUAUAUAGUUAUAUAUGCAUUGGCAUGGCAAGAAUUGGGACUAGCACGUCCAAGAUCAAGUCCAAACAAGUUGAAGCAUAAUAAAAAGCACUAAGCUCUAAGCAGACUGGUCAGAAAGGAGGCAAGCAAGAUUGGAGGUAGCACCUAGGAGCACCUAAGUGCCACAUAAUCAUCCCGCUUAAAAUAGUUGAAAACACAGGGUAAGGUAGCUAAUGAAAACUUGAAGGAAACAUGUGAUAAGGAUAACAGAGUUCACCAAUUAAAAAUGUAUUUUGUAAAAAUAAGACAUGCAGUAGACUUCUACCUACUGCUUUACACAGCAGAUUAGGAAAAACAAGUAGUGCCUUCAGACACUACAAUAGGUAGACAAACUUCCUGAACCUAACCCCCUCACACCAACAAGAGGGUGAUUUGACAUCCUUUUUCCUCUACAGUAAUAAGUUUUUUAAUGAGUAGUCAGCAAUUAGUUUUAUCGUAUCAAAUAACUUUCCAAAGCUAUCUUUCCAACUUGAUGAACUAAACAUCAUCACAAACCAAGGGAAUGAAAACAAGGAAUCAUUUUCCCUACGAACUUGCUAGUACCCGGACGUCCGAUGGGAGAUGUUCCCAUCGGAUGGCACCAAUCAUCAGCCACCGACAGAUUCUCACCAGGUGCUCUAACUGCCCAUCGCAACAUGAAACCACAACAUAUGCAACAUCACAGAUGAAUAUUUGCAACAUCAAAAUUAUUCUAGACUAGCUCAUUGCAUCCAACCAAUUUCAGACAAAAAUACCACCGAAACAUCGCAUGUUUCAUGCAACAUCGAUCAAAAUAAUUCUGAUUUAUUCAACAGAUCAUAAUAAGAGUGCUCCAACACUCAAAAUGUCGCAUCGCAACAUUCAUAAAUCAAAGUUGCAACACCUCCAAACAACAGUAGAGGAGAAGCCUCGUGGACGCGGUAGACGUGUGGUCCUCAUGACAGAGCUUCAAUUCAGGACAAGAACAAGCAUCACUUACCUGAGAAAUCAUGGCUGGAUCAUUUCUUGAGCGAUUAAAAAGAUAGUUGCGGAGUGGUUCCCAGGCAUCACGAACAGAAAAAUGCCCAUAAAUAUUAAUAGGACGAGCAAGAGGGCUUGAUAAUCCAAGGGAGAACACUUGCAUCAUCUCACAGGGUAUGAAAUACGGAUGAUCUAGUGCAGCUGCAAGUAUAAAAAAUGAGAAUUGGACUACACGAGAAAAAGAUAAAGUAGCAUGCCAUUGAUCAUUAGUUCACCUACUUUCAUCAGUAUCUCCGAUCCAAUACUGCACAUGGUAGCAGUCAUCUCCAGAAACACAGUUUUUGGUUACCCUUGGAAGAACACGUAGAGGCAACGCAGGCAAAGGAGUCGUGUUGUUGUUAAACAGGUCAGACCAUUCUGAGAGCAGGUCACCAUUCCUUUCCCAGGUAGAUUCAACUAUUUCUUUAGCUUCCUCCAGUGUAUACUUUUGUCCUGUAAAAACAACAGUUCCAUUCAACUGGUUAUUAUAAAACUCUUGUUUAAGGAAAAUCUUCGUUAAGGAACUGCAUGAAUUUUGUUGAUGCAAAACCAAUAUAAUUUUACAUCACGAUUUUGCAAGUUUCAUUCAUAACUAUUGUUUCUUCAGUUUUGGAAAAGGUCUUAGAUGUUACAGAUUACCGAGCGGCGUUCUCUUUGGUCUAAAAAAAUAUGUUACGCGUGUAGUUUCCAAAAAUACCAGCAGUUAGUUUCUCAUUACCUUCAGGGCAAAUAUGUAACGGAUACUCCCAGGGCCACUUGACUGGCAGAUACGGGUUGCCAUCCUCCUCGUCCCAACCCCUCAUGUCGUCUUCGCUGUCAACUUCGCUGUCGUCUUCGCUGUCCUCUUCGCUGUCCUCCUCAUCCACGGUGUCGCCUCGGCUGCCGUUCUUCUCCUCCUCGCCGCCACCGCCGCCGCAUUUCUUCUCCUCAUCCCCAUCUUCGACGGGGCGCUCAAUUAUCUUCAACUUUGGAUCAGGCUCACCCUGUUCUUCCUGCACAACACACCAGAUUGCCUCCAUGAAUCGCCGCGAGGGAAUCGAUGGACCGAGAGGGCGAAAAUCAGAUUAGGGUUUGGGUCGGAGGAUUUCGGUGGUGUGAUGGGGGUCGGCCGCCGGCUGGGGGUGAAUAUCGCUGGGGGUGGUCUCCGCUUUUAAUUGACGUCUCGUAAGGCCGGGCGGACUCGUGGCCCUUUACCACACAAACACAGCAGUAGCGCUUGUGGCCCAAUACGGCCCAACAGCGCGAAAGAACGGCGGAAAUCUUAUGGCAAUCGAGAAAACCUCCUCCCUCGAGCGUCUUGCUUCUUCAGCAAGUGGUCCAGCCAGCGGAUUUUCCUGACAACUAUUUCCUUACAAAAUAGAUUCACAGGAAAGCUAAAAUAAAUAGGACCUAUCGUAUCUUUAAGAAGGUGGGAAACACAUUGAAUGUUUAAUUGCAUGCAUCACAUGAUGCAUGUAUGGACGAUCCUGAAUGAUGGGGUUCAACCAAUUUUCUUGUACCAUAUAUUUCACUCCUACUAGUAGAAAAAUAAAUUAAGUUGGAUGGCUUCAUCAUGGAUGAGUUGGUACAAUUUACCCAAUCAAAUAAAAAAACUAUUAUUAUUUUGAACCAUUUUAUACAUGAAUCAAAUGAUACAAGUAACCAAACACACCCAUAGUGACGGGUCCAUAGACCCAAGGUUCCCAACGGGACAGACUUCCCGCAACACUUGGCCCCACAAAGGGCUCGACAAUAUUGCGCAUCUGGGCCGGCCCAGCUGCGCAAUGCCGGGCCAAAAACACGACCCGCCCACCGACCGACUCCUCUGACUGAGAGGCCCGGUCGGAGCCCCGACGCAAGGGGUCCAGCCAGGGGUGGGACCGUAGUCCGACCCCGACCAAGUUCUCCCGAUCGAGUACUCCCGACCGGGGAUAUACCGUACCUCCCGUACUGCUCCCCCGACAGGCACGAUCGGGGCCGACUGGGACUACCGACAGGGGGCACACGCUUGGUGUGGGUCUAGGGAGCAGGUGGGACGGAUAACGAGGCGGCGCCCGAGUCAGCCGAUCGUAUGCAGAACCGUACCAUGCCACGCCCUGCGCACGCCUACACAGUGCCGCCGUAAACCUACCCGUUGCGGCGUAGUGGCCUAACAAGGAGAACAGGGACCGAGGACGGAGGCCAUACCGUACCCGAUGACGUGGGCCGCAAGACUAGAUAGCACCCGUACACUCACUCUCUCUGUCUCUCCCGACUGUAAGGCCGUUCCCUUGAACUACAAAAGGGGACGGACCCCUGUUUCUACAACAUGUUCACAACAUUUGAUAGACGAUUUUUCACACACUCCCCCACACUCUAGUGCACGCCAGAGCUCCUACCACUCUCUUCCACUGAUAGGAGAACAAGGCCAGGACUCAGGCACCCCCUCUCAUACUCCUCUCGUUUGUACCCCCCACUACGAACUUUGAGCAUCUGAGCUCAGGAAUAAAGUUGACCGACCGACCCUGACUAGACGUAGAGCACGUUGCCUGAACCAAUAUACAUCCUGUAUCAUUACGUGCUAGGCCACAUCCGAUCUAACGCAAUAGCAAAACUACAAAUAUUUACUUGUCGGCCAGAUUUCACACCGACAGUUGGCGCCGUCCGUGGGGAAGACAUCGUUGCAUUCGUGUUUUAGGUCAUCGAAUGGCUAACCUUCCUGCCAUCUUCGGCAUGAUGAGCUCGAGCGACACGAUUCGCUUCGGUUUGCUGGACUUUCCCACCCCCGCACUCGGUGGAGCGUGGGUUCCUCCCGUCUUCACGCCACUCCAGGCCUUCCGUUUUGGGAGCCUGGACUUCAUCGCUGAUCAACUCGGCAUCCUCUGCCUUUGUGACGAGGUGGCUCCCCCGGCAUCCCCAGGAGGAAUGUCUCGCAUCAUCGUCUGCGAGCCGCUCGAUGACCUAGAUGUCAAGGCGCUCGCGCUUCGUAUCGAGUCCAUGCUGGGCACGAACCUCACGGUAAGUGACAUGGAUACUAUCAUGUAUUCACUUGUUAACACCUUCCGCUAGCUCUCCGGAGAAGCUCUGUUGUCACCACCACGCUCACCACACGGUUGGUUCCCUUACAGCCUCAUCUCCCCCGCGAACGCGUACGCUCGGGACUUUGGAGGGUGAUAGCGCUGCUCCCUCUCGCGCUCGAGUUUGUGGGAAUGGUGGACUACGCCCUCGCCUUCUUCCACGACCUUUGUGAUGAGGAGCUCGAGAGCGAUGGCUCCAGCAUCGGCGACGCGUUGUCGCUCGACCAUCCUCUGUCCCGGGAGUGCACCAUGGCAGAUGCCCCGGGACAGCUCCCGGAGGCAGUGGAGUCCGCUGAGACACACACCCCGCCGAACCACCGUGCGGAGGUCCAGACGCAGGUGCAAGUGCAUGGUGAUAAGCUGCCACAGUAGCAGCAGGACCAGCAGCCGCUAGCACCGGCACGCCCACCGCGUCACCCAGAGCCGCAUGCCUGCAACGCGGGAAGCGACACACGAAGCCGUGCCCACCAGGUUCGGUGCAACAUCAUGGCUGGGGAGGAUGACCUCCCAUAAUUCGCUCAGGCCGACCAGAACAUUGCCGCCAUGGUAAUGCUUUUGCGUAGCCUCCCUGAACCCGCUGAUCCCCUGGAGCAGGUAAUCCACCGGAACCUCCGGACACUGGUGGAAACCGUUGCGGCACAGCAGGCGGAGAGCUCCGCGUCGUGUCAGCGACACGCAACAUCUUGCCUAACUGGAGCAUUGGGCCCGCACCAGCCGAACCGCUACGUCCAUUCGCCUCAGCAUCCCUGUUGUGCAGGUCAGAGCGCCGCGGCCGCACCGCAGCUUGACCCAGCACCAGCUCCGCAUCCCCAGCACAUGCAUGAACGCAUAGGGCCGAACCAUGACGCGCGUAUUGUCAUCCACCCGCAACGUGUGGCGCGACACAAUGCCGACGUCGACCACAUGGCAGCGAGAGCGGAGGACAUGGGCCGCAACCAGCACGACGAGGAGCACGAGAAGGUGCACUCUAGGCGUGGCAGCCGACCCAACGACCGGAAUGGAGAUUGAAGACCUAGCCCGGAUGGACCGAGGCCCCGGACCUUCGGCUGCCGCAUCCAGAAAGCGUCGUUCCCUCGGUGCUUCCGACCGCCCACCAACAUCACCAAGUACACUGGGGAGAUGAACCCCGAUGUGUGGCUCGAGGACUUCUGGCUCGCCUGCUGAGUCUGUGGAGUAGAUGAUCAUAACUUCAUCAUCCAGUACCUCCCCAUCUACAUAGGGGAGUUUGUUCGAGCGUGGCUCAAGUUCCUCUUCCCAAUAGCAUCCGUGACUGGGCGGAACUCAAGAAGGUCUUCGUAGGGAACUUCCAAGGGACUUAUGUCCACCUUGGGAAUUCAUGGGACCUCAAGAGUUGUAAAUAGAAGCCCAAGUUCUCGAGGCAAUGCAACUCCCUCCUGGAUGUUGUCAACGCGGAUGUCUUCAGCGCAUUCCUCUCCGGGACGACCUGCGAGUCCUUGAUCCACAAGCUCUGCUGCCAGAAGCCCUGCACCACCCGCGAGCUACUCGACCUCGCCACGAACCACGCCUCAGGUGAGGAGGUGGUCAGGGUGGUCUUCAACACCGGUUGGGACAAGGGCAAGGCCAAGCGCAAAGACCGGGAUGAGGGCCCCUCCAUGAAGCAGGGCAAGAAGAACAAGAAGGAGCAGCACCGACCGACUCACCCGAUCAUAGUAGCGGCGGCCGGCCGAUUGGGCAAGCAACCCUAGCAUGGCCGAAACGACCACUUCAAGAAGCUCAUGGAGAGCCCCUGCACCAACCAUGCCUUCCCCGUCAAGCACCUCGACAAGGACUGCGAACUCCUCAAGCGCUUCCUGCGGCAAGCCGGCAAGCUGAAGGAGCGGACAAGCAAGGAAGACGCGGCCGACAAGGAGGACGCGGCAAGCAAAGAUGGAGACAGCUUCUCUGAGCCUGAAACUUGCCUCAUGAUCUUCGGGGAACCCGACGCUGACCACUCCAAGCGCCAGCGCAAGGUGCGCCACCGAGAGGUAUGCAUCGUUGAUUCAGCUAUCCCUACUUACCUAAGCUGGUCGAAUCAUCUGAUCACUUUCGACCAGAAGGACCAUCCCACCUGCGUGCCCCGACCGAGUUGGUACCAACUCGUCAUCGACCCCAUCGUCGACAAAAAGCACCUCAGUUGGGUACUACUGGAUGGGGGUAGUGGCCUCAACAUCCUCUAUGUUGAACCCUGGAUGCCAUGCGCAUCCCCCGGUCUAAGCUCUGACCGGUCAUCGCACCUUUCCACGGCGUGAUCCUGGGAAUGCAGGUGUAUCCGCUCGGGCAGAUCAACCUACCCAUCACAUUCAGCGACUGCGCUAACUUCCACAUGGAGGUCCUAACCUUCGAGGUGGUGGAAUUUCUCGGGUGCUACCAUGCUAUCCUAGGGCACCCAUGUUACGCCAAGUUCAUGGUGGCCCCCAACUACACUUACCUCAAGCUGAAGAUGCCGGGACCAAACAGCACCAACACACUGGGUAGUAACUUCUCGCACGCCUACACAUGCGACCACAAGAACUUCGAGCUCGCCACCGACCUUGCCCACUCCGCCGAACUCCAGAAGCUCGAAAAGGAGGCUGCUCCAGCCAUGCCCGACUACAAGGAGACGACCGUCGUGAGCGCCUUCAGUCCGACUGAGGAGACCAAGGCGGUGGAGAUCGACUCCAGCUACUCGACCAAGAUGGUGCAGAUCGGGACAAAGCUCCCAACUGAAUAGGAAAGCGAGCUCGCCGACUUCCUACGUGCCAACCGGGAUGUCUUCGCAUGGAAGCCUGCUAACAUGCGUGGCAUCCCGAGGGAGGUCGCCGAGCACGCAUUACGCAUCUCCCCGGGCUUGAAGCCCGUCAAGCAACGCCUGCGCCACUUCAACAACGAGAGCCGUAGGGCUAUAGGCGAGGAGAUCGCCAAACUCCUGGCGGCCAGUUUCAUCAAGGAAGUGUACCACUCCGACUAGCUCACCAACCCAGUUCUUGUAAAAAAGAAAAAAUGGGAAAUGGAGAAUGUGUGUUGACUAUAAUGGCCUCAACAAGGCGUGACCUAAGGAUCAUUUUCCUUUACCACGCAUAGACUGGAUAGUCGACUCCACCUCAGGAUGCGAAAUCCUCUCCUUUCUGGAUGCCUACUUGGGCUAUCACCAGAUCGCGAUGAAAGAAUCCAACCAGGUCGCGACCUCUUUCCUCAUCCCAUAUGGCUCAUACUACUAUGUGACCAUGUCGUUCGGUCUAAGGAACACCGGUGCCACCUACCAGUGGUGCAUGCAAUAGUGCUUCACCGACCAGAUUGACCCGCCCGACCAACCCGACCAAGUCGAGCUAUCAAAAGGCACUAUCGCCGUCUACGUGGACGACAUAGUGGUAAAGACGGUUCACGCGAGCGACCUGAUCGCAAACUUGGUCGCAACCUUCACGAACAUUUGAAGGUUCAGCAUCAAACUGAAUCCCGAGAAAUGCGUUUUGGAGUUCUGAAGGGGAAACUACUUGGAUACAUCGUGUCCGAGCGCGGCAUCCAAGCCAACCCCAAAAAGAUCAUGGCCAUUGCUACAUGGGCCCCAUACGCAAUGUCAAAGGCAUACAAUGGCUUACAGGCUGCUUGGCCGCUCUGAGCCGGUUCAUUUCCCGACUCGGCGAGAAGGGGAUGCUGCUCUACAAGCUCCUCAAGAAGACAGCCACGUUUGUCUAGACGGAAGAGGCACAGAAGGCUUUAGAGAGCCUCAAAUCAUUGCUGACUUUAGCCCCGGUCCUCAUCGCUCCCGAGGGAGAGGAACCCUUACUCCUCUACAUCACAGCAAGCAACCACAUGGUCAGCGCCAUUCUCGUCGUCGAGACGGAGGAGCCCAGGCACGUGCUGAAGAUUUAGCGACCGGCAUACUUCGUCAGUGAGGUGCUCACUGAUGCCAAGUUGUGCUACCCCUAGGUGCAGAAGCUUCUGUACGCCGUCCUGAUGGCGAACCGGAUAUUCCUACACUACUUCACCGAGCAUGAGGUUAUGGUCGUCACCUCGUCCUCUCAUGGUAGCAUAUUGCCAAGAGGUGCGCAAGCUCGAGGGAAAAUUCCGGGGGAUCGAACUGCAUCACGUCCUACGAAAGGACAACAACGCCGCUGACUCCCUAGCAAAAAUGGUAGCCAAACAGGAACCAACACCAGAUGGAGUCUUCGUGAAUGACCUCCGCGAGCCAUCCACCCGCGUCCGGGAUGACCCGACGUAGACGCCGCCUAGCCCUGACCAAGCGCUCGGGGGCUCUGCCGUGCCGACGCGGCCUGACGCCGACCAAUGGCUCAAGGGCUCUGAUUCGGAUAAUGUGGUGAUGAUGCUUCAUCCAGCUAACUGGAGGGCGCCACUACUCACUUACAUCCUCGAAGAAGUCCUCCCACUGGAGAGGAUGGAAGCACGAAAAAUCUCUCAUCAUGCCAAGACGUUCAUUGCCAUCGGCGACGAACUCGACAAACGAAGUCCGUCAGAGGUACUCAUGAAGUGCAUCCCGACUGACCAGGGGAAGUAGCUUCUCCUCAAAGUCCACGUCGGAAUUUGCGGACGUCACACGGCCCCACGUUCGCUGGUCGGGAAAGCUUUCUACCAAGGCUUCUACUGGCCACAGCACUGUGCGACGCAAAGGAGGUGGUCUGCAAGUGAGAGGGAUGCCAGUUCUACGCUCGGCAGACUCACCUGCCAACGUAGGAACUACAGACCAUUCCCAUCACCUGGCCAUUUGCGGUCUAGGGCCUCGACAUGGUCGGGCCCCUCAAGAAGGCCCCAGGUGGGCACACACACAUGCUCGUGGUGGUGGACAAGUUCACUAAGUGAAUCGAGGCGAAGCCCAUCACCAACAUCCGCUCCCAAGAGGCGGUCGGGUUCUUCCUCAACAUUAUCUACCGGUUCAGAAAUCCCAAUUGUAUCAUCAUAGAUAAGGGAACAAACUUCACUGGCAAGAAGUUCCUAGAUUUUUGUGAUGGCUACGGUAUCAAGGUUGGCCUCGGUCGGACACCCGCGGACCAACGGCCAGGUCGAGCGAGCCAACGACAUGGUCUUCCAAGGACUCAGCCAGGCAUCUUUGACCGGCUCAAGAAGCACACCGGCUGAUGGGUCACGAAGCUUCCAGUAGUCCUCUGGAGCGUGAGGACGACCCCAAACCGAUCGAUGGGGUUCACCCCCUUCUUCAUGGUAUACGGUGCUGAGGGGUGUUGCCAUCCGACCUUGACUACAACGUUCCAAGGGUAAAGGCGUUCGAUCCCGACCAAGCUGUGGAGGCUCAACAGGACACGGUCGACCUACAUGAGGAAGCACGCAAAAUGACGCUCAUCCGCUCUGCCCGCUGCCAACAAACCCUUCGCAGGUACCACGAGAGGAAGAUCCAGGGAAGAAUCCUUGAGGUUGGCAACCUCGUACUUUGGAGGACCCAAACAACCAAGGACAAGCACAAGCUCUCUCCACCAUGGGAAGGACCAUACACGGUGGCCGAGGUGAUCUGCCCGGGCACCUACUGACUGAAGGACGAUGACGGCAACAUCCUCGCCAACACUUGGAACAUUGAGUAGUUACGUCAUUUCUUUCCUUGACUCAGUUCAUUACCAGUCCUUCUCCAUUCAACACUUGCUCCUACAACACCCCAGCCUGAACACAUUCGGCCUAGGUCACUCAGGGGCUCCAUGGGGCUAUGGCACUGUGGCGGAACCGCCCAACUUAAACUGGUUUAACUGUGCCUAAUCGCUGUUAGAACAACAAUUAUCUGAAACGCACUUAAAACAGUAUAAGUCCGGUAGUCCGUCGAGUGUCCCUAGGACUCCUCGAACGAUCCACAUCAUGUCUCAUAGCCAUACACCAGGAUUACUUCCAUGAUGGGAAAGCAUCAACAAAUAUUACAUUUUUACAUACAUACAUGAGGUACGAGUUAUUACAGAACGUAGUUUGAAAUAAACUUAACAGUGCAGGUUAGAGAGAUUCUAGGAGUUUAAAACAUAAACUGGUCCAGGUGAGAGAUGAGCAUUUAAGUUUUCUUCUGAGGGUAUUGUGAGACUCGUAACAAUACCCUAGUUUUUCGGGGCCUCCUCCUCUGCGGACUCCUGCGGUGAUUCUGAAAACAGCCACAAGGGAUAACCCUGAGUACGGGGUACUCAGCAAGGAUUACCUGACUAACCAAUAUAAUAGUUUUUCUGGAACUAUAUGAUAGCUUUUUGGUGUACUGGCUGACACACUUUUUGCCAAAAGAGCUUACUAAAAGUGAGACCUUAGCUUUAUCUUUUAUUCCUAACCAUUCUAAAUGAUGACAAAAGAAUAUUUUGCAAGCAGCAAGAUAUUUAAGUCAUACACCAAGUUAUUAUUGGAAAGACAUUGCAUUUAUGAAAUUAUACUACGAUGCUCAACAAUGAUCAAGUGCAUUCAUAACCGAGAAUUGCGGCGAUCCAGAUAAAUUUACAUCCUGCAGGAGAGUACCUUGAUCACCAGCUAUGUACGACUGUCCAGGUCAUACAUAACGACCUUUCGAUUAGCAAACCCAAGGAUUGGGAAUAAGACUACCCGAACCCAGGGACGCACCCCCACAUGGGACCCCACGUCUGGUCUGAUCUCCAUGUGAGCUUCAGGCUACGCACCUGCCAAUGUCAAGCACGUCAAGCACGGGUACGAAGUAUUCCCAAUCAGAGAGUCUACUAACCUACCGGGCUUUACUGGUCCCAUACCCAGUAAGUAAUCAGGUGUCAUUCACUUGAUCAAAGGUUAAGACAACGAUCGGGCCUUAACCAGAUUAAACUAGCAGACAGAACUAUCAUCUCUAGCUUCUGCCUGCUUUCAACUCCCAAGCUACCUUUCCAUACUUAGCAUGUAUGACUCAACGUUUCACCUUAAGGUUUGGUAAACAAGUUACUUUAAGCAACUAAGCAUUUCUAAACUUGGGUUCCUUACUAAUUGUUUGAACAAGUGGCAAAGAUGUCCUUAAAACAAGGUAUGAUAAUGCACAAGAAUGGGUUUCAAUCAAUUCCUAGACUUAGUGCAUUCAUAUAAAAAUUAACCAAUAAUUGGACACAUGAAAUAAUAAUUCCAAAGUAGAUAAGUAUAAAUGCACUGGAGCUUGCCUUGUUCUAUAAAAAUAUUAGCACUGUCCGACGGAUUGGCUUCGCAGGGGAUCGAUUCAAUGAUCUCUUCAAACUCCGGAGAUCCUUCUGAUAAUUCCAAGAAAUCCUCUUCCGGUGCUUCGGUGUCUAUGAUAAAGCAUAUGCAUGGGUUAGUGAUGCAACUUUUUGAAUACAAGACUAUACAACUUUCCUUCAUGAUAAAGUUGGAAGCCAACAAGGGACUACACAAUUUAUCAUGAUGAAGUUGCAAGCCAACACACAAAAAAAACCCAAAAAGAUUAACCCACCAUUUUUAUUUUCUUUACUAACCUUACCUUAGGAUUUUUCUUUUGUUUUUAGAAAAUAUUAUAAUUAUUUUCUAGCCUCAAAAUCUAAGUUCCUAUAGGUUAAUAAUAAUUUGUGAUUAUGAAAACAUUAUUCCAUAUUUAUGUAUUAAUAAAGGUUAAGUAUUUAUUUAAAUACCUUAAUGAAAAGGCAUUAAACAAAUACGUAAAUUUUAUUAUUUUUCCUAGGGUAUAAAAUUUUUUAAUACAUAAAGGAAAAUAAAACAAUCCUAACAAAAUUGGUUUCACUAAUUUUGGACACCCCAAGAAAUUUCUAUGAUUUAAAUGGUGAUAUAUGAAUUUAAUCUAUUAAUCUUACAAAAGAAAAUCUAUAUUCUUUCCCAAAAACCCCCGGCCUACUUUUCUUACUCACCGCCUUCCUACCCCCUCUCUCUCACGCUGGGCCCGCGGCUCGGACCCACCUCCUUCCUUGUUCCUUCUACCCGCCGGCCCUUUUCUCCUCUGCCGGGCUCACUGGGCCGAUUCCCUUUCUCCUCGUCUUUCCUUAAUCUGGUACCGGCCCACGGCCUACUGCUCUUUCCCUCUCCUUCCUCUAAUGCCCGGCCUGCUAACCUGUUCGUCGGCCUGCUGGACCGCUGGCCCAACACACCCUCACGGCGCCCCGGAUCGGAGCUUGGGCUUAUAGGACUCCGGCCCACCAUGCUUUCGCUGCGCCCCGGCCGGUCUCUUCUAUGCUUCCCCCCCUUUUCUCCGACUGACACGUGGGCCCGCUAUCACCAGCGUCUUCUUCCUUCUCGCGCCAAAACCCGAGCGCGGCAGGGGGCGGCACGGCUCGCCAGCCGGCGCCCCACCGACGACGGGGCUAGGCUAGGAAAGCAUCCCCAUACCAAAGCGCACCCGUGCGCGGCGGCAGCUCCCCGGGAGGUGGCCGGAGCUCCCCUCUCCACGGCGGCGGGCGGUGGAGCUGACUGCUGGCCGUGACCAAGCACGACGACGGCGCAACCCACCCCUCCGACUACCCCUACAGCUUCCUAGAACCCUAGACACUUACCUACGGCUUACCGCAAAGAAGGACAGCGACGGCAAAGAGAUGCUCACCGUGAGCAGGGGGGUCUUGCGGCAGCGGACGAUUACAGCAGCGGUCACGGGUGCGCCGGCGGAGAAGCUGGACAACAAGCUGACCGGGUUGUUGGUAGGGUGUGAGUGGNNNNNNNNNNNNNNNNNNNNNNNNNNNNNNNNNNNNNNNNNNNNNNNNNNNNNNNNNNNNNNNNNNNNNNNNNNNNNNNNNNNNNNNNNNNNNNNNNNNNUGGUGGAAUUUUUUGGUCGGCGCUGGUGGUUUGACAGAGAGGGUCGGCGGCGGUAAAAAGACAGGUGGUAAGGAGCAGCGGCGGGAACGGUAGAUAUACGAAGUUUCACUGUGCGCAUGGACGACACUGUGGCCUAGCCAUAGACUUGCGUGGUGAAGCGGUGGCCGUCAGCGUCGAGCUGGACAGCGAGCAAGGGCACCGGCGGCGACACGUCUCGCCCUCUCUGAUUUCCUUUCCCCCUUUUCUUUCUUUCAUCAGAAUGUUCAGACUUUCCCCGUGGCCGAUUUUCAAUCCGAUGGUCCACAAACCUCUUAAGCAAAGUUGGAGAUAAUCUCAAGCUCUUCAAUUUUUAUUUUGGCUCUUGCUCGAGAUAAUCAUCUAACGUGGUCAAUUUUGAAUUUCUUUCUCAGUUCCACUGAAAUGCCGUGAAACUUGAAUUCAGUUCGACAGUCACCAUAUAUGGCCAUUUACCCUUCUGUUAAUUCACUUCCAGUGGCCCAAACUCAUUCUUUUUAGUCCAUCUACUAUCCAUUCGUGCUCUACAAUCAUCAGGGAUUCCAUUUUGCUCAUAAACUCCCAUACCUUUUGUACUACAUUUUUCUAAAUCUUGCUCCAAACUCAGGCAUUUGCUGCUGUUUCAGACUUAGACAAAAAUUCAGUUCAGCAGCUAAGUUGACCGUGGUAAAGUGCUGACUUUGAGCCUCAAUUUAAAAUUGGUCCCUCUACUAUUCUUGACCAACAACACCCUAAUAUACUUCUCCAAAGUUCAUACUUCAUUGCUGUAUAGUUGCUUUGGUCCACUUACUUGAAAAUUGUGGCAGAAAUUAAUUUCCAAAAUGGAUACUUAUACUAUUUUUGAGAAAUUCUAUUUUCGGACAAUGAACAGUACACUGUUGUUUUGAUUUUUCCAUUGUCUUUCUUGAGAUGUUUAGGGCUCGGUUUAGUCUUCAAUCUUGAUCCCCAAAGUUGUAAACACUCUCAAGCUUCCAUUCCAUAUUUUUGCCCAAUUUUUCUGAAUUUAGAAUUCAAAAUUCAAAUUUCGAUCAAAUUUGACUUGAAUUUGACUUUUAGUCAAUUUCUUCUCUUUUUCUCCAGAGUUCACCUUUAAUUUUUCUUAAUCACCUUUGAUGAUUGAAACACCAGGUGUUACAGGUCUCGAGAUUCCAUGGGUUACUCAGUUUUGAGAAUGGAAAGGAAACUGCGUCAGAUAAGACAUUUUUCUCUUUUCUGUAUUAAGAAGGUGGGGUGGUGGCUUUUGUUUAUCUGAUUUUGACAGUUUCAAAUAGCUCGGGAUAUUUGGACUCUAAGUCUUCAGCCUGUUCCCUAGUAGCUUCAUCUGGAGUAUGAUUCUUCCAUUGUACCUUGUAAAACUUAAUACUUCGAGUUCGGGUAUCUCUUGUCUUUUCAUCCAGAAUUUUAAUAUGCCUUUCCUCGUAGGUGAGGUCUAGCUCGAGCUCAAUUUCCUGAUCUUCUAGAAUUUCUUCUGGAACUCUUAAGCACUUCUUAAGCUAGGAUACAUGAAAUACAUCAUGUAUAGAAGCAAGUUGGGCUGGUAAUGAAAGCUUGUAUGCCACCGGACUCUUUCGUUCCAGAAUCUCAUAUGGACCAAUAUACCUUGGGGCUAGUUUACCUUUUACACCAAAACGUUGCACUCCUUUCAUCGGAGAUACCUUCAGAUAUACAAAGUCUCUGACAUGAAAUUCCAAAAACCGUCUUCUUUUAUCUGAAUAACUCUUUUGUCGAGACUGGGCUAUUUCUAAAUGUUUACGAAUCUUUCGGACCUUUUCUUCAGUUUCCAUAACCAAAUCUGAUCCAAAUUGUGUCCUCUCUCCUACUUCUGACCAAUUCAAGGGGGUUCGGCAUCUUCGACCAUACAAGGCUUCGAAAGGCGCUAUUUUAAUACUAGCUUGAUAGCUAUUAUUAUAGGAGAACUCAGCUAGGGGCAAACAUUCAUCCCAUAGCUUAGAGAAGGUAAGGACACAAGCUCGCAACAUGUCUUCCAAGAUUUGGUUGACUCUUUCUGUCUGUCCCCCGGUUUGAGGAUGAUAGGCAGAGCUUGUGAUUAGAGUAGUCCCCAUAUCUCUUUGCAGUUGUUCCCAAAACCUGGAAACAAAUUGGGAGCCUCGAUCAGAAAUAAUUGUCUUUGGUACCCCGUGCAGAGACACAAUUCGGGCCAUAUAGAUCUUUGCAUACGUCGAUACUGGAUAUGUAGUCUUGACGGGGACGAAAUGGGCUGACUUAGUAAGUCGGUCAACAAUAACCCAUAUGGAAUCAUACCCUUUUGAAGUAGUAGGCAACCCAACUAUGAAGUCCACGGAAAUAUCUUCCCACUUCCAGCCGAAAAUUUCUGAGGGCUCAAGUAAGCCCGCCGAGUUUUGUAGGAUUGGUUUAACUCUUCGGCAGGUGUCGCAUUUGGCUACAUACCUUGCAAUUUCUGGUUUCAUUCUGGCCCACUAGAAUCUCUGCUUCAAAUCUUGGUACAUUUUGUUGCUUCCGGGAUGAAUGGCGAACUUAGAUAGAUGUGCUUCGUCCAAGAUCAUCUUCCUUAGGUUUUCAUCCUUAGGAACUACUAUCCUUUUCUUGAAAUAUAGUCCCCCAUCAUUUUCUUGAGUGAGUUUAGGAAUCUUUCCUUCUACUUUCUGUUUAUAAAGUACCUUUAUCCAUGGAUCCUUCCUCUGGACUGUUAUAAUUCUUUCCUUUAGAGUGUCUUGCAUGAUAAUGUUCUAGAGGGUACCUUGCGUCACUAUUUCCAAACUCAAAUCUUCUAACUCUUCACACAGGGUCUUAAGCCCAGAUUGAACAGUGGUGCAGUGGCAUUGUGCUUUCCUGCUCAAUGCAUCAGCCACCACAUUAGCCUUACCAGGAUGGUAAUGGAUUUCUAACUUAUAAUCCUUAAUUAAUUCUAGCCACCGUCUCUGUCUCAUAUUCAAGUCCAUUUGAGUGAAAAUGUACUUUAAGCUCUUGUGGUCAGUAAAGAUACGACAUUCACUACCUAAAAGGUAGUGCCACCAUAUCUUUAAUGCAUGGACUACAGCAGCAAGUUCCAAAUCAUGGGUAGGGUAAUGCUCUUCAUGGUGCUUCAGUUGUCGAGAAGCAUAAGCAAUGACUCUACCUUCUUGCAUAAGAACACACCCUAUCCCUAUUCCGGAGGUGUCAUAGUACACAUCAAAGGGUUUUUCUAAAUCAGGUUGAGCUAGUACUGGCGCUGUAGUUAGUAGCUUCUUUAAUGUUUGAAAUGAUUCUUCACAUUCGGGGCUCCACUCAAAUUUCACUUCUUUCUUUAACAACUCCGUGAUUGGCUUGGAAAUUUUUGAGAAGUUAGGAAUGAACCUACGGUAAUACCCGGCCAUUCCUAGGAAACUUCUCACUUCAUGAACAGAGGUCGGUGGUUUCCAAUCCAAUAUGUCCUUGACCUUUCCGGGGUCUACUUCAAUUCCUUUUUCGGAUAGAACGUGCCCAAGGAAUGGAACUUUCUUUAACCAGAAUUCACAUUUACUGAGCUUGGCAUAUAACUGAUGUUCCCGGAGUCUAUUUAGAACAAUACGCAAAUGUUUCGCAUGUUCCUCUUCAUUUUUAGAAAAGACUAGGAUAACAUCUAUAAAGAUGACCACAAAUUUGUCUAAUUCAGGCAUGAAUACUGAAGUCAUGAGGUACAUAAAAUGCGCUGGGGCAUUUGUCAGUCCGAAGGACAUAACCAGAUAUUCAUAUAAUCCGUAUCAGGUUGAGAAGGCAAUUUUAGGUAUGUCUUCGGGCUUUAUCUUAAUCUGAUGAUAUCCUGACUGAAGGUCGAUUUUUGAAAAGACCUUGGCUCCAGCUAGUUGGUCGAAUAACAAGUCAAUCCGUGGCAAAGGAUACUUGUUCUUAAUGGUUAUCGCAUUUAAAGGGCGGUAAUCCACACACAACCUCAAUGUGCCAUCUUUCUUUUUAACAAACAGUGCAGGGAAGCCCCAUGGUGAAGUACUAGGUCAGAUAAAACCUUUAUCUAGCAAUUCUUGGAGUUGGACUUUAAAUUCUGCCAACUCCUUAGGUGGCAUUCGAUACGGCCUUCUGGAGAUAGGAGCAGUGCCAGAUUCUAACUCAAUAGUAAAUUCUACCGCUCUAUCAGGCGGUAGUCCAGGAAGAUCCUCCGAAAACACAUCUACAAACUCAUCAACCACAGGAAUAGACUCUAGAGUCACUACUCUAGUAUUUUUAACCAUCUGGUCCAGACAAGGAUGAGCAAGUAAUUGGAGCUUAAAAGGGUGGCCUUGUUUGUCCCUCGUACUAACGAUUCGGUUAUCCACAUCAAUUUGAACUUUAUGUUCCUUCAUCCAAUUCACCCCAAAAAUAAUAUCUAUUCCUUGAUCUUCCAAAAUUAAAGGAUAAACACCCACCUUAUUUCCUUCUAAAUUCAAAAUCACAUUGCGAGCUACCUGAUUUGUAUUUUGAGUAGCUCCAGUAGCUUGAAUAGCAUAUUUGAUAUUUAAGGUGUGCACUUCUAGUUGGUGUUGCUUAACAAAUGCUUUGCUUAUAAAGGUAUGUGAUGCACCCGAAUCAAAUAGAAUCAUGGCAGGGUAAUCAUUGACAAAGAACGUACCUGCCAGAAUAGGUUCACCUUCUAGGAUCUCUUCUACAUUCAUAUAGUGAGCCUGCCCCGUCUUGGUAUUCAGAAAUUUACGGCGAACCAACUUUUGUCCGACGCCCUGGCUAGAGGUUUGAGCCCUCAAAUUUGCGUUUCCCCCAACUUUGGGAAAACGGCAAUCCCGGGCAAAGUGUCCCGGCUUUCCACAAUUAAAACAAACCUAUGGGUUCCCUUGAGGAGUAGGGCUGCGAAACCCAAGAGGCGGCGCAUUCCCAGUGUGGCGGAACCACCCAACUUAAGCUGGUUUAAGUGCGCCUAAUCGCUGUCGGAACAGCAAUUAUCCGAAACGCACCUAAAACAGCAUAAGUCCGGUAGUCCGUCGAGUGUCCCUAGGACUCCUCGAAGGAUCCACGGCGUGUUUCAUAACCAUACAUCAGGAUAAUAUCCGCGAUGGGAUAAUAUCAACAAACAUUACAUUUUUACAUAUAUAUAUAAAAGGUACGAGUUAUUACAGGACAUAAGUUGAAACAAACUUAGUGAUGCAGUGUUAGACAAGCUCUAAGAUUUAAACAUAAAUAGUUCAGGAGAAGAUGUGCACGUAGAACUUUUUCUCUAGGGUAUUGUGAGACUCAGGUCAAUACCCUAGGGCUUCGGGGUCUCCUCCUCUGCAGCCUCUUGCGGAGCUUCUGAAAGAUAGCCACAAGGGGGAAAACCCUGAGUACGGGGUACUCAGCAAGUCUUACCCGACUAACCAAUAUAAUAGUUUUCUUUGGAAUGCAUGUCAGCCUUUGGGGUGUGCUUGGUUAACACAACUUUUGCCGAAAAGCUUACUACGAGUAAAGCCUUAGUUUUAUCUUUUAUUUGGGUUAAGUUAUUACCUAACCAUUCUAAAUGAUAACAGAAGUAAAAGCAACCAUAGCUGUUAAAUCAUACAUCAAUUGAUAACAGGAGAAUACAUAUUGCAUGAAUUGAUACUACGAUGCUCAACAGUGAUCAAGUGCAUUCAUAACCGAGAAUUUCGGCGAUCCGGAUCUAAUUACAUCCUGCAGGAGAGUACCCUGAUCACCAGCGUUAUACGACUAUCCAGGUCGUAUCUAACAACCUCUCGAUUAGCAAACUCAAUGGUUAGGAAUACGACUACCCGGACCCAGGGAUGCACCCCCACAUGGGACCCCACGUCUGGCCCGAUCACCAUGUGAGUUUCAGGCUACACCCCUGCCAAUCUCCAGCACGUCAAGCGCGGGUACGAAGUAUUCCUGAUCAUAGAGUUUACUAAUUUACUGGGCUUUACUGGUCCCAUACCCAGUAAGUGAUCAGAUGCUUAUCACUUGAUCAAAGGUUAAGACAACGAAUCGGGCCUUAACCAAAUUAAUCUAGCAGACAGAACUACAUCUCUAGCUUCUGUCCGUUUUCACUUUCCAAGUUAUCCUUCAUAAGCAACAUGUAUGACUUAAGAGUUUUCCUUAAGGUUGGUAAACCAAGCAUGUAAGCAAGUAAGCAAUUCUAGACUUGGGUAUCUUCUAAGGUUUGAACAAGUGGCAAAGAUGUCCUUAAAACAAGGCAUGAUCAUACACAAGAAUAGGUUUCAAGCAACUCCUAGACUUAGUGCAUACAUAAAGCAAAUAACCUAUAACUAGUCACAUGAAAUAACGACUCCAAAAUAGAUAGGUAUAAAUGCACCGGGGCUUGCCUUGUUCGCUAAAAAGAUUAGUAGACUCUGACGGGUUGGCUUCACAGGGAACUAACUCAAACACUUCUUCGGACUCCGAAGGUCCUUCUGAAAAUUCCCAAUAUACUCCUUCCGGUGCUUCGGGAUCUAUGGCAUAAUACAUGUAGGGGUUAGAAUGCAACAUUUUGAAUUAAAGACUAUACAAUUUUUCUUCAUGAUAAAGUUGCAAGCCAACAAGGACUAUACAACCUAUCAUGAUAAAGUUGUAAGCCAACACAUAAAAACCCAAAAGAUUAACCCACAAUUUUAUUUUUCUAAUUUAACCCUUCUUAUAGCUUUUUCUUUUAUCUUUAGAAAAAGUUAUAAUUAUUUUCUAACUUGAAAAUCUAAUUUCCUAUGGGUUAAGAAUAAUUUGUGAUUAAGAAAGUGUUAUUCAUAUUUUAUACAUUUUAUAAAUAUUAAGUAUUUAUUUAAUUACCUUAAAAGGAAGGCAUUAAAUAAAUACCCAAAUUUUUAUUAUUUUUCUAGGGUGUAAAAAUUUUAAUGCGUAAAGGAAAAUAAAAAAAGCCUAACAAAAUUGGUUUCACUAAUUUUGGACACUCCUAUAAAUUUCUGUGAUUUAAAUGGUGUAAAACGGAUUUAAACGAAUUAUUUCACUAAAGGAAAUCUAAUUUUUCCUGAAAUCGCCCGGAAAUACUUUUCUCACCCGGCCCUUCUCUACCCUCUCUCACGCGCACUGGGCCCCACGGCGCGGACCCCACCUCUCCUAUUCAUUUCUACCCGCUGGCCCUAUUUUCCCCCUAACGGGCCCCGUGGGCCGAUUCUCCUUUCCUCCUCCUUUCUUUGGCCCGACACCGGCCCACAGCCCUCCUUCUCUCUCUUACUGUACCUGUUCGUGAGCCUGUUAGCUGCUCUNNNNNNNNNNNNNNNNNNNNNNNNNNNNNNNNNNNNNNNNNNNNNNNNNNNNNNNNNNNNNNNNNNNNNNNNNNNNNNNNNNNNNNNNNNNNNNNNNNNNCCUUUUCCGGCCGACCCGCGCGUACUUCACUGGGCCUCCAGGCCACGGCCCAACAGAUGGCCGCGCCGCUUCCGGCCUCUCUCUCUCUCUCCCUCUCUUCCCACUGCCGCGCGGGCCCAACGCCCGGGUGCUUCUUCCUCCUCCCGCCAAAACGCGCCCGUGACAGGGGGCGGCGCAACCCGCCGGCCGGCGCCCCACCGGCGGUGAAGCUUGGCCAGGACAACACCCUUACACCUUCACGCACCCGUUCGCAGCGACAGCUCCCCGGGAGAUGGCCGGAGCCAUCCCAUCCACGGCGACGGGCGGCGACACCCUCGGCCGGUGGUGACUACUCACGACAAUGGCAUAACCUACUCAAACAUCUACCCCUACACCAUCCUAGGACCCUAAGGACUCGACUACGACUACUCAAGAAGGAAGAGAGGCAGCGCGAAGUAGAGCUCACCGUGAGCGGGCGGCGCGACGACGGCGGACAGAAGCGACGGCGAGCAUGGUUACUUUGGCAUGGAUGUUGGACAACAACUGGUCUGUGUUGGAGGUAUGCCCUAGAGGCAAUCAUAGAGAUGAUGAUAUUCCAUUUGUAUCCAUGAUUUGUAUAUUGUGUUCAUUGAAUAUCCAUUAAAGGCUACUUGAAUUGAUUUGCAAUUAUGUGAAUUGUAUGUGAAACUCUUUACUUGUAUGGUUAUUCUAAAGUUGUCCCUAGUCAGAGUUCAUGUGAGGACACACAUGAAUAUUAGACUAGCACAUGUAUUAGUUGAUGACUAUGUUUCACAAGUCAUGGACAUGGAGAUGUUGAACUAAUAAUGUGGACACAUGUGGAGACAUGUGUUAGGACUGACCCAACAUGAGAAGUAGUUCUCUCUUUAUACAACAUAUACGCUUUGUCCUUAGACCUGAAAUUGUCGCAUGUAUUCUAGAUGUGGAUCGACUUACUUAGGGGCUAUCAAACGCUACGCCGUAACAGGGUAGUUAUAAAGGUAGCUUUCGGGUUUGUCAAGAAGCAUGCUAUGAGACAUGGUCAAUCAAGAUGGGAUUUGCCCCUCUCUGAUUGAGAGUGAUAUCUCUGGGCCCCUCGAGUGAUCGGAUCCAAAAAUGCAUGGCCAUGCUACGUACGGUUAAGAGUUAACCUACAAAGGGAUUCCGAAUCACAGGAUCGAGAAAGAGCGGUCGGCUUGAAGCUAGACCAAAUAUCGUGAGGCAAAGGGAAUAACAUGUAUAUUAUGUUGUGAUGGUUCGUCUCAUAUGAUCUUCGUGUGCGUAUAGGAGUUGGCACGUCUUGCUAGAGCCUGCUACCGACUAUUGGGCCGAGUAGGAGUACUCGGGCCAUGUCUAUACGUAUCCGAACCCAUAGGGUCACACACUUAAGGGGCUGGAAGCCCAAUUCGGAUCUGAUCCGAGUUGGAUUAGGUUUAGGAGUACUAAUGGGCCUCGGAUCCAGAGGCCCAUCAGGAACCUCUAUAAAUAGAGGGGUGGGGGCACCCUAGGGUUUACACCUUUUUGGCGAAACACACUUGCCGCGCCUCCCACGCCCUCGCCUGUUGCAACUCGCGGAUCUAGCAAUCCGGCUUGCGACGCUUCCUCCCUGCACGUGUGGAUACCUUGGAGGUGUUGCGCCUGCAACACUUGGACGAGCCAUCGACGAGCCGCCGACGAGCCACGACGAGCCGACGACGAGCCGCGGCACCGGAGGCGAUCUUGCUGCACGUGGACGAGCUGCUGAGGAGCUGCUGGACGUGAUUGACUACGUACGACUACGUGAUCGUCUUCACUGCACCGAUGCAUAUCUACAUCUUCCGCACCAGUAGUGCGUCGAGUGGUAAUCCCGUGAUCCUUAUACGGCAGUUCUUCCUGGUUAUACGCGGUAGAAAUUUUGAUUUGCGCUAGUGUAGCCUACCUCGUAUCCCAACAGUGGCAUCAGAGCCGUAGCUGCUUAGUUUUGGAUUCGGGAUGUGUGCAUAUGGAGAUAUGCGAGUUCUCUGUUUGAUCUAUGUCCUGAUUUCGUGCCCUUGCUGCAAUGGUAGUGUAACGACAUACUCCUACCGGUCGGUUUCCGCCAUCGGAGUUAAGUGAUACACGUAAAUCCAGUUGCAGUGAGGGAAGAUCAAUAUGAUUGGUCGAAUCGAGAUCCAGGGUCAUACGCCAGGCGCAUUAGAUGUGCAAUAGUAGAUGGGAUCUACUGCCGGGGUCGGGAUUUUGCCGUAUGCGUAUGCUUCGGUAAAUCAGCCGUAACUUUUCGGUACGAUCUCGGAUCGGGGCGAUUUUUAUACGAAAAUUGAUCUACAAAAAAAGUUACACAUGAAAUUCAACCGCUUCGCCAUUUUCGGCGAAAUUUGAUUUCCCAAAUUCGGCUUGGAAGAUGGAGUUUCGGGCCUCUGAAGUUUGGAACGUUAGGACGCCUAACUCUGUUUUGCAGGAUGUAUGUAUGUAUCUUGUGAUCAGUAUGGCCCCCUUGUGUAUGUGAUGCAUGUGUGUAACUCAUUCGUGACCUGCGUGUCGCGCGUACGGCAACACGGCAGGAGCCAUAUGUGUUGUCACUUUAUUGUAUUUAAUGGUCUGCGUACCAAUCUGUGAUGAUCCAAGCAACUAUGUAAUCUUCAUUACUAGAUUCUUUACUAGCUAUUAGGCGUAAUAGCAUGCUCUAGUUCUUGGAGGACUCAUCACCAGGAGGAUGGCGCACAUGGAACAUGGAGAUGGAGAUCACCAUGGUGAACAGGUUCUAUGGAGAUGGAGAUCACCAUAUGAAAACGGGCCAUACUGUGUCACAACUAUGUGAAUGCUAUUCUGUUUAUGUUUUACUUUCUGCAUGCUGUGAUGUUAGAAGUAGAACGAUCCCUCACAAAGUUUAAGUUAGUAUGCCCUCCCAACUAAAACUUGCACCGUCCCAUGUCUUCUACAAUUAGUGGUGGGUCUAUGAAAUUAGGGUGCCACUAGUUUUCCUUGACUAGACGGGUUUGUGUCGGACACUUACACGCAUAAGGGUUGGUUUGCUUAACAAGGUUAUCUUAACGGUUAAGGACCUUGGGGCAUAGAGGUUGGGCGCCGAGACAUAGAGAUGUCACCCAACAACAGGAGUCAUAUGUGAUAUGAUUAGCAAAAGUUGCUUACUGAUCUACCUCGUUUGCUAGCGGUGAUGCUAAAGCUCACUAGUGGACUUGUUAGUUGUGGAUCCUGAAUCACUAAGUUUCAAUAGAGGGAUAUUGAUUUUAGUGGGAGUAGAUUCUGUUAAAAUAGUUUAAUGUAAUUUGCUCUAUCAUGGAUAUGUUUGUCUUAGUGUAUUUUGCAUUACUUUUGUUGUAGAUAAAAUGGCACCUAGCAACACCACCACAUCAUUUGCUUUGCGUUCGGUCCUUGAGAAGGACAAGUUGAAUGGAACAAACUACUCGGAUUGGAUCCGUAACCUGAGAAUUGUUCUCAGGGCUGAGAAAAAGGAAGAUGUUCUAGACAACCCACUACCAGAAGAAUCUGGUGAUGAUGCACCCGCUGCUGCUAAGAAUGCUUACAAGAAAGCAUGUGAUGCUAACCUCGAAGUAAGCUGCCUUAUGCUUGCUUGCAUGGAACCCGAGCUGCAGAUGCAGUUCGAAACAAACCAUGAGGCGCACGAUAUGAUCGUGGCGCUUAGAGACAUGUUCCAAACACAGGCCAAGACUGAAAGGUUCAAUGUGUCUAAGGCCUUUGUUUAGAGCAAGCUAGCAGAAGGCGCAGCAGUAGGACCACACGUAAUCAAGAUGGUUGUUUACACUCAACGGUUGGAGAAGCUAGGCUUCCCACUGGGCCAAGAGUUGGCCACUGAUUUCAUUCUUUCGUCUCUUCCGCCUAGCUAUGGGAAAUUCAUCUCGAACUACCAUAUGCAUGGGACGGAGAAGGGUCUGAAUGAGCUGUGUGGUAUGCUCAAGACAGCAGAGGCUGACAUCAAGAAAAGCGCUAGUACCAGCCAUGUGAUGGUGAUACAGAACAAGCCCAGCUUUAAGAAGAAGGGAAAUUCUUGGAAGAAGAAGGGCAAGGCUGGAACGUCCAAGCCAAACCCACUGCCCAAGGUUAAAGCUGGACCUGGACCUGCUCCAGACAAAGAGUGCUUUUACUGUCAUGAACUUGGUCACUGGAAGAGAAACUGCAAGCAGUACCUAGCUUCCUUGAAGAAUGGCGGAAGUAAGAGUACUUCUACCUCAGGUACGCUUGUUGUUAAUGUCAUAGACAACAUAUUUCUCACUGAUACAGUUAUUAAUUCUUGGGUAUUUGAUACCGGAUCGGUUGCUCAUAUUUGCAAUUCGAUGCAGGGAAUGAUAAGAAGUAGAAGCGUGGAAAGAGGAGAAGUUGAUUUCCGCGUGGGCAAUAAUGCAAGAGUUGCUGCUUUGACCGUCGGGACGAUGCAACUCCACCUCCCGUCAGGAUUUAUUAUGGAGUUGAAUAAUUGUUAUUUUGUUCCUAGUUUAAGUCGAAACAUUUUGUCUCCUUCAUGCUUGAUGAAGGAUGGUUAUUCAUUUGCGAGUGAAAACAAUGGUUGUGUGAUCUCUAAGAAUAAUAUGUUUAUGGCUUUUGCACCCAUUGUGAAUGGAUUGUUUGUUUUAAAUCUUGAUGGUUCACCUGUGUGUAAUGUAAGUGCUAAAAGGCCUCGGCCUAAUGAUUUGAGUCCUACCUACUUGUGGCAUUGUCGUUUGGGUCAUAUAAGUGAAAAGCGCAUGAAGAAGCUCCAUUCUGAUGGACUUCUAACUUCGUUUGAUUUUGAAUCAUACGAGACAUGCGAGGCUUGCUUGCUAGGCAAGAUGACCAAGACGCCUUUCACAGGAUUUCCUGAGAGAGCAGUAAACUUGUUGGAACUCGUACAUAGUGAUGUAUGCGGACCAAUGAGAACGACGACUAGAGGAGGAUUCCAAUACUUCAUAACUUUCACUGAUGAUUUUAGUAGAUAUGGCUAUGUCUACUUGAUGAGGCACAAGUCUGAAACCUUUGAAAAGUUCAAGGAAUUUCAGAAUGAAGUUGAAAAUCAGCGUGGCAAGAAAAUUAAGGCCUUACGAUCUGAUCGUGGAGGUGAGUAUUGAGCCACGAGUUUAGCAAUCAUCUAAAGAGUUGCGGAAUUGUUCCACAACUUACGCCGCCUGGAACACCUCAGAGAAACGGUGUGUCCGAGCGACGUAAUCGAACUUUGUUAGGCAUGGUUCGAUCAAUGAUGAGCCAGUCGGACCUACCGUUGUCAUUUUGGGGAUACGCUCUAGAAACAGCAGCUUUCACACUUAAUAGGGUACCAUCUAAAUCCGUAGUUAAGACACCAUAUGAGAUAUGGACUGGAAAGGUUCCUAGUUUGUCUUUUCUAAAGAUUUGGGGAUGUGAAGUGUUUGUCAAGCGACUUCAGUUGGACAAGAUCACACCCAAAUCGGAUAAGUGCAUUUUCGUGGGAUAUCCAAAGGAAACUUUGGGAUAUUAUUUCUACAACCGAUCAGAAGGCAAAGUGUUUGUCGCUCGGAACGGGGUUUUCCUAGAGAAAGAGUUUCUCAAAGGAGAAAAGAGUGGAAAGACAGUGCAUCUUGAAGAAGUUCAAGAUGAGCCGAUCGGGCAAGAAUCAAUGAAUGAUGCUAACGUAGCAGAACAAGUUGAGAUACCCAUGGCAAGAGAAGCACCGCCACAACCACGAAGGUCGGCAAGGCUCCGCGAAAUACGGGAAAUAUUAUUGUUGGACAAUGAUGAGCCUGCGACAUAUGCAGAAGCAAUGAUGAACCUAGACUCCGAAAAAUGGCAGAGUGCCAUGCAAUCCGAAAUAGAGUCCAUGGGAGACAAUCAAGUUUGGAACUUGGUUGACCCGCCUGAUGGUGUUAAAGCCAUAGAGUGCAAGUGGAUCUAUAAGAAGAAAAAGGACAUGGAUGAAAAUGUUCACAUCUAUAAAGCACGACUUGUCGCAAAAGGUUUUCGAAAAGUUCAAGGAGUUGACUACGACGAGACCUUCUCGCCCGUAGUGAUGCUUAAGUCCAUUCGGAUUAUUCUAGCUAUAGCUGCAUAUUUCGAUUAUGAGAUAUGGCAGAUGGAUGUCAAGACAACUUUCCUGAAUGGAAAUCUAGCUGAGGACGUGUAUAUGAUACAGCCCGAGGGUUUUGUCGAUCCGAAAAAUGCUGGAAAGGUAUGCAAGCUUCAGAGAUCCAUUUAUGGAUUGAAGCAAGCAUCUAGGAGUUGGAACAUUCGUUUUGAUGAAGUGGUCAAAGGGUUUGACUUCACCAAGAACGAAGAAGAGUCUUGUGUUUACAAGAAGGUUAGUGGGAGCUCUGUAGUAUUUCUAAUCUUAUAUGUGGAUGACAUAUUACUGAUUGGAAAUAACAUUCCUAUGCUUGAGUCCGUAAAGACUUCACUGAAAAAUAGUUUUUCGAUGAAGGACUUAGGGGAAGCGGCAUAUAUUCUGGGCAUUAAGAUCUAUAGAGAUAGAUCGAGAAGGCUUAUAGGUUUGAGCCAAGAUACUUAUAUUGACAAAGUGUUGAAGCGGUUCAGCAUGGAAGAGGCAAAGAAAGGGUUCUUGCCUAUGUCACAUGGCAUACAUCUCAGCAAGACUCAGUGUCCUUCGACUGCUGAUGAGCGGGAUCGCAUGAGUAGAGUGCCAUAUGCCUCGGCUACUGGAUCUAUCAUGUAUGCAAUGAUAAGUACUCGCCCAGAUGUUUCAUAUGAGCUAAGUAUGACAAGCAGACACCAAUCUGAGCCAGGUGAGAGUCACUGGACAGCGGUGAAAAACAUUCUUAAGUACUUGAGAAGGACUAAAGAUAUGUUCCUCGUCUAUGGAGGUCAGGAGGAGCUCGUUGUAACAGGUUACACCGAUGCUAGUUUCCAAACCGACAGAGAUGAUUCAAAGUCACAAUCAGGAUUUGUGUUCACGCUAAAUGGUGGUGCUGUUAGUUGGAAGAGUUCCAAGCAGGAGACGGUGGCCGAUUCUACGACAGAAGCCGAGUACAUCGCGGCUUCGGAAGCCGCGAAGGAAGGUGUUUGGAUAAGGAAUUUCCUCAUUGAGCUUGGUGUGUUCCCGAAUGCGUCCAGCCCAUUGAAUCUCUACUGUGAUAACAAUGGGGCAAUUGCGCAAGCAAAGGAGCCAAGGAACCACCAGAAGAACAAACACGUAAUGCGGCGAUUUGAUCUCAUUCGAGACUUCGUUAACCGGGGUGAGAUCAAGAUAUGCAAAAUACACACGGAUCUGAACAUUUCUGAUCCGUUGACAAAACCACUCCCGCAGGCUAAGCAUGAUGCGCAUGUAAGAGCUAUGGGUAUUAGGUACCUUCUAGAUUGACUCUAGUGCAAGUGGGAGACUGUUGGAGGUAUGCCCUAGAGGCAAUCAUAGAGAUGAUGAUAUUCCAUUUGUAUCCAUGAUUUGUAUAGUGUGUUCAUUGAAUAUCCAUUAAAGGCUACUUGAAUUGAUUUGCAAUUAUGUGAAUUGUAUGUGAAACUCUUUACUUGUAUGGUUAUUCUAAAGUUGUCCCUAGUCAGAGUUCAUGUGAGGAUACACAUGAAUAUUAGACUAGCACAUGUAUUAGUUGAUGACUAUGUUUCACAAGUCAUGGACAUGGAGAUGUUGAACUAAUAAUGUGGACACAUGUGGAGACAUGUGUUAGGACUGACCCAACAUGAGAAGUAGUUCUCUCUUUAUACAACAUAUACGCUUUGUCCUUAGACCUGAGAUUGUCGCAUGUAUUCUAGAUGUGGAUCGACUUACUUAGGGGCUAUCAAACGCUACGCCGUAACAGGGUAGUUAUAAAGGUAGCUUUCGGGUUUGUCAAGAAGCAUGCUAUGAGACAUGGUCAAUCAAGAUGGGAUUUGCCCCUCUCUGAUUGAGAGUGAUAUCUCUGGGCCCCUCGAGUGAUCGGAUCCAAAAAUGCAUGGCCAUGCUACGUACGGUUAAGAGUUAACCUACAAAGGGAUUCCGAAUCACAGGAUCGAGAAAGAGCGGUCGGCUUGAAGCUAGACCAAAUAUCAUGAGGCAAAGGGAAUAGCAUGUAUAUUAUGUUGUGAUGGUUCGUCUGAUAUGAUCUUCGUGUGCGUAUAGGAGUUGGCACGUCUUGCUAGAGGCCGCUACCGACUAUUGGGCCGAGUAGGAGUACUCGGGCCAUGUCUAUACGUAUCCGAACCCAUAGGGUCACACACUUAAGGGGCUGGAAGCCCAAUUCGGAUCUGAUCCGAGUUGGAUUAGGUUUAGGAGUACUAAUGGGCCUCGGAUCCAGAGGCCCAUCAGGAACCUCUAUAAAUAGAGGGGUGGGGGCGCCCUAGGGUUUACACCUUUUUGGCGAAACACACUUGCCGCGCCUCCCACGUCCUCGCCUGUUGCAACUCGCGGAUCUAGCAAUUCGGCUUGCGACGCUUCCUCCCUGCACGUGUGGAUACCUUGGAGGUGUUGCACCUGCAGCACUUGGACGAGCCGCCGACGAGCCACGACGAGCCGACGACGAGCCGCGGCACCGGAGGCGAUCUUGCUGCACGUGGACGAGCUGCUAAGGAGCUGCUGGACGUGAUCGACUACGUACGACUACGUGAUCGUCUUCACUGCAUCGACACAUAUCUACAUCUUCCGCACCAGUAGUGCGUCGAGUGGUAAUCCCGUGAUCCUUAUACGGCAGUUCUUCCUGGUUAUACGCGGUAGAAAUUUUGAUUUGCGCUAGUGUAGCCUACCUCGUAUCCCAACAGUCUGGGGUGUAGCUGGGGCGUCUGUGGGGGAGGGGACGAGAGGAAUCGACGGGAGGCGAGACGUGGCGGUGGAAUUUUGCUCGGCGGCGGUGCUUGACAGAGGAGAAGCUGGCGGCGGUAAAAAGGACGGCGGUGAAACGGCGGCGCGGGAGCGGUAAUUAUACGAACGGUUUACCGUGCGCAUGGCUGCCACCGUGGUCUACCCCUAGGCUUACAUGGUGAGGAGGUAGCCUAGUCGUCGCGAUGGCGAGCUACCGAGAGCGGCGGCGGCGACACGUCGAGCUCGGCUCUGCUGCUCUCCCCUUUUAUGAUUUCUGGCGCCCAAAAUUCACAGCUUCUCCACGAUGGAUUUCCAAUCCGACGGUGCACCGGUGUCUUAACCGAAGUUGCAGAUAAUCUUGAGUCCUCCAACUUUUAUUUUGGUUUGACCCCGAGAUAAACAUCCAACACAGUGCAAUUUGAAUUCUUUUACCAGCUCCAACUGAAUUUCUACUGAACUUCGAGUUGCAGUUCAUCAGUUCAUGACAGUGUCACUGAUCUUACUUUGUGCUCGAGUUUAGUAAUCCAAUUCUCUUCCUUUAAGUCCAACUUCUUCCUAAACAUGUUCUACAACAUCCCAAAGUUCCAUUUUGCUCAUGAACAAGUAUCCCUUUUGAUCUACAUUGCUCUGAAUUCAAGUCCAAAGUUGAUGUCAUAUUGCUGUUUCAGACUUAACCAAUUUCAGACUUGUCAGUUAACUGUGACAGUGUGCUGACUUUGGGCUACAAUUUGAAAUGGUUCCCUUCCAUGUUCCCGGCCAACAACACCCAAAUCUUGUAGUCCAAAGUUCAUACUUCAAUAUAGUGUAGUUGUUCUGGUGCAUUUAUUUGAAAAAUUCUGCAGAAUUCAAUUUUGAAAACAGACUCUGCUGCUGUUUUGCUGAACUCCUAUUUUCGGACGGUGAAUAGUAAACACCCUUUUCUUUUUCUUUUCUCUGAUUCCUUUGGGAUAAUUAGCACCAUUUUGUUCCAAAUUCUUGAUCCUUAAGUUCUAAACACUCUUACACUUGUAUUCCAUAUUUUUGACAAAUUUUUCUGAAUUUAAAAUUUGAAAUUCAAAUUUCGACCAAAUUUGACCCAAAUUUGAUUUUCGGCUAAUUUCUUUUCCUUUUCUUCUCAAUUUGCUUUUAAUUCUUCAAAGUUAUUUAGAUGACUAGAUUGUCAGCUAUUACAGCCUCUCCCCCUUAACAGAAUCUCGUCCCGAGAUUCUCGGGGUUAAAUCCUCGGUUUUGAGAAUAGAAAGGAAACUGCGUCAGGUCAACUAUUCUUUCUUUUUCUAUACAAGGAUAGUGGGGUGGUGGCUCUUGUUCCUCAGUUCUUGACGGUUUCAAAUAAUUCCGGAUACUUAGACUCUAGGUCUUCAGCUUGUUCCCAAGUAGCUUCAUCCGGAGUAUGGUUUUUCCAUUGCACCUUAUAAAACGUGAUACUCCGAGUUCGGGUAUCUCGUCUCUUUUGAUCCAGAAUUUUAAUGGGUCUUUCUUCAUAGGUUAGAUCGGGCUCGAGUUCAAUUUCUGGAUCUUCUAAAAUUUCUUCUGGAACUCUUAGGCACUUCUUAAGCUGAGAUACAUGAAAUACGUCAUGUAUAGAAGCAAGUUGGUCUGGCAAUGACAGCUUAUAUGCCACUGGACCCUUUCGUUCCAGAAUUUCAUAGGGGCCAAUAUACCUUGGGGCUAACUUACCCUUUACUCCAAAGCGAUGUACGCCUUUCAUUGGGGAUACCUUUAAGUAUACAAAAUCUCCGGCAUAAAAUUCCAAGGACCGUCUUCUUUUGUCCGAAUAACUCUUUUGUCGGGACUGGGCUAUUUCUAAAUUUUUGUGAAUCUUCUGGACUUUUUCCUCGGUUUCCAUAACCAAGUCCGAUCCCAAAUGUGUCCUUUCUCCUACUCCUGACCAAUUUAAAGGAGUUCGGCAUGUUCGACCAUACAAGGCUUCGAAAGGUGCCAUCUUAAUGCUAGCUUGAUAGCUAUUAUUAUAGGAGAACUCGGCUAGGGGCAAACAUUCAUCCCAUAGCUUAGAGAAGGUAAGGACACAUGCUCUCAACAUGUCUUCCAAAAUUUGAUUGACCCUUUCUGUCUGUCCUCCAGUUUGAGGAUGAUAGGCAGAACUUCUAAUUAGAGUAGUACCCAUGUCCUUUUGCAAUCGUUCCCAGAAUCUGGAAACAAACUGGGAACCUCGAUCGGAGAUAAUGGUCUUUGGUACUCCGUGCAAGGAUACGAUCCGGGCUAUAUAGAGCUUGGCAUAUGUCGACACCGGAUAAGUAGUCUUGACUGGAAGGAAGUGAGCCGACUUAGUAAGGCGAUCGACAAUAACCCAGAUGGAAUCAUACCCCUUUGAAGUGGUAGGCAAUCCAACUAUGAAAUCCAUAGAAAUAUCUUCCGAUUUCCAGACAGGGAUUUUUGAAGGUUGUAACAAACCUGCCGACUUUUGUAGUAUGGGUUUAACUCUUUGGCAAGUAUCACAUUCUGCUACAUAUCUUGCAAUUUCAGGUUUCAUCUUGGCCCACCAAAAUCUUUGCUUUAAAUCUUGGUACAUUUUAUUGGUUCCGGGAUAAAUGGAGAACUUGGACAAAUGUGCUUCUUCUAAGAUUAAUCUCCUCAGGUCCUCAUCUUCAGGAACCACUAUCCUGUUCUUGAAGUACAGUCCUCCAUCCUCUUCUUGAUUAAAUUCGGGAAUCUUCCCCUCGACUUUUUGCUGAUAAAGUAUCUUAAUCCAUGGAUCUUCUUUUUGGGCUGUUAUAAUUCUUUCUUUUAAGGUAUCUUGAACCAUAAUAUUCUGAAGUGUGCCUUGUUUAACUAUUUCCAAACUUAAUUCUUCCAUUUCUUCACACAAGGUCUUCAGGUUAGACUGGACGGUAGUGCAGUGGCAUUGGGCCUUUCUGCUCAAGGCGUCGGCCACCACAUUAGCCUUACCAGGAUGAUAAUGGAUUUCUAGUUUAUAAUCUUUAAUCAGUUCCAGCCACCGUCUUUGCCUCAUGUUCAAGUCCAUUUGAGUAAAGAUAUAUUUCAAACUUUUGUGGUUAGUAAAGAUACGACAUUCACUACCUAAAAGAUAGUGUCACCAUAUCUUUAAUGCAUGCACUACGGCAGCAAGUUCUAAAUCAUGGGUAGGGUAAUGCUCUUCAUGACGCUUCAAUUGACGAGAAGCAUAAGAAAUAACCUUGCCUUCUUGCAUCAGAACACACCCGAUGCCUGUUCCUGAGGCAUCACAGUAUACAUCAAAGGGUUUCUCUAUGUCAGGUUGAGCUAGCACUGGGGCUGUAGUCAGUAAUUUCUUCAAGACUUGGAAUGAUUCCUCACACUCAGGCUUCCAUUCAAAUUUUAUUUCUUUCUUUAAUAAUUCUGUGAUUGGUUUAGAAAUCUUUGAGAAAUUGGGGAUGAAUCUACGGUAAUAGCCAGCCAUUCCCAAGAAACUUCUUACUUCAUGAAUAGAGGUUGGCGAUUUCCAAUCCAGUAUAUCCUUGACCUUUCCGGGAUCUACUUCGAUUCCUUUUUCGGACAGUAUAUGCCCAAGGAAUGGAACUUUCUUUAACCAGAAUUCACACUUACUGAACUUGGCAUACAACUGGUGUUCCCGGAGUCUAUUUAGAACAAUGCGCAAGUGUUGCGCAUGUUCCUCCUCAUUUUUAGAAAAGACAAGGAUAUCGUCUAUAAAGACGACCACAAAUUUAUCUAGCUCCGGCAUGAAUACUGAGUUCAUGAGGUACAUAAAAUGCGCUGGGGCAUUUGUCAGUCCGAAAGACAUAACCAAAUACUCAUAUAGUCCAUAUCGCGUUGAAAAGGCUGUUUUUGGUAUGUCUUCGGGUUUUAUCUUAAUCUGAUGGUACCCUGACCGAAGGUCGAUUUUUGAAAAGACCUUAGCUCCGGACAACUGGUCGAACAACAAGUCAAUCCGUGGCAGCGGAUACUUGUUUUUAAUGGUUACCGCAUUUAAAGGGCGGUAAUCCACACAUAGCCUUAAUGUGCCAUCCUUCUUUUUAACAAAUAGAGCUGGGCAGCCCCAUGGUGAAGUGCUAGGUCGGACGAAACCUUUAUCCAACAGUUCUUGAAGUUGUGUUUUUAACUUUGCUAGCUCUUUAGGUGGCAUUCGAUAUGGUCUUCUAGAGAUAGGAGCGGUGCCUGGUUCUAACUCAAUAGUGAAUUCUACCGCUCUAUCAGGCGGUAGCCCAGGCAAAUCUUCUGGAAAUACAUCUAUAAACUCAUUAACCACAGGAAUAGAUUCUAGAGUCACUGCUCUAGUCUUUUUGACCAUCUGGUCCAAACAAGGAUGAGCGGGUAAUUGGAGCUCGAAAGAGUGGCCUUGAUCAUCUUUCAUGCUAACGACCCGAGUAACCAUAUUAAUUUGAACUUUAUGUUCUUUCAUCCAAUUUACUCCUAAAAUAAGAUCUAUUCCUUGAUCUUCCAGAAUUAAAGGGUAAGAUCCCACCUUAUUUCCUUCUAGGUUUACAAUCACAUUGCGAGCUACUUGAUUUGUAUUCUGUGUGGCCCCAGUAGCUUGAAUAGCAUACUUGACAUUUAAUGUAUGGACCUCUAGUUGAUGUUGUGUAACAAACCUUUUACUUAUAAAAGUAUGCGAUGCGCCUGAAUCAAAUAAGACCAUAGCAGGAUAAUUGUUAACAAGAUACAUACCUGCCAGGAUAGGCUCUCCUUCUGGAAUUUCUUCUACAUUCAUAUAGUGAGCUUGUCCCGUCUUGGUGUUGACGAACUUACGACGGACAAACUUUUGUCCAGUGCCUUGGCCCGAGGUCUGAGCCCUUAAGUUUGCGUUUCCCCCAACUUUGGGAAAACAGCAGUCUCGGGCGAAGUGUCCUGGCUUUCCACAGUUGAAACAAACCUGUGGAGUUCCUGAAGGAGUAGGGUUACGAAACCCGAGAGGUGGUGCAAUUCCAGGACGAGGGGCAGCACUGGGAGCUCUAGCAUUCCAAGACUGGAAAGGCCGUUGCUGAAAUGAAGGGCGAUACAUGGGUCGGGGAGGACCUCGAUAUACCACCUUCAUUCUCUGUGGAGCAUUCCCAAAGUUUCUAGAAGGAACAUUCUUCCUCUUCAAUGCUUCUUCUUUCUUCAAGGUUUCAUCCAAAAUUUUCAUCUUUUCUUCCGCAGUAAUGGCCGUACUUACCGCAGAGCUAUAAUCAGCGAAAGUGCAGGUGGACAACUUUUCCUGCAUUCUUGCAUUGAGCCCUCGAAGGUAGCAAUCCCUCUUUCUGGAUUCAGUGUUGACAUGCUCUGGUGCAUAUUGGGCUAGGUGGUCGAAUUCACUGGUAUAUUCCAGAAUACUGCGAUUUCCUUGUUGCAGUCCUAAGAACUGUUCCAGUUUCAUUCUCAUGAUACCUUCCGGCACGAACUGCGUCCGGAAGGCUUCCUUAAAAUCCUCCCACGUGACUUCCCUACCCACUGGCUGCCUGGCCAGAUGGCUGGUCCACCAAGUUGCUGCGAGGCCUUGAAGCUGAAGCCCUGCAAAUUCGGCCUUCUGAGUGGUAGUACAUUGGGGGAUUACUCGAAACUUUUGUUCCAUGGCUUGAAGCCACUCGUUAGCUUCCAGUGGAUGCUCGGCCUUCAAGAAUACUGGGGGACGGGUUUCCAGAAAUUGGGUGUAGGACACACCCUGCUCCGGAUCUCGCCUACGUCCACCAUUACCAGUGUUCUGUAUGAUCAUUUGGAGUAAUCGGGCUUGUUCUGCCCCGGAGUUCAUAAGACUGGCUAUGGCAUCAGCCAGCGUGGGUGCUCUGGGUAAAUUCUCUUCCUGACCUCCAGAACCUGAAGCUCGUGGUUCUCUGGGAUCCGUCAUGCUACCAAGAGUAAACAGGAUAUUAAUAUCUAAGGUGCAUUUUAUCAACAAUCUUCUGCACAUUAUUAGGUCACACAUCACAGUAUGCUCACAUACAAACCAUACUUAUACACAUACUUAUUUAUAAUACAUGCCCUGGAGUUACUUUUUACAAACACCCUCCGUACCACUUGUCCAACACGCAUAUCUUACAAAAAUAUAUUACAACAUUUUUCAGACAAAGUUCAUCUUUAACCAUCAUAAGGGAAAAUGCCUAGUUCUUCGGCAUUUAGGCCCAGUCGAGCCAUUGCUUCCUGCAGGAUGUCUUGGUCUACGGUCAUUAACGUUUGUCAUGGGGGAGCGACGGGUGGGGCUUGAUUGACGGAAUUUUCACUCCCGGACUCCAGCCCGAAGUCACUCCAAGUGCGGGAAGGAUCAGAGGCAGAGGUGCUAACUCCAGAGUUUCCUUCCAUUUCUUCAGGAUCCUCUUCUUCUUCUCCACCUUCUGGUUCUUCUUCUCCCCAUUGCUGCAGGGGUCCAUAGCCCUGAGGAUCUAGUCCAUCAGCAUUGGCAUUGGCCCAAGUGAACUGUUGAUUUCCCGCAGGGACUUCACCCUGGUCGUCCUCCAUGUCCACAUCAAACCCCUCAAGAUUCUCACGAGCAUAUAGAUCUAUCUCAGGAUCUGCUGGUGGCACCGGAUCUUCUUCCACUUCUAUCAUAGGUACUAGUUGAUCCGCUUCCUCCGGGUUCGGUGGCUGAGGCUCUUCUGGUGGUGGAGGUGGUGGGACAUUGACAAUAUUUUGUGCAGGUGCCUGAGCCUUCAUUUCUUCCAAGGCUAGAUGAAGUGACAGGAUCUCGUCUAGCUGUUGGAACCUUUCCGCCUCCAGCCUAUGGACAUUUGAUUCAGCUUCCUCCCUUGCUCUAUCCGCCAUGCUCCUGCUGGCUUCAAUGAACCCUUGCAUCACUCUGAGUUUUUCUUCGUAAUCCUCAAUUCUUCUGGAUUGCUCUCGCAUUGCUUUUCCAUAUCAUGCUCUCUUGCCAUCGCCGCCUUCUUGUACAUUUCCUGGUCAUAUCGGGCACCCAUCAAUUCCAUCUUAGCAUCUUCGUUCUUCUACCUCUGGUUAUAAUAUUCUCUGAUGCAGGCUUGAUGCAAGUUGUACAUUGCUGUCAUAUAAUCAGAAGCAGCAGCAACCAAAACAUCGUGCUCUACUCGAGAAGUGUUCUUCAAGGCUUUAAUCCUCCUCCUCCAUACCCCGUCAUCUUGAUGUUUGAUCGGAUAGAAUCGAGCGGAGCUCAACCCUACCUCCACCUUGUGGUUUCACAUAGUUCAGUAAGAGCAGUCAUGGCCGCCCUUUCUAUGGUGUCAUUAAAUUCAAAACCCGACUCCAUCACCUCCUCCAGACGCCAAUUAGGACGGGUGUCAUCAUCCGGAAUGUGUACAUACACCGUGCAAUAUUGCUAUUGGCCAGUAUCUUCUUUUUGCCAAUAGUACUCUAGGGGAUUGUGAAAGCCCAAUUCUUGUAACGUCUUCCAAAGCAACUGCAUGAAUCCCGGUUUAUCCAAGUAACAACCGUGGGUCCACCCAUCCUUAUCCGUGUAGCCUUCUUCAAACAUCCUAUAAAAGAAAUGGGGUCAGGUCUAACGGCACUCACCAAACCCAAAAGUUUUAAAAUAUGCAAUGCAAACAUGAUGCAACGAUUCCUACAUACUUUUAGACUCAUAUACACACUCGUAGGAAAAUUGGUGGCAUCGUAAUCUCUCCCUAAGUAAUAAACUACCGAAUACUAGCGACACGCAGCAAACAGUUAGCAUCUGCAAAACAAACAAACAGUUAACACUACUGCCACCUGUGAGUCUUGUUUUUAUUAUUUUAAAAUAGAGUCUUAGUUUUUAAAAGGUAAUAUCUGUUGAUUAUCCCAACCUACGGCUCUGAUACCACCUAUGGCGGAACCGCCCAACUUAAGCUGGUUUAAGUGCGCAUAAUCGCUGUCGGAACAGCAAUUAUCCGAAACGCACCUAAAACAGCAUAAGUCCGGUAGUCCGUCGAGUGUCCCUAGGACUCCUCGAAGGAUCCACGGCGUGUUUCAUAACCAUACAUCAGGAUAAUAUCCGCGAUGGGAUAAUAUCAACAAACAUUACAUUUUUACAUAUAUAUAUAAAAGGUACGAGUUAUUACAGGACAUAAGUUGAAACAAACUUAGUGAUGCAGUGUUAGACAAGCUCUAAGAUUUAAACAUAAAUAGUUCAGGAGAAGAUGCGCACGUAGAACUUUUUCUCUAGGGUAUUGUGAGACUCAGGCCAAUACCCUAGGGCUUCGGGGUCUCCUCCUCUGCAGCCUCUUGCGGAGCUUCUGAAAGAUAGCCACAAGGGGAAAAACCCUGAGUACGGGGUACUCAGCAAGUCUUACCCGACUAACCAAUAUAAUAGUUUUCUUUGGAAUGCAUGUCAGCCUUUGGGGUGUGCUUGGUUGACACAAUUUUUGCCGAAAAGCUUACUACGAGUAAAGCCUUAGUUUUAUCUUUUAUUUGGGUUAAGUUAUUACCUAACCAUUCUAAAUGAUAACAGAAGUAAAAGCAACCAUAGCUGUUAAAUCAUACAUCAAUUGAUAACAGGAGAAUACAUAUUGCAUGAAUUGAUACUACGAUGCUCAACAGUGAUCAAGUGCAUUCAUAACCGAGAAUUUCGGCGAUCCGGAUCUAAUUACAUCCUGCAGGAGAGUACCCUGAUCACCAGCGUUAUACGACUGUCCAGGUCGUAUCUAACAACCUCUCGAUUAGCAAACUCAAUGGUUAGGAAUACGACUACCCGGACCCAGGGAUGCACCCCCACAUGGGACCCCACGUCUGGCCCGAUCACCAUGUGAGUUUCAGGCUACACCCCUGCCAAUCUCCAACACGUCAAGCGCGGGUACGAAGUAAUCCUGAUCAUAGAGUUUACUAAUUUACUGGGCUUUACUGGUCCCAUACCCAGUAAGUGAUCAGAUGCUUAUCACUUGAUCAAAGGUUAAGACAACGAAUCGGGCCUUAACCAAAUUAAUCUAGCAGACAGAACUACAUCUCUAGCUUCUGUCCGUUUUCACUUUCCAAGUUAUCCUUCAUAAGCAACAUGUAUGACUUAAGAGUUUUCCUUAAGGUUGGUAAACCAAGCAUGUAAGCAAGUAAGCAAUUCUAGACUUGGGUAUCUUCUAAGGUUUGAACAAGUGGCAAAGAUGUCCUUAAAACAAGGCAUGAUCAUACACAAGAAUAGGUUUCAAGCAACUCCUAGACUUAGUGCAUACAUAAAGCAAAUAACCUAUAACUAGUCACAUGAAAUAACGACUCCAAAAUAGAUAGGUAUAAAUGCACCGGGGCUUGCCUUGUUCGCUAAAAAGAUUAGUAGACUCUGACGGGUUGGCUUCACAGGGAACUAACUCAAACACUUCUUCGGACUCCGAAGGUCCUUCUGAAAAUUCCCAAUAUACUCCUUCCGGUGCUUCGGGAUCUAUGGCAUAAUACAUGCAGGGGUUAGAAUGCAACAUUUUGAAUUAAAGACUAUACAAUUUUUCUUCAUGAUAAAGUUGCAAGCCAACAAGGACUAUACAACCUAUCAUGAUAAAGUUGUAAGCCAACACAUAAAAACCCAAAAGAUUAACCCACAAUUUUAUUUUUCUAAUUUAACCCUUCUUAUAGCUUUUUCUUUUAUCUUUAGAAAAAGUUAUAAUUAUUUUCUAACUUGAAAAUCUAAUUUCCUAUGGGUUAAGAAUAAUUUGUGAUUAAGAAAGUGUUAUUCAUAUUUUAUACAUUUUAUAAAUAUUAAGUAUUUAUUUAAUUACCUUAAAAGGAAGGCAUUAAAUAAAUACCCAAAUUUUUAUUAUUUUUCUAGGGUGUAAAAAUUUUAAUGCGUAAAGGAAAAUAAAAAAAGCCUAACAAAAUUGGUUUCACUAAUUUUGGACACUCCUAUAAAUUUAUGUGAUUUAAAUGGUGUAAAACGGAUUUAAACGAAUUAUUUCACUAAAGGAAAUCUAAUUUUUCCCGAAAUCGCCCGGAAAUACUUUUCUCACCCGGCCCUUCUCUACCCUCUCUCACGCGCACUGGGCCCCACGGCGCGGACCCCACCUCUCCUAUUCAUUUCUACCCGCCGGCCCUAUUUUCCCCCUAACGGGCCCCGUGGGCCGAUUCUCCUUUCCUCCUCCUUUCUUUGGCCCAACACCGGCCCACGGCCCUCCUUCUUUUUCCUUUUUCUUUCGCGACAUCAGCCUGUUAGCUGCUCUGGGCCCUCGGCCUCUUUCCUUUUCCGGCCGACCCGCGCGUACUUCACUGGGCCUCCAGGCCACGGCCCAACAGAUGGCCGCGCCGCUUCCGGCCUCUCUCUCUCUCCCUCUCUUCCCACUGCCGCGCGGGCCCAACGCCUGGGUGCUUCUUCCUCCUCCCGCCAAAACGCGCCCGUGACAGGGGGCGGCGCAACCCGCCGGCCGGCGCCCCACCGGCGGCGAAGCUCGGCCAGGACAUCGUAGGACCCUAAGGACUCGACUACGACUACUCAAGAAGGAAGAGAGGCAGCGCGAAGUAGAGCGACGGGCGGCGACACCCUCGGCCGGUGGUGACUACUCACGACAACGGCAUAACCUACUCAAACAUCUACCCCUACACCAUCGUAGGACCCUAAGGAGUCGACUACGACUACUCAAGAAGGAAGAGAGGCAGCGCGAAGUAGAGCUCACCGUGAGCGGGCGGCGCGACGACGGCGGACAGAAGCGACGGCGAGCACGGUUACUUUGGCAUGGAUGUUGGACAACAACUGGUCUGGGGUGUAGCUGGGGCGUCUGUGGGGGAGUGGACGAGAGGAAUCGACGGGAGGCGAGACGUGGCGGUGGAAUUUUGCUCGGCGGCGGCGCUUGACAGAGGAGAAGCUGGCGGUGGUAAAAAGGACGGCGGUGAAACGGCGGUGCAGGAGCGGUAAUUAUAUGAACGGUUUACCAUGCGCAUGGCUGCCACCAUGGUCUACCCCUAGGCUUACGUGGUGAGGAGGUGGCCUAGUCGUCGCGCUGGCGAGCUACCAAGAGCGGCGGCGGCGACACGUCGAGCUCGGCUCUGCUGCUCUCCCCUUUUCUGAUUUCUGGCGCCCAAAAUUCAGAGCUUCUCCACGGUGGAUUUCCAAUCUGACGGUGCACCGGUGUCUUAACCGAAGUUGCAGAUAAUCUUGAGUCCUCCAACUUUUAUUUUGGUUUGACCCCGAGAUAAACAUCCAACACAGUGCAAUUUGAAUUCUUUUACCAGCUCCAACUGAAUUUCUACUGAACUUCGAGUUUCAGUUCAUCAGUUCAUGACAGUGUCACUGAUCUUACUUUGUGCUCGAGUUUAGUAAUCCAAUUCUCUUCCUUUAAGUCCAACUUCUUCCCAAACUUGUUCUACAACAUCCCAAAGUUCCAUUUUGCUCAUGAACAAGUACCCCUUUUGAUCUACAUUGCUCUGAAUUCAAGUCCAAAGUUGAUGUCAUAUUGCUGUUUCAGACUUAACCAAUUUCAGACUUGUCAGUUAACUGUGACAGUGUGCUGACUUUGGGCUACAAUUUGAAAUGGUUCCCUUCCAUGUUCCCGGCCAACAACACCCAAAUCUUGUAGUCCAAAGUUCAUACUUCAAUAUAGUGUAGUUGUCCUGGUGCAUUUAUUUGAAAUAUUCUGCAGAAUUCAAUUUUGAAAACAGACUCUGCUGCUGUUUUGCUGAACUCCUAUUUUCGGAUGGUGAACAGUAAACACCCUUUUCCUUUUCUUUUCUCUGAUUCCUUUGGGAUAAUUAGCACCAUUUUGUUCCAAAUUCUUGAUCCUUAAGUUCUAAACACUCUUACACUUGUAUUCCAUAUUUUUGAUAAAUUUUUCUGAAUUUCAAAUUUGAAAUUCAAAUUUCGACCAAAUUUGACCUGAAUUUGAUUUUCGGCCAAUUUCUUUUCCUUUUCUUCUCAAUUUGCUUUUAAUUCUUCAAAGUUAUUUAGAUGACUAGAUUGGCAGCUUUUACACCCAGGAUGAGGAAUAUUGGUAUGAUUUCUGAUAUUCCAGGGCUGAAAUGGCCUCUGCUCAAAGGAAGGCCGAUAAGCGGGUCGAGGAGGACCUCGGUAUACUACCUUCAUCCUCUGCAGGGUAUUCCCGAAAGUUCCAAAAGAAAUAUUCUUUCUCUUCAAAGAUUCUUCUUUCUUCAAAGUUUCAUCUAAAAUUCUCAUUUUCUCUUCUACAGUAAUAGCUGUGCUUACCGCAGAACUAUAAUCAGCAAAGGUGCAGGUAAACAACAUCUCCUGCAUUCGUGCAUUGAGCCCGCGAAGAUAACAGUCCCUCUUUCUGGACUCCGUGUUAACAUGUUCUGGGGCAUACUAGGCCAAGUGAUCAAAUUCAUUUGUGUAGUCCAGAAUACUACGAUUCCCUUGCUGUAGCCCUAGAAAUUGCUCCAGCUUCAUUCGCAUAAUCCCUUCCGAUACAAACUGCGUUCAGAAAGCUUCCUUGAAAUUUUCCCAAGUAACCUCCCUUUCGACAGGUUGCCUUGCCAAAUAACUUGUCCACCAGGUCCCAGCAGGACCCUAGAGUUGGAGCCCGGCAAACUCCACCUUCUGGGUGGGGGUGCAUUGUGGAAUUACUCAAAAUUUCUGCUCCAUUGUCUGAAGCCAUUCAUUGACCUCUAGUGGGUGCUCGGCCUUUAGAAAUAUUGGAGGACGAGUUUCCAGAAAUUGGGUGUAAGAUACACCACGUUUUGGGUCCCCUCUGUUCCCACCAUUUCCAGUGUUUUGCACAAUCAUCUGAAGAAGUCGGGCUUGUUCAGCUCCUGAAUUCAUGAGGCUGGCUAUGGCAUUAGCCAGCGUUGGGGCUCUGGGUAAGUUUUCCUCGUGGCCCCCUGACCCCGAAGCCCGAGGACCUCUCGGAUCCGUCAUUCUGCUGAAAUCAAACAGAGUAUUAAUGUCUAAGCCAUAGUUUGUCAGUAGUUCCAUGAGCAUGCUCGUUUUUCACACAUAACAUCACAAUUAUUGUAGUUACACACAAACCACACUUAUAUACAUCAUUAUUUAUAUUACAAGAACUGGAGUUUAAUUUCUACAAAGCAACCCCACUACUCCGUCUCUCUGCUUCUAUCUUACAUAAAUACACUACAGUAUUCCUUGAUCAUGAUCUUCUCUCAACCAUCAUAGGGAUAAAUGCCCAAUUCUUCAGCAUUUAUUCCUAGUCGGGCCAUCGUAGCCUGCAGAACAUCCUGAUCCACUGUCAUCAGUGUUUGUCCUGGAGGAGCGACAAGUGGAGGCUGAUUCACUGAAUUCUCGCUUUCUGACUCUGGUCCGGGGUCACUUGAGGUGUAGGAGGUGUAUGAUGCGGAGGUGCUGACACCAUAAUUUCCUUCCAUUUCUUCUGGAUCUUCUUCUUCUUCCUCGCCUUCCUGCUCGGCUUCACCCCACUGUUGUAUAGGUCCAUAGCCUUGUGGAUCUAACCCAUCUGCAUUUGCAUCGGCCCAGGCAAAGUGAUGGUUUUCCAUUGGAGCUUCACCCAGAUUAUCUUCCAUGUCGAUAUCGAAACCUUCUAAAUUCUCAUGGGCUCGAUCUCAGGAGCUGCAGGUGGAGCCACAUUACCCUCAACACCUACAAUAUCCACCAAUUGAUCUGCUUCUUCGGGGACCAGUGGCUGUGGUUCUUCUGGUGGUGGAGGCGGUGGAACGUUUACUAUGUUCUGAGCAGGUACCUGAGCCUGCAUUUCUUCUAAGGCCAGACAAAGAGAUAAUAUUUCGUCCAGCUGCUGAAAUCUCUCCACCUCGAGCCUAUUAACAUUGGAUUCAGCCUCUUCCUUUGCCCUUUCUGCCGUGUUUCUACUGGCAUCCAUGAAUUCCUUCAUUGUCCUGAGCUUUUCUUCAUAUUCAUCUAUCCUCCUGGACUGCUCUCUCAUAAUCUUUUCCAUGUCAUGUUCCCUAGCCAGUGCUGCUUUCUUGUACAAUUCCUUAUCAUGUCUGGCACCCAUUACCUCCAUCUUGACAUUCUCAUUUCUCUUUCUAUGAUUGUAAUAUUCCCUCAUGCAGGAUUGGUGCAGGUUAUACAUAGCAGUCAUAUAGUCGGAGGCAGCAGCAACCAGAAUGUCAUGCUCCACGCGAGAGGAAUUCUUCAAUGCUUUGAUCCUCCUUUUCCAAAUACCAUCAUCUUGAUGCUUUAUGGGAUAGAAUCGAGCAGAGCUCGACCCUAUUUCCACUUUAUGUUUCUCGCAUAGGUCCGUGAGGGCGGUCAUAGCUGCCCUUUCAAUUGUAUCAUUGAACUCGAAACCCUGCUCCAUAAUUUCAUCAAGACGCCAAUUAGGGUUUGUGUCUUCAUCUGGGAUAUGGACAUAAACAGUAUAACACUACUUAUGACAGGUGUCCUCCUUCCUCCAAUAAUACUCCGGAGGGUUAUGAAAGCCUAGCUCCUGCAGCAUCUUCCAUAACAACUGUACAAACCCUGGCUUGUCCAGGUAAUGUCCCCAGGUCCAUCCGUCCUGAUCUGUAUAUCCUUCUUAGAACAUCCUAUAAAAGAAAUGGGGUUAGGUCUAACGACACUCACAAAACCCAAAAGUUUUUAGAACAUGCUUAUGCAACAUGAUGCAACGAUUCCUACGUAUUCACAGACUCAUAUACACACUCGUAGAAAAAUUGGUGGCAUCGUAAUCUCUCCCUAAUAAUAUACUAUCGAAUACUAGUGACAAUGCAGCAAACAGUUAGCAUCUGCAAAACAAACAACCAGUUAACACUACUGCCACCUAUGACUCACAUUUUCUUUGUUUCAAAGUAGAGUCUCAGUUUUUAAACAGUAAUAUCUGUUGAUUAUCCCAACCUAUUACUUUGAUAUCAGUUGUGGCGGAACCGCCCAACUUAAAAUUGUUUAACUGUGCCUAAUCGCUAUUAGAACAGCAUUUAUCCAAAACGCACUUAAAACAGUAUAAGUCCGGUAGUCCGUCGAGUGUCCCUAGGACUCCUCGAACGAUCCACAUCACGUCUCAUAGCCAUACACCAGGAUUACUUCCACGAUGGGAAAGCAUCAACAAAUAUUACAUUUUUACAUACAUACAUGAGGUACGAGUUAUUACAGAACGUAGUUUGAAAUAAACUUAACAGUGCAGGUCAGAGAGAUUCUAGGAGUUUAAAACAUAAACUGGUCCAGGUGAGAGAUGAGCAUUUAAGUUUUCUUCUGAGGGUAUUGCGAGACUCGUAACAAUACCCUAGUUUUUCGGGGCCUCCUCCUCUGCGGACUCCUGUGGUGCUUCUGAAAAUAGCCACAAGGGAUAACCCUGAGUACGGGGUACUUGUUGGGAUACGAGGUAGGCUACACUAGCGCAAAUCAAAAAUUUCUACCGCGUAAAACCAGGAAGAACUGCCGUAUAAGGAUCAUGGGAUUACCACUCGACACACUACUGGUGCGGAAGAUGUAGAUUUGCGUCGAUGCAGUGAAGACGAUCAACGUAGUCGUACGUAGUCGAUCAACGUAGUCGUACGUAGUCGAUCACGUCAACGUCCAGCAGCUCCUCAGCAGCUCGUCCACGUGCAGCAAGAUCACCCUCGUGCCGCGACUCGUCGUGGCUCGUCGGCGGCUUGUCCAAGUGCUGCAGGCGCAACACCUCCAAGGUAUCCACACGUGCAGGGAGGAAGCGUCACAAGCCGGAUUGCUAGAUCCGCGAGUUGCAACAGGUGAGGGUGUGGGAGGCGCGGCAGAUAUGUUUCACCAAAAAGUUGUGAACCCUAGGGCGCCCCCACCCCUUUAUUUAUAGAGGUUCCUAACGGGCCUCUGGGUCCGAGGCCCAUUAGUACUUCUAAACCUAAUCUAACUCGGAUCAGAUCCGAAUUGGGCUUCCAGCCCCUUAAGUGUGUGACCCUAUAGGUUCGGAUACGUAUAGACAUGGCCCGAGUACUCCUACUCGGCCCAAUAGUCGGUAGCGGCCUCUAGCAAGACGUGCCAACUCCUAUACGCACACGAAGACCAUAUCAGACGAACCAUCACAACAUAAUAUAGAUGCUAUUCCCUUUGCCUCACGAUAUUUGGUCUAGCUUCAAGCCGACCGCUCUUUCUCGAUCCUGUGAUUCGGAAUCCCUUUGUAGGUUAACUCUUAACCUUACGUAGCAUGGCCAUGCAUUUUUGGAUCCGAUCACUCGAGGGGCCCAGAGAUAUCACUCUCAAUCAGAGAGGGGCAAAUCCCAUCUUGAUUGACCAUGUCUCAUAGCAUGCUUCUUGACAAACCCGAAAGCUACCUUUAUAACUACCCUGUUACGGCAUAGCAUUUGAUAGCCCCUAAGUAGGUCGAUCCACAUCUUGAAUACAUGCGACAAUCUCAGGUCUAAGGACAAAGCAUAUAUGUUGUUUAAAAAGAGAACUACUUCUCGUGUUGGGUCAGUCCUAACACAUGUCUACACAUGUGUCCACAUUAUUAGUUCAACAUCUCCAUGUCCAUGACUUGUGAAACAUAGUCAUCAACUAAUACAUGUGCUAGUCUAAUAUUCAUGUGUGUCCUCACAUGAACUCCGACUAGGGACAACUUUAGAAUAACCACACAAGUAAAGAGUUUCACAUACAAUUCACAUAAUUGCAAAUCAAUUCAAGUAGCCUUUAAGGGAUAUUCAAUGAACACAAUAUACAAAUCAUGGAUACAAAUGGAAUAUCAUCAUCUCUAUGAUUGCCUCUAGGGAAUACCUCCAACAGUCUCCCACUUGCACUAGAGUCGAUCUAGAAGGUACCUAAUACCCAUAGCUCUUACAUGCGCAUCAUGCUUAGCCUGCGGGAGUGGUUUUGUCAACAGAUCAGAAAUGUUCAAAUCCGUGUGUAUUUUGCAUAUCUUGAUCUCACCCCGGUUAACGAAGUCUCGAAUGAGAUGAAAUCGCUGCAUUACGUGAUUGUUCUUCUGGUGGUUCCUUGGCUCCUUUGCUUGCGCAAUUUCCCCAUUGUUAUCACAGUAGAGAUUCAAUGGGCUGGACGCAUUCGGGAACACACCGAGCUCAAUGAGGAAAUUCCUUAUCCAAACACCCUCCUUCGCGGCUUCCGAAGCCGCGAUGUACUCGGCUUCUAUCGUAGAAUCGGCCACCGUCUCCUACUUGGAACUCUUCCAACUAACAGCACCACCAUUUAGCGUGAACACAAAUCCUGAUUGUGACUUUGAAUCAUCUCUGUCAAUUUGGAAACUAGCAUCGGUGUAACCUGUUACAACGAGCUCCUCCUCACCUCCAUAGAUGAGGAACAUAUCUUUAGUCCUUCUCAAGUACUUAAGAAUGUUUUUCACCGCUGUCCAGUGACUCUCACCUGGAUCAGCCUGGUGUCUGCUUGUCAUACUUAGCGCAUAUGAAACAUCUGGGCGAGUACUUAUCAUUGCAUACAUGAUAGAUCCAAUAGCCGAGGCAUAUGGCACUCUACUCAUGCGAUCCCGCUUAUCAGCAGUCGAAGGACACUGAGUCUUGCUGAGAUGUAUGCCAUGUGACAUAGGCAAGAACCCUUUCUUUGCCUCUUUCAUGCUGAACCGCUUCAACACUUUGUCAAUGUAAGUAUCUUAGCUUAAACCUAUAAGCCUUCUCGAUCUAUCUCUAUAGAUCUUAAUGCCCAGAAUGUAUGCUGCUUCCCCUAAGUCUUUCAUCAAAAAACUAUUUUUCAGUGAAGUCUUUACGGACUCAAGCAUAGGAAUGUUAUUUCCAAUCAGUAAUAUGUCAUCCAUAUAUAAGAUUAGAAAUACUACAGAGCUCCCACUAACCUUCUUGUAAACACAAGACUCUUCUUCAUUCUUGGUGAAGUCAAACCCUUUGACCACUUCAUCAAAACAAAUGUUCCAACUCCUAGAUGCUUGCUUCAAUCCAUAAAUCGAUCUCUGAAGCUUGCAUACCUUUCCAGCAUUUUUCGGAUCAACAAAACCCUUGGGCUGUAUCAUAUACACGUCCUCAGCUAGGUUUCCAUUCAGGAAAGCUGUCUUGACAUCCAUCUGCCAUAUCUCAUAAUCGAAAUAUGUAGCUAUAGCUAGAAUAAUCCGAAUGGACUAGCAUCACUACGGGCGAGAAGGUAUCGUCGUAGUCAACUCCUUGAACUUGUCGAAAACCUUUUGCGACAAGUCGUGCUUUAUAGAUGUGAACAUUUCCAUCCAUGUCCUUUUUCUUCUUAUAGAUCCACUUGCACUCUAUGGCUUUAACACCAUCAGGCGGGUCAACCAAGUUCCAAACUUGAUUGUCUCCCAUGGACUCUAUUUCGGAUUGCAUGGCACUCUGCCAUUUUUCGGAGUCUGGGUCCAUCAUUGCUUCUGCAUAUGUCGCAGGCUCAUCAUUGUCCAACAAUAAUAUUUCCCGCAUUUCGCGGAGCCUUGCCGACCUUCGUGGUUGUGGCGGUGCUUCUCUUGCCAUGGGUAUCUCAACUUGUUCUGCUACGUUAGCAUCACUCAUUGAUUCUUGCCCGAUCGGCUCAUCUUGAACUUCUUCAAGAUGCACUGUCUUUCCACUCUUUUCUCCUUUGAGAAACUCUUUCUCUAGGAAAACCCCGUUCCGAGCGACAAACACUUUGCCUUCUGAUCGGUUGUAGAAAUAAUAUCCCAAAGUUUCCUUUGGAUAUCCCACGAAAAUGCACUUAUCCGACUUGGGUGUGAUCUUGUCCGACUGAAGUCGCUUGACAAGCACUUCACAUCCCCAAUUCUUUAGAAAAGACAAACUAGGAACCUUUCCAGUCCAUAUCUCAUAUGGUGUCUUAACUACGGAUUUAGAUGGUACCCUAUUAAGUGUGAAAGCUGCUGUUUCUAGAGUGUAUCCCCAAAAUAACAACGGUAGGACCGACGGGCUCAUCAUUGAUCGAACCAUGUCUAACAAAGUUCGAUUACGUCGCUCGGAUACACCGUUUCUCUAAGGUGUUCCAGGCGGCGUAAGUUGUGGAACAAUUCCGCAACUCUUUAGAUGAUUGCUAAACUCGUGGCUUAAAUACUCGCCUCCACGAUCAGAUCGUAAGGCCUUAAUUUUCUUGCCGCGCUGAUUUUCAACUUCAUUCUGAAAUUCCUUGAACUUUUCAAAGGUUUCAGACUUGUGCCUCAUCAAGUAGACAUAGCCAUAUCUAUUAAAAUCAUCAGUGAAAGUUAUGAAGUAUUGGAAUCCUCCUCUAGCCGUCGUGCUCAUUGGUCCGCAUACAUCACUAUGUACGAGUUCCAACAAGUCUACUGCUCUCUCAGGAAAUCCUGUGAAAGGCGUCUUAGUCAUCUUGCCUAGCAAGCAAGCCUCACAUGUCUCGUAUCAUUCAAAAUCAAACGAAAUUAGAAGUCCAUCAGAAUGGAGCUUCUUCAUGCGCUUUUCACUUAUAUGAUCCAAAUGACAAUACCACAAGUAGGUAUGACUCAAAUCAUUAGGCCGAGGCCUUUUAGCAUUUACGUUACAAACAGGUGAACCAUCAAGAUUUAAAACAAAUAAUCCAUUCACAAUGGGUGCAAAAGCCAUAAACAUAUUAUUCUUAGAGAUCACACAACCAUUGUUUUCACUCGCAAAUGAAUAGCCAUCCUUCAUCAAGCAUGAAGGAGACAAAAUGUUUCGACUUAAACUAGGAACGAAAUAACAAUUAUUCAACUCCAUAAUAAAUCCUGACGGGAGGUGGAGUUGCAUCGUCCCGACGGUCAACGCAGCAACUCUUGCAUUAUUGCCCACGCGGAAAUCAACUUCUCCUCUUUCCACGCUUCUACUUCUUAUCAUUCCCUGCAUCGAAUUGCAAAUAUGAGCAACCGAUCCGGUAUCAAAUACCCAAGAAUUAAUAAUUGUAUCAGCGAGAAAAAUAUUGUCUAUAACAUUAACAACAAGCGUACCUGAGGUAGAAGUACUCUUACUUCCGCCAUUCUUCAACGAAGCUAGGUACUGCUUGCAGUUUCUCUUCCAGUGACCAAGUUCAUGACAGUAAAAUCACUCUUUGUCUGGAGCAGGUCCAGGUCCAGCUUUAACCUUGGGCAUUGGGUUUGGCUUGGAUGUUCCAGCCUUGCCCUUCUUCUUCCAAGAAUUGCCCUUCUUCUUAAAGCUAGGCUUGUUCUGUAUAGCCAUCACAUGGCUGGUACUAGUGCUUUUCUUAAUAUCUACCUCUGCUGUCUUGAGCAUACCACACAGUUCAUUCAGACCCUUCUCCGUCCCAUGCAUAUGGUAGUUCGAGAUGAAGUUCCCAUAGCUAGGUGGAAGAGAUGAAAGAAUGAAGUCAGUGGCCAACUCUUUGCCCAUUGGGAAGCCCAGCUUCUCCAAUCGUUGAGUGUAACCAACCAUCUUGAUUACAUGUGGUCCUACUGCUGCGCCUUCUGCUAGCUUGCACUCCAGAAAGGCUUUGGACACAUUGAACCUUUCAGUCCUAGCCUAUGUCUGGAACAUGUCUUUGAGUGCCACGAUCAUAUCGUGUGCCUCAUGAUUUGUUUCGAACUGCAUCUGCAGCUCGGGUUCCAUGCAAGCAAGCAUAAGGCAGCUUACCUCAAGAUUAGCAUCAAAUGCCUUCUUGUAAGCAGCCUUAACGGCAGCAGAUGCAUCAUCAGCAGGUACUGGUGGUAGUGGGGUGUCUAGAACUUCUUCCUUUUUAUCGGCCCUGAGAACAAUUCUCAGGUUACGGAUCCAAUCCGAGUAGUUUGUUCCAUUCAACUUGUCCUUCUCAAGGACCGAACGCAAAGCAAACGAUGUGGUGGUGUUGCUAGGUGCCAUUUAAUCUACAACAAAAGUAAUGCAAAAUACACUAAGACAAACGUAUCCAUGAUAGAGCAAAUCACAUUAAACUAUUUUAACAGAAUCUACUCCCACUAAAAUCAAUAUCCCUCUAUUGAAACUUAGUGAUUCAGGAUUCACAACUAUCAAGUCUACUAGUGAGCUUUAGCAUCACCGCUAGCAAAUAAGGUAGAUCGGUAAGCAACUUUUGCUAAUCAUAUCACAUAUGACUCCUGUUGUUGGGUGACAUCUCCAUGUCUCGGCGCCCAACCUUUAUGCCCCAAUGUCCUUAACCAUUAAGAUAACCUUGUUAAGCAAACCAACCCUUAUGCAUGUAAGUGUCCGACACAAACCCGUCUAGUCAAGGAAAACUAGUGGUACCCUAAUUUCAUAGACCCACCACUAAUUGUACAAGACAUGGGACGGUGCAAGUUUUAGUUGGGAGGGCAUACUAACUUAAACUUUGUGAGGGAUCAUUCUACUUCUAACAUCACAGCAUGCAAAAAGUAAAACAUAAACAGAAUAGCAUUCACACAGUUGUGACACAGUAUGGCCCGUUUUCAUAUGGUGAUCUCCAUCUCCAUAGAACCUGUUCACCAUGGUGAUCUCCAUCUCCAUGUUCCAUGUGCGCCAUCCUCCUGGUGAUGAGUCCUUCAAGAACUAGAACAUGCUAUUACGCCUAAUAGCUAGUAAAGAAGCUAGUAAUGAAGUUUACAUAGUUGCUUGGAUCAUCACAGAUUGGUACGCAGACCAUUAAAUACAUUAAGGUGACAACACAUAUGGCUCCUGCCAUGUUGCCGUACGCGCGACACACAGGUCACGAAUGAGUUACACACAUGCAUCACAUACACAAAGGUACAUACAUACAUCCUGCAAAACAGAGUUAAGCGUCCUAACGUUCCAAACUUCGGAGGCCUGAAACUCCAUCUUCCAAGCCAAAUUUGGGAAAUCUAAUUUCGCCAAAAAUGGCAAAGCGGUUGAAUUUCAUGUGUAACUUUUUCUGUAGAUCAAUUUUCAUAUAAAAUUUGCCCCGAUCCGAGAUCGUACCGAAAAGUUACGGCUGAUUUACCGAAGCAUACGCAUACGGCAAAAAUCCCAACCCCGGUAGUAGAUCCCAUCUACUUUUGCACAUCUAAUGCGCCUAGCGUAUGACCCUGGAUUUCGAUUCAACCAAUCAUAUUGAUCUUCGCUCACUGCAACUGGAUUUACGUGUAUCACUUAACUCCGAUGGCGGAAACCGACCAGUAGGAGUAUGUCGUUACACUACCAUUGCAGCAAGAGCACGAAACCAGGACAUAGAUCAAACUGAAAACUCACAUAUCUCCAUAUGCACACUUCCCGAAUCAAAAACUAAACAGCUACGGCUCUUAUACCACUGUUGGGAUACGAGGUAGGCUACACUAGCGCAAAUCAAAAAUUUCUACCGCGUAAAACUAGGAAGAACUGCCGUAUAAGGAUCACGGGAUUACCACUCAACACACUACUGGUGCGGAAGAUGUAGAUUUGCGUCGAUGCAGUGAAGACGAUCAACGUAGUCGUACGUAGUCGAUCAACAUAGUCGUACGUAGUCGAUCACGUCAACGUCCAGCAGCUCCUCAGCAGCUCGUCCACGUGCAGCAAGAUCGCCCUCGUGCCGCGGCUCGUCGUCGGCUCGUCGUGGCUCGUCGGUGGCUCGUCGUGGCUCGUCGGUGGCUCGUCGUGGCUCAUCGGCGGCUCGUCCAAGUGCUGCAGGCGCAACACCUCCAAGGUAUCCACACGUGCAGGGAGGAAGCCGGAUUGCUAGAUCCGCGAGUUGCAACAGGCGAGAGCGUGGGAGGCGUGGCACAUGUGUUUCGCCAACAAGGUUUGAACCCUAGGGCGCCCUCACCCCUCUAUUUAUAGAGGUUCCUAAUGGGCCUCUGGGUCCGAGGCCCAUUAGUACUUCUAAACCUAAUCCAACUCGGAUCAGAUCCGAAUUGGGCUUCCAGCCCCUUAAGUGUGUGACCCUAUGGGUUCGGAUACGUAUAGACAUGGCCCGAGUACUCCUACUUGGCCCAAUAGUCGGUAGUGGCCUCUAGCAAGACUUGUCAACUCCUAUACGCACACGAAGAUCAUAUCAGACGAACCAUCACAACAUAAUAUGCAUGCUAUUCCUUUUGCCUCACGAUAUUUGGUCUAGCUUCAAGCCGACCGCUCUUUCUCGAUCCUGUGAUUCGGAAUCCCUUUGUAGGUUAACUCUUAACCGUACGUAGCAUGGCCAUGCAUUUUCGGAUCCGAUCACUCGAGGGGCCCAGAGAUAUCACUCUCAAUCAGAGAGGGGCAAAUCCCAUCUUGAUUGACCAUGUCUCAUUGCAUGCUUCUUGACAAACCCGAAAGCUAACUUUAUAACUACCCUGUUACGGCGUAGCGUUUGAUAGCCCGUAAGUAGGUCGAUCCACAUCUUGAAUACAUGCGACAAUCUCAGGUCUAAGGACAAAGCAUAUAUGUUGUUUAAAAAGAGAACUACUUCUCAUGCUGGGUCAGUCCUAACACAUGUCUCCACAUGUGUCCACAUUGUUAGUUCAACAUCUCCAUGUCCAUGACUUGUGAAACAUAGUCAUCAACUAAUACAUGUGCUAGUCUAAUAUUCAUGUGUGUCCUCACAUGAACUCCGACUAGGGACAACUUUAGAAUAACCACACAAGUAAAGAGUUUCACAUACAAUUCACCUAAUUGCAAAUCAAUUCAAGUAGCCUUUAAGGGAUAUUCAAUGAACACAAUAUACAAAUUAUGGAUACAAAUGGAAUAUCAUCUCUAUGAUUUCCUCUAGGGCAUACCUCCAACAGUACUCAGUAAGGCUUACCCGACUAACCAAUAUAAUAGUUUUUCUAGAACUAUAUGAUAGCUUUUUGGUGUACUCGCUGACACACUUUUUGCCAAAAGAGUUUACUAAAAGUGAGACCUUAGCUUUAUCUUUUAUUCCAAUUAAGUCAUUACCUAACCAUUCUAAAUGAUGACAAAAGAAUAAUUUGCAAGCAGCAAGAUAUUUAAGUCAUACACCAAGUUAUUAUUGGAAAGACAUUGCAUUUAUGAAAUUAUACUAUGAUGCUCAACAGUGAUCAAGUGCAUUCAUAACCGAGUAUUGCGACGAUCCGGAUCAAUUUACAUCCUGCAGGAGAGUACCUUGAUCACCAGCUAUGUACGACUGUCCAGGUCGUAAGUAACGAACUUUCGAUUAGCAAACCCAAGGAUUGGGAAUAAGACUACCCGGACCCAGGGACGCACCCCCACAUGGGACCCCACGUUUGGCCUGAUCUCCAUGUGAGUUUCAGGCUACGCCCCUACCAAUCUCCAGCACGUCAAGCACGGGUACAAAGUAUUCCCAAUCAGAGAGUCUACUAACCUACCGGGCUUUACUGGUCCCAUACCCAGUAAGUAAUCAGGUGUCAUUCACUUGAUCAAAGGUUAAGACAACGAUCAGGCCUUAACCAGAUUAAACUAGAAGACAGAACUAUCAUCUCUAGCUUCUGCCUGCUUUCAACUCCCAAGCUACCUUUCCAUACUUAGCAUGUAUGACUCAACGUUUCACCUUAAGGUUUGGUAAACAAGUUACAUUAAGCAACUAAGCAUUUCUAAACUUGAGUUACUUACUAAUUGUUUGAACAAGUAGCAAAGAUGUCCUUAAAACAAGGUAUGAUAAUGCACAAGAAUGGGUUUCAAUCAAUUCCUAGACUUAGUGCAUUAAUAUAGAAAUUAACCAAUAAUUGGACACAUGAGAUAAUAAUUCCAAAGUAGAUAGGUAUAAAUGCACCGGGGCUUGCCUUGUUCUAUAAAAAUAUUAGCACUGUCCGACGGAUUGGCUUUGUAGGGGAUCGAUUCAAUGAUCUCUUCAAACUCCGGAGAUCCUUCUGAUAAUUCCAAGAAAUCCUCUUCCGGUGCUUCGGUGUCUAUGAUAAAGCAUAUGCAUGGGUUAGUGAUGCAACUUUUUGAAUACAAGACUAUACAACUUUCCUUCAUGAUAAAGUUGGAAGCCAACAAGGGACUACACAAUUUAUCAUGAUGAAGUUGCAAGCCAACACACAAAAAAACCCCAAAAAGAUUAACCCACCAUUUUUAUUUUCUUUACCUUACCUUAGGCUUUUUCUUUUGUUUUUAGAAAAUAUUAUAAUUAUUUUCUAGCCUCAAAAUCUAAGUUCCUAUGGGUUAAUAAUAAUUUCUGAUUAUGAAAACAUUAUUCCAUAUUUAUGUAUUAAUAAAGGUUAAGUAUUUAUUUAAAUACCUUAAUGAAAAGGCAUUAAACAAAUACCUAAAUUUUAUUAUUUUUCCUAGGGUAUAAAAUUUUUUAAUGCAUAAAGGAAAAUAAAACAAUCCUAACAAAAUUGGUGUUACUAAUUUUGGACACCCCUAGAAAUUUCUGUGAUUUAAAUGGUGAUAUAUGAAUUUAAUCUAUUAAUCUUACAAAAGAAAAUCUAUAUUCUUUCCCAAAAACCCCCGGCCUACUUUUCUUACUCACCGCCUUCCUACCCCCUGUCUCUUACACUGGGCCCGUGGCUCGAACCCACCUCCUUCCCUGUUCCUUCUACCCGCCGGCCCUUUUCUCCUCUGCCGGGCUCACUGGGCCGAUUCCCUUUCUCCUCCUCUUUCCUUAAUCUGGUACCGGCCCAACGGCCCACUGCUCUUUCCCUCUCCUUCCUCUAGCGCCCGGCCUGCUAACCCAUCCGUUGGCCUGCUGGACCCCCGGCCCAACACACCCUCACGGCACCCCGGAUCGGAGCUUGGGCCUCUAGGACUACGGCCCACCAUGCUUUCAUUGCGCCCCGGCGGGCCUCUUCUAAGCUUCCCGCCCCCUUUUCUCCGACUGACACGCGGGCCCGCUGUCGCCAGCGUCUUCUUCCUUCUCGCGCCAAAACCCGAGCGCGGUAGGGGGCGGUGCGGCUCGCCGGCCGGCGCCCCACCGGCGACGGGGCUAGGCCAGGAAAGCAUCCCCAUACCAAAGUGCACCCGUGCGCGGCGGCAGCUUCCCGCGAGGUGGCCGGAGCUCCCCUCUCCACGGCGGCGGGCGACGGAGCUGACUGCCGACCGUGACCAAGCAUGACGACGGCGCAACCCACACCUCCGACUACCCCUACAGCUUCCUAGAACCCCAGACACUUACCUACGGCUUACCGCAAAGAAGGACUGCGACGGAAAAGAGAUGCUCACCGUGAGCAGGGGGGUCUUGCGGCGGCGGACGAAAACGCCGGCGGUCACGGGCGCACUGGCGGAGAAGCUGGACAACAAGCUGACCGGGUUGUUGCUAGGGUGUGAGUGGAGGUGUGGACGGAAGGAAUCGACAGGAGAUGCAUUGUGGUGGUGGAAUUUUUUGGUCGGCGGUGGUGGUUUGACAGAGAGGGAUGGUGGCGGUAGAAAGACAGGCGGUAAGGAGCGGUGGCGGGAACGGUAGAUAUACGAAGUUUCACUGUGCGCAUGGACGACACCGUGGCCUAUCCAUAGACUUGCGUGGUGAAGUCGUGGCCCUAAGCGUCGAGCUGGACAGCGAGCAAGGGCGCCGGCGGCGACACGUCUCACCCUCUCUGAUUUCCUUUCCCCCUUUUCUUUCUUUCAUCAGAAUGUUCAGACUUUUCCCGUGGCCGAUUUUCAAUCCGACGGUCCACAAACCUCUGAAGCAAAGUUAGAGAUAAUCUCAAGCUCUUCAAUUUUUAUUUUGGCUCUUGCUCGAGAUAAUCGUCCAAACGUGGUCAAUUUUGAAUUUCUUUCUCAGUUCCACUGAAAUGCCCUGAAACUUGAAUUCAGUUCGACAGUCACCAUAUAUGGCCAUUUACCCUUCUGUUAAUUCACUUCCAGUGGCCCAAACUCAUUCUUUUUAGUCCAUCUACUAUCCAUUCGUGCUCUACAAUCAUCAGGGAUUCCAUUUUGCUCAUAAACUCCCAUACCUUUUGCACUAUAUUUUGCUAAAUCUUGCUCCAAACUCAGGCAUUUGCUGCUGUUUCAGACUUAGACAAAAAUUCAGUUCAGCAGCUAAGUUGACCGUGGUAAAGUGCUGACUUUGAGCCUCAAUUUGAAAUUAGUCCCUCUACUGUUCUUGACCAACAACACCCUAAUAUACUUGUCCAAAGUUCAUACUUCAUUGCUGUGUAGUUUCUUUGGUCCACUUAUUUGAAAAAUGUGGCAGAAAUUAAUUUCCAAAAUGGAUACUUAUACUGUUUUUCAGAAAUUCUAUUUUCGGACAAUGAACACUACACUGUUGUUUUGAUUUUUCCAUUGUCUUUCUUGAGAUGUUUAGGGCUCGGUUUAGUCUCCAAUCUUGAUCCCCAAAGUUCUAAACACUCUUAAGCUUCCAUUCCAUAUUUUUGCCCAAUUUUUCUGAAUUUAGAAUUCAAAAUUCAAAUUUCGGUCAAAUUUGACUUGAAUGUGACUUUUAGUCAAUUUCUUCUCUUUUUCUCCAUAGUUCACCUUUAAUUUUUCUUAAUCACCUUUUAUGAUUGAAACACCAGGUGUUACAGCCACCCACCCCCCUUUAAAUUUUUUCCGUAUCACGCACUUCGCCCAAACAAAAGGGCUCGCCCGAAUGAAAGGGCAUCCCGUCCUCUAACUCACCCUGAAAAUAACUUACGUUCUAGCUUGUGGACCGAUCAGACCCCGCCACAACUAUGGUUUCGAGCAGCUAAGCGUCGCGGGCCACGCCCGGGUUCUUAAGGUUGCAGCCUACGUCAACGGGCAGGUCAGAAAGGGAAAGGGCGAAAAGCAGAAUUUGCUUAAGGGUGAAAACAAGAAUGGGCAGGACUAGUUCCUAUCAUAAUCACAACCAAACUAAAAAUUGUUCACACGGGGGCUCACGGCCCCCCACAAUUUUAUUUCAUACAUAAAGAAACUAACUACUCCUAUUCUGUUGCUCCCCAUCGGCCGGGUCAGUCGGCGGCGUAGGUGGCUAGGCCAAGGGCUCCCUGGUCGCAGUCGAGUUGGUGCUCGAGUCAGUCGCAGUUGGGACUGCGCCCAACUCCACCACGGUGUGCACCACUGCAUCAGGAUCGAUGACGCCCUCCUGGCUCACACGUGCGGCUAUCAACGAGCGGCGAGCGUCCAUGACCCACAUUGCGGUGACAUGCUCGGCAAUCUUCUACGCGCCCGGGGCCAAGCUCUGGCCCAGUGCUCGAAUCUCCUCGAAGCUCAAGCCAUCAGUGUACCCACUACAAAUCACCUUGAAGUCCAGCUCGGGGUAGUGGGUCACCACCAACGUCAGCACCGUGAUGCCCCGUGGAACACUCCAUCGGUGAUGAGCGUUUGGACCAUGUCCGAGACCAUCGCAAAUUGGAUGGUGGGUACACUGGUACUCAGGCCUGACCCCAGUACCUCAGUGACCACCACCUGCACCACGUUGCGGAGUUGGUUGAGCUCAUCCGCAACGGUGGACUGCUCCCUUAGGGACUGGGCUAACACCUCUGCAUUACGACUGACUGUCGCCUCCAGGACUGCAUAAGAGACCAAGUCAGCAGAAGGCAAAAAAAUGGCACGACCCCAGCCUAAACUCCCGAGAUGACGAGACUUACUCUCAUUCAUAGUGACGGCCGCGAUGCGGUCAUCCUUCGACCGCUGCAGCUCCUGAUGUAGAAGGGUAUUCAUCUCACCCAGCUCUUGGCCGGCGCUUACAAGGAUAGCUUGACCCUCUUCCAGCUAGUUCACCCUCUCCUAUAGCCGAGAGGAUUCCUGCUCCGAUGACAAAGCCAUCUGCUCGGCAUGCACUUGGGCCCUCUGCGUAUCCAAUCCAUGUGCGUGGGAGGCGGCGCGAUGGUCAUCAGAGCUCACGAUAGUUUGCUACAAAAGGAAGGUAAGGCAAAAGAUUAGCCACGCUAAAGGACUCGAUCGCAUGAGCAAGGGAAGCUAUGAUUAUGUACGUGAUCAGGGGAACCAUGAAGACCACCGGGCCAGAGCUGCCCGGGGCCUGCCACCCACACUCCUUCAGGAUGACCGAAGGUGGGGGCACCCCGACCGAGCCACGGUCGACCUGUAGACAGCUGCGGCCACCAGUUCACAGCAGAUCCACCAUAGCGGCUGAUGAAGCAUCCCUCCGGCAAGUACAAGGCAUCUCCACUGACUCCCCAGUCGCGGGCGUAUGACCGCGUCCCUCCAACUGGCCGCCGCACACCAUAACGAUCCGAGCUGGGGGCUGUGACACCAACAAUACCUUCGGACGGUGCGGCAAUGAUCGUGCCCACUUCUCCUCCCGCUCGCGGGCGAUGUCCCUACUCGCAACACACUUCCUCAACUCAGGGGCACUGGAAGGUUCCCCCACACCAUGCACUCCACCAGAGGGCGCGACCACGGGCUCGCGGCGCCAAGUCGCAAUUGUGACAGCAUUCCCGCAAGUCUCGCUCCCUGUAGAGUCUGAUUCAUCUCCCAACCCCGACCCCAAGGGGUCCAAAGGCCUAAGCUCCGCCUCCACCGUCGUCGGGCUGUCACCGCGACGAACCCGCCGGCUGAUUUCUCAUGCCUCUAGGCCUUCUCAGCCCUCUUCUUCUGCUCGUCCGCCACCUUCUUCUCGACAGCCUAUCGAGCCGCACCCUCUGGUCCCUACGGGAGGCUCGGUCAGGACUUGUAUCGCUCAAGUCCCUGCAAGACAAAUUGACUCAAUGUCAGCUGGAAAAUUUGGAUAAAGAAGAAAGAGGACACAAGGGGAGAAACAUACCAAGUCGGGCCGCCUCCUAGCUUGGAAAGGCUCGGGUGUCCCCUGAGGGUCUCAUCGCUCUACAAUUGCAGCACUUGACCGAGGCACCCCCAAAUCUCGCUCUCAGGCAACUCCGUUGAUGAUGCGCGUUCUGGAUCCGAUGGGCCAGAAUACUACCACAUCGUCCGAGUCCUCAGCCCUAGCUAAGUGAGCCGCCAGUGGACAAAAGUGUCGAAGACCCGCAGUCCAUUGAGGCCCUCAUACACACACUAUUGCAGUGCUGGUUCGAGGACCUCCAUGUGACUCUCAUGCUUCCAAGUAGGUCCCCAUGCCCAGCUCUCCAGCCUCGUCAACCUCCCUCCGGUGAACUUCAGCAACGGCGCCUCCACCAGGUUCCAGAUAUAGAACCAAUCACCAUGCCAUCCCCGAUUGGAAUCACUAGGGGAGUACAGCGGGUAAACGACCUUAGGCUUCCGCUGCAGCGCGAAUCCACUGAUCGGGGCUAGAAGGCCCGCUUUCCCCUUUUUCUCCGACCAGGGAUGCCCGGCGAAGAACUUCGCGAAGAAGUCCACAUGCGGCUCCAUCCCAAGGAAGGCCUCACAGAUGUGCAGCACUCCAUUGGGGUUGAGAUGCUACAACUCCAGUCCCCAGCGGUGAAGAAGCCCACACAAGAACCAGUGCGUGGGGUAUCUGAGCCCGCGCUCGUGGAAGGCAAGGAGACGACCUCAUCAGGGUGAGGUUCUGGGACGACAGUCUCUGGCUUCGGUGCUCUCCAACCUGCGACCACCUUCGACGGCAGCAAGCCCCUCCGCGCAAAAUCCUCCAACAAAUCCUCCCGCACGGUGGACUCCCUCUAGAGCGACAUCAUGCAGCGAAUGGUGGCGAACGGUUCUGUAAGGCUCCCUUCUUCUUCUUCUCUCUCUCUCUCUCUUUGCCCUCUUCUUUCCCGGAACUCACUGCAGCGCGCGAGAAGAUUUAGGCAAAAAGGCGGACGGGAAAGCAACAACGAAUAGAGGGCGACGAAAGGACCAGCCUGAAGACCUCCGCCCCUCCUCUAUUAAAUAGGUAAGGGGGCAUGGAGCCUAGGCGUACAAGAUGCAAGCGGAGGGACGUGCCCCCACGCGAUGGGACGUGACCCAUGUGGGGCCCACCAACUGCCAUGGCAGAGUCACAAACAGUGGGGCACAACCGCACGCAAGCGCCCCUUCGCCUUUCGAGGCAAGGGAGUGAAGGGUCCCAUCGUGAGAACCUCCACUGAACCGAGGCCGGUAGGCACUCAGGCUGGUCAGAUAAGCGAAGGGACCCAACACUAGAGCCUUUCCCGAACCAAGGCUAAUAGGCCACAUAGGUUGGCCAGACAAAUCGGGCAUCCGACGGGAGUCGGUUAGAAAACAGUGGAAUACUAACAUGCAAAUCAUGUCGACCCCAUCAUGAACGAUGGAUACGGAUUCCACUCGGGCGUACUCGCUAAGGGUGCCCUGAGCUGGCCACUCAAACCGUCGAGAUAAGCAACGCUCGCUUAGCCUCCUCCGGUCAUGGAAACUGCGGGGUGGGGUGAUGCCUGAAAGUCCGACCAAGGUAAUAUUACCGACCCCCCAUUUACUUUACCUGCGAACAAGCACUCAUCCAUGUCAUGCAUGCAUGCAUUCAUGCAUCAUACAUUCAUCUCAUAUGUGCUAUCAUUGCAUCUCAAUUGCUUUGCGUCACGUCACAAAGCAAUAGUCGGCUCAUCCAGAAUGACCGGCGAUCGACCAAGGUUCGAAGGCCGGCCCGCGAAGGGCUAGAGGCCGCCUCGUGUCAAACAGAGCCAGGGGAGAAAACGUAUAUGGAGCCCCAAUGGCCUUCGCCCGACCCACUCAGAAGCAGUCCGGACCAUCUCAACCUUCUCGUUCGAUCCUAACCUCGAGACAUGCCCACAGAAUCUCCAUUGAGGGGAGACCAGCGGGCCACCUGAGUCAGUCUCCGAAAUGACUCGGGCAUCUGCCGAGAGGCGGGUUAAGGAGCAGUGGAAGGCCCCAAGUGGGCUAUGCCGACCCCGUUACGAACGACAGACCCGGAUUCCACUCGAACAUGCCCGUUAGCAAGCUCACCGAGCGCGUCACUCGAGCCAUCGAGGCAAGUGGCGUUAGCUCAGCCCCUCCGAUCAUGGAGACCGAGGACAGGGUAACAGACGAAACUCGACUGAUGGUUACCAAGUCCAACGGGGCUUGGGGACUCGGGCCGCCGUGUCCCAACUCAGGGAUACGACCGAUGACUUAAGUCAUGGUCAAAACAAACACGGGCAAGCACCCCAAUCUUAAGAACCACAUCCUCCUGAGGGAUGGGAACACUGAGGUUCACGGCCCUAGAAAUGAAUACCUAAGUGUUCAGCCUCUGACCAACUCUCCGGUCAGCCGCAAGCUUGGGGCUACACCCACCGGGUGCGCUCGUGCGCACCCGGCGGAAGCUAGACCAACAGUGGAUCCCCUCCCUUGGAGGAAAGUGUCAGCAUCCACUCGACCCACCUCUGGUCAAAAAAACACCCAAGUGUUCAGCCUCCGACCGACUCCUUAGUCAGCCGCAGGCUCGGGGGCUAGACCCACAAGGUCCGCUCGCACGAACCCGGUGGAAUACAGACUAUGAGCAAGUCCUUCCCUCGGAAGCUGGCCACCCUCUACAACUCGGCGUGUCCCUACUGCCUUUUCUAGUCAUCUCAUCGAGAGCUGGGUGCCAGUAUUUACUCGGGGGCUAGAGUGCCCGAACCUACUCGGCUACCAUAUGCAACACGGCAAACAAAGGGAAACAACACUGGAAAUCUCAACGACAAUCCGCCUCAAUGGUGCGAUGGGCAUAGAACUCACAUGCCAAAGAUAAGCUUUUCAUUGAGAUGAAAACACAAGCCAAAGGCUUUACAAUAUCACUCAAAGCGUGUGAACACGGGAGCCCUAAGGCUUUACAAUAUCACGCAAAGCGUGUGAAUUCAACCUAGGGGCUACCCUACAAGUCGGGAACGAAACAAACAAGAAGAGCGCAAUAAAUAGGAAGCUGCACUCAAAACCUUGCUCACUAUCCCAUCCUCGCCAAUCCUUCCUCCUCCGAGCACGAGGCACCAGAGGCUGAAGAAGAUAAACGAACUCAGGGAGCACAGGAGUGCUACCCCCAAUGUUCUCUGUUCCCUCUGAGACAAUCUAUAUAAAGAAGGAGAGGCGUGGAGGGAGUACGAGAACCGCAUCCCAAACACCUGGGUAAACUGGCUCUCACUGGCUCCCAGCAAGCCGCCAUCGAUGCCUACAUCUCGUGCCUCCUCGGCAUGCACCUUCACUACCGCACCACUGAGUGCAGCAGGCUGGAAGGAUGAGAUGGAGGCCAAAUGACCUCCGACGAUCAGUGGCCCAAGGUACGAGCGCGACAUGGAGGAUAAGGAGGCCAAGUCUCCCCUUCCUCUCGAGGCAGCACCCUCGUCCUAUCAUCCAGCCUCUAAUUGCACGUCGGAGCCAUGUUACGAGAGUUCUUCUCACAUCACGGCUCCCAAACAUGCCGCAGGGGACUGCGAUAAGGAGGUUGAAUACCAUUUACGAGAGAUCUUCUGGCAUCAUGAGGAGCGGCCAAAGCCACCCUUGGCGAAGAGCAAGAGCCUCAAACCUACCAGAUCUAUGACCCUAGCCGUGUCUACAAACCAUGCCAUGGGGACUCCAGAUGCAGAAGCCCCUCUAUUUAUAUCCAGGCGGACCGCCAUGAUCCGGGAAUAGUUACGAUACGCGUCCGUGGGUGCGCGAUAAAACCGCCUGGCAUCGAGGCAGCGGUUCAGCAGCCACACACUAAUGGCGCCUAGCAUUGAGGUGACGGUUCGACUACCGCGCUACAAAAGGCACAAAAGACUAAGGUGAAGGUACCAGGCCACGAGGUAUCUAUACGAUUCCUACGUGGGAUCAUCCUUAUCAUCUCGGAUACACGGCCAGACCCUGCGAUGCGGCCCAUCUGCUCCACAAACAAGACAAAAAUGAAUAACACCCCCAUGUGUGUUCCCCCCAAUGGAACAUUCCAACUGAAAGCCCCUUCACGACUUCAACAAAGUCCCAAAGGGGCUCGGAGGCUCCUGACAGGUCCAUAGACCCGGGGUUCCCAACAGGACUAACUCGUCGCAACACUUGGCCCCAAAAAGGUCUCGACAGUAGCGCGCAUCUGGGCUAGCCUAGCUGCGCAAUGCCAAGCCAAAAACAUGACCCGGCCACCAAUCGGCUCUCCGACUGAGAGGCCCGGUCGAAGCCCCGACCCAAAGGGUCCAGCUAGAAGUGGGACCACAAUCCGACCCCGACUGAGUUCUCCCGACUGAGUUCUCCCGACCGGAUAUUCAGAAACAGGAUAACUUUCCAAAAUGAACUUGAUCUACCCUAGAGUGACCCCUCCUUUUCUUUUUAGAAGAUUAAGAGAAAUAAACUUUAUAUAUGUACACAAUCACCAUCAAUCUAGCCCAAGGAUUUAAAUCAUGAAUGCACCUUACUUCACCUAAGAUGAACCCACCUUUCUUUUAGAGUUCAAGUGAAUGAAAUAAUAAUAUAUGUGUACACAAUCACCAUUAAAUCAAACCCAGGGUUUAAAACAUGAAAUCACUUUAUCUCACGAAGAACUCAAGUUUGAAUCUUGACUAGGGAUACGUGUUCGUUGUAAGCUUUACACUUCUGCAAAAAUAUCUACAUUCAUCUUGCAUAUGAAAUCAUGAAACUUGAAUCAUUGCAUUGCAUCUCGUGUAGAAGCGAAUCUCGCCGACGGAACGUACGAACUGCUCCCGACGACCGAGGAGGUACCUGCUGAACUGCAUCAAGUCGAGGCUGAGCAAGAGCCCAGUCAAGCUUCAAACAAGCUCCCUACUAACUAAGAACAGGAAGGCAAGCCCCAAAGCAUAACCCAAAUUUCUAAAUUUAUGCACUACUGAUGUUGAUUAUGUUUGUGCAUUUAAGUUCAUAGGAGUUGAUUGCAAACUUAGUUGCAUGAUCUUAGGUACCUAUGGGUGGACACUAGUAUGAUAGGUCUAGUAGUUGCAAUGCUAAAUAGGGACUCAGUAAAAGUCGAGUGAUUUCCUGUCACUCGCGAGUUAUAGGAGUUGCUUGCUUAUUUGUACUGCAACCAUAAGGAUGACGGAUGGGGUCGGGCUUUGAUUCUGACUCGGUGGAAUUGCCCCGUCUAUCUAGGAAAAGAUACUAAGGUCAAAAUAUGUUUAGAUCUAUGGUCAAGUGUUUGAACGUACUAAUCUCACUAGUAUGGGAUUGGGAAGCCUAGUACUUGAUUGAACUGGGACGUGAGUAGACCGCCCCACUAUCUCUGGAACGGAGUUUUUCAUGGUGCAUCAUGUGGGUACAAAUAUAGCCACGGUACGGCGACGUCCGGAACCGUGGGGUAUUGUAUCCAAGGGAUGUGGGCCUGACAUGUGCCUGAGGAUUGAUGGGGACGGCUGACAUGUGUGGUGGACCCAUCAUGGCACGCAAUGUCGUGGGGUUAGGCUCACCUUGCAAGGUUUAAAAACUCGAUUUGAAUCGUCUGCCACUCAUAGUUUGAGACUGCUUGAUCUAUUCUUGGCUAUCUAUACCUAAUAGAAUUAGUUGUUCUUGACUUAUUUCUCUACAUUAUAACGUUCUUGAUAAUGUUUUGAAUCUGCACUAUUGCUAAUAGGAUGACAGUAUUCAGAUUAAUUAGCAUAGUUUGGUAUAAUCACAUUUUUCAAGAAUCUAACACAACAUAGCCAACAUUGAAGUGGGGGAUAAUACCUUCAAGAAUCUAACACAACAUAGCCAACUAUGCCUAUAAAUUGAAGCCUUCUUAGUAACAUUUAAAUUUUAUCAUUUGCUAAUAGGAUAAUACCAUUCAGGUUAUAUAUGAAACACCUGUGUGAUUAUAUUUCCGUGUAUGGUUUUACCUUUAUAUGCAAAACCCAUAGUCAGUGGGAUUCUGGAAUGCCUUCUUAAAAGGAUAUGUUGCAGCAAUUACUGCUCUCCCUUAUGCCAGUGAUGUCCCACCACCUAAGAAACAAUGUUUCCUUGGAAUUUGAAGUUUAUGGGCCGCUCAUUUGAUGCCACAAAUUAUAUGUAAUGUUCAAGUUUAUUUCGAGUUGUAGAAAUUGAUGACUACAUCUUACUACAGGGUACCCCUGCAAAAAAAAAAUAGCUCUAACAUUUUCUCUUGGAGCUGGAGAAAAGAGUUCAUAAGCUUCUAACACCGUAACCAAAGUUCAAACAAAUAAAAAUUAUGAAAGAACAUGAGCCGGUAUGUGAUUUUCACUUUUUCAGACAAUCUAUUCUACUCCUAGCCUUAUAAUUAUAAGCAAAUUUUGAUGCCAAUUUUAAUGGUGACUGGCACCAUACUUAUAAGGAAAUUCUAAUUGUUUGAGCAAUAUUUUUGCUUCUAUUUAAAUUAAUAUGUAUAUUUUGUAUCAUCCACAUAUAAAUGCAGGCAAUAUUUUUUGAAGAAAGCACUGAAAUUUGCUUCCAGUUCCGAUGGGAAAGAACAGAAUCAGCCAUGUUUCCUGAUGACGAGAAGAAAAAUGCAUCUCCUGAUCCAAGGGGUUGCAGAAGGACGUAUGGCUUAUGUCGCGGAGGAGGGCGGCGGCGCGCCUCUGGGGGCACGGCGUGGGGGACUUGAGAGAACAAGAGGUUGGGAGAGGAGAGAGCCGGUGGGUGGAGGGAGAGGAUAAGGUUCUGCAGUGGGCCCCUUUAGUUAGUGUAAUAGGGGCACAGAUACCAUUUUAUGUGACGCCGAUUCCCCUUCCAUCCACGUUAAAAUCUAGCAGAUUCAUGUUCCGUUAAAAUCUAGCAAAUUCGUAACGGAAAUGGCAUAAAGGGUUCCAUCCAUGUUCCGUUAAAAUCUAGCAAAUUUAUGUUCCGUUAAAAUCUAGCAGAUUCAUAACGGAAAUGGCAUAAAGGGAUAAAUUAGAGUUUCUAUGGCACUGAUGCAAUCCGAAAAAUUUUCAUUUUCAUGACAUCGAGGGAAUUUGCUCAAUUAACUAUCAGGCAAUGAGAUUAAGUGAGAAGAUCACCGGGCUGUACCAACCACGCACAAACCGCGGAACAGAUACGAAAUAAACGGGAGCAGUACAUUUGGAUUACAAUUUCAACACUCUUUCUAAUGAGUAGGCAAUAAGAAAAUAGAGUUCAUUUGGAGAAAAUAUAAAACAAG